rnacentral:lncRNA from 1 species
CCUUCUUGUUCACUUUGUGAAUGAAGUGAUAAAUGUAUUGUUCUUGAAACCAUAUUGCAGGGUUGGCAGGCAGAUCGUCAAUGUCCCCUCAUUCAUGGUGAGGGUUGAAUCUGAGAAGCACAUUGACUUCUCACUGACAAGUCCAUUCGGUGGAGGCCCUGCAGGCAGGGUGAAGAGGAAGAACCAGAAGAAGGCAAGUGGUGGCGGCGACGCUGGUGGUGAUGAGGAAGAGGAAUGAGGAACUAGUAGGGAUCACCUUAUAUUUAUCAAAUGUUGGUGUUGUGAGUGCUUUAGCUGAGAGGCCUGAGACUUUCAUGGAUUAUCCUCUUGUCGUUUCGUUGCAUUAUCUCUGUUGUUAGCAUGCAUGCACUUCGUUAUGUUUGGAGCUAUUUGUUCGUGAUGCAGUUAUCUAAAAAUGUUUUUGACUAUGACCUGGAAUUCUACAUCAAUUGCUUCUGUUUGCGUGCUUGUCUGACUAACUCUGUCCCAAAAUAAUUAGAAUUGUACUCCCUCUGUAAACUAUUUCUAAAAGCUUCAGACACUUAAUUUGGACGUUGGUAGUAUAUCACAAAGGAAUCAACCUUUCUUUUCGGGUACAGGAAUCAACUUUGGUGAUCUAUUUGCUGGUUUGUUUCCACGAGUUGUCUGAACGUAAUGCACCUAAUAUUCCAACACAAAACAUACUAAUACUUGUACAUUAUUUCCAUUACACAACUUAGAAGUGGCAUAACACCAUCAGCAACAUGUAUAUGACAUAUCCAACAUAGUAUGUUCACACCAAAGUUAAAGCCUACUUAGCAAUGCAGAUGAAAAACAUGAAACCCAUGCUAGGUCAGGAAAUAGAAUAGCGGAGAUAACGGUCAUGGUAAGUUGGUAACAGGGGAGCAUGAUGACGGACAGUAAGAAGUUAUGUGCGCAAAUGCUCUAUAUCACCUUGAAUAGGAAAUAAGAUAAAAAAAACCAUCUUAAAUGUUUAGGUGUGAGAUUACUUUAGAAUAUAUUAGACCGAGAAGUAAAAAAGUGCUCCAAUUCAUCAUAAGAAGAGUGGACAACAGGGUCACAUCAUAAAAAUACAAAAUCUCCUAAGUCGAGACUUCAACAAUGCUAUGCGCUUAAAGGCUACCGAAAUAUGUUCAAGUUAAACAUUUCCAGAAAUUCCAAAUUUGGAAGCAUGUCUUGAAUUUUAAGAUAUAUGAUCCUGUAUAUAUAACAAGCAGAACAUUGAUGUGUAAAGAAUUUGAGCUGCUUAUUUCUUGUGCCUCGACCAAUGUAAGGAUAGUAGCUACUACAUAUACUGGACUACACCGAUUCUGAAGGAUAUCUAUGCAUACGUUUCCUUCAGCAUAAACUACAAACCAUAAAAAAAUGUCAGUUAAAUUUUAAACUGAAGAGUAUAACAUUAGUAUUCUUUCUUUUGGCUUUCUAUCGACAUAUUAGUAGAGAAAAAGUAUGACCUUCAUAUAUUCGAAAUCAUGAGCAACACAUGUAUUCAAAAUAUGAUGUAAACGAUGUACUAUCCUUGCUCAAGGUAGUUAGCAAGUACUCCCUCCGUUCCUAAAUAUAAGACCUUUUAGAUAUUGCACUAUGAACUACAUACAGAUGUACAUAGACAUAUUUUAAAAUGUAGAUUCACUCAUUUUGUUCCGUAUGUAGUCUCCUAGUUUAAUCUUUAAAAGGUCUUAUAUUUUAAAACGGAGGGAGUAUGUACUAACAUCACAAAAUCAAUACCUAGCUUUCCGUAAGAAUGCAUCAUACAUGUGAGAGGUCUCAGCAUAAAAAAAUUGCAUCAUACAUGUGAGAGGUCUCAGCAUAAAAAAAUGGACGUACCUGAUGACAUGGCUAGUGGUGUCUUACACAGAGUUUCCUUAACAUUGUAAAAUACUGACUCAACUUACUUACGAUUUCAGGCUUUACGCCUCAUUAAUAUGUCAUCUUUGUUUUGUGCAUACCUCUCCUUUUCUCUUUGUAUUUUUAAGUCUUUAUGAUCUGCCCUUUGUCCUCCAGAUAACAACUUUAGUAUUUCAAGCAUGAUGCAAGCAAGAUUAGUGAUAUAUUUAUCAAAAUUGCCGUUCUUUGUUAGGUCCUGAAAUGGCGUAUGGAACCCAUUGGUAUGGGAGGCUGUCAACGGCUAUUGCGAGUUAACAAUAGACAGAAAGCAUCAACUUAAAAUGACAUAUUAAAUACAAAAGCGAUGCUAAGAUGCUUUAUAAUUUACAUUCAUCUGUCUACAUGAAUCAUCUUCUAUGAUGUUAUUAGUUUGUGAAAAAAUCAGACCGAAAGAUCAAUGAAACAUCACCGACUUAGUUUACAUUUAGAAAGGGAAAAGGGUUCAAUUUCAUUAUUAUGUUAAUUGAAACACACAUUUUAACAGUAAGAGAAAUACAUGUACCUCCCUCUCCUCAAAUGACCGGGUGUAAUAUGCAAAUUCAAUCAGUAGGUGGAAAAAAUACAGUCAUCUUCAUGCACCGGGAAAAAGUGCUACUCCAAACCAAAUCGAUAGUGCGGUCAACAACUAGAGAAUACAAUAUAUCCAAUUAAUGACAAAUUCCCCUAAAUACAAAACUUGGCGCCAGGAGAAUAAAAGAUAAUAUAAUAGAGGGCAGCAGAACCGAGGUAGAGCCGCACAAACACCAUGUCGAGCUCGGCCAGACCGGAGGAUUACUGCUGCUGUUAUGUUGCCAGGCAAGUGUAAACUUGGCAUCGGUCCUUUGCAGAACAAAUUGGAGUUAAAUCUAGCAUGUAUUGUUUACUUCAGAAAUCACAAGCUUCAUCUCGUCAAUAGUUUUUUUGUAAAAUCACACUACAUCUCGCUAGUGAAUGAGAAAUAAUUCAGACUUUCAGUGGAAUAGGCAGCAGACUCGGCUAGCUAGUGAUCUGUACCACCACAUGCUACAUUUAGUAGCCACAGCUAAAUCAAAGUGUUUGCUAGUUAAUGGAGAGAAAUUCAGAGGAAGAAGCAGCCUCGCUAGCUAGGGAUCCAAAGAAAGAAGAAGCAAAAUAUGCCUGUAAAUUGCAGCCACGGAGCAGUCGAUUUGUGCUCUUGUGGGAGGACGGGGAUCUUGCAAGCGGAAGAAGCAGGGGUUCAUCGGCCGCGCGGAAUCAGGGGCCGGUAGUUGGUGUCGGCGUCGGUGCGUCUAGCAACCCCAUGGCGCGAUGUGGAGGGGCACACAGCGGCGUCGUGCGGCCUCGACCAAGCGGAAAUCAGAGGGCAGCGAACCGCGCCCGCUCCGGCUGGGUGGUGGAUCGGUGGUCGGCGGCGGAAGCAAGGGAGACGGGCCGGCGUGGUGGUGGCGCGGUGGACGACAAGGUUCAGGCAGCACGAGCAGUUGGCGGUGGAAACAAGGGAGGCGAGCGGGUGGGGAGGCGAAGGCGAGCGGCGGCUGCGGGGGCGAGCGGGUGGGGAGGCGGGGCUGAGCGAGCAGAUUAGCGAGGGCCUUGAGCUGUGGAGAUACAACAAAUAACAAUUACACAAUUGACUCCACAUAUGGAAGAUACAAAGUACUAUUGGGAGUAAAGCAUGACAUACUUUUGCUGACCAUGAUAACUUACAGAGUUCCAAUAGUUACUUGGAUAUUCACGGCCUUCUUUUAUGGUCUUGAGGCAAAAGAGGGUGUUUAGGGUACUUGNNNNNNNNNNNNNNNNNNNNNNNNNNNNNNNNNNNNNNNNNNNNNNNNNNNNNNNNNNNNNNNNNNNNNNNNNNNNNNNNNNNNNNNNNNNNNNNNNNNNACUGUUUUCUGCGUGUCAAGUAUUUAUUCCUAUGACCAUGAGAUCAUAUAACUCACUGACACCGGAGGAAUGCUUUGUGUGUAUCAAACGUCGCAACGUAACUGGGUGACUAUAAAGAUGCUCUACAGGUAUCUCCGAAGGUGUUAGUUGAGUUAGUAUGGAUCAAGACUGGGAUUUGUCACUCCGUGUGAACGGAGAGGUAUCUCGGGGCCCACUCGGUAAUACAACAUCACACACAAGCCUUGAAAGAAAUGUAACUUAGUGUAAGUUGCGGGAUCUUGUAUUACGGAACGAGUAAAGAGACUUGCCAGUAAACGAGAUUGAAAUAGGUAUACGGAUACUGACGAUCGAAUCUCGGGCAAGUAACAUACCGAAGGACAAAGGGAAUGACAUACGGGAUUAUAUGAAUCCUUGGCACUGAGGUUCAAACGAUAAGAUCUUCGUAGAAUAUGUAGGAUCCAAUAUGGUCAUCCAGGUCCCGCUAUUGGAUAUUGACCGAGGAGUCUCUCGGGUCAUNNNNNNNNNNNNNNNNNNNNNNNNNNNNNNNNNNNNNNNNNNNNNNNNNNNNNNNNNNNNNNNNNNNNNNNNNNNNNNNNNNNNNNNNNNNNNNNNNNNNACUGGAAAAGGAGCAAAUCCUAGUCCACUAUUCUGCACAUCUCCAAAUCAGCCCCUCACGAAGCAACGCAUAGACUGGGGUUUAAGCUUCUGUCACUCCAGCAACCCAUCAUCUACUUACUACUUCCCAAUGCCUUCCUCUAGGCCCAAAUAUGGUGAAGUGUUAUGUAGUCGACGUUCACAUAACACCACUAGAGGAAAAACAACAUACAUCAUAUCAAAAUACCGAACGAAUAUCAAAUUCACAUGACUAUUAUUGACAUGACUUAUCCCAUGUCCUCAGGAACAAAAGUAACUACUCACAAGACAUAAUCAUAAUCAUGACCAAAGGUGUAAUGAAUAGCAUCAAGGAUCUGAACAUAAACUCUUCCACCAAGUAAUCCAACUAGCAUCAACUACAAAGAGUAAUCAACACUGCUAGCAACCUUACAAGUACCAAUCAGAGUCGUGAGAUGGAGAUUGAUUACAAGAGAUGAACCAGGGAUUGGAGAGGAGAUGGUGCUGAUGAAGAUGCCUCCCCUCCGACGAGAGGAGUGUUGGUGAUGAUGAUGGCGACGAUCUCCCCCUCCGGGAGGGAAGUUUCCCCGGCAGGAUCGUCCUGCCACAGAUCUAGAUUGGAUAUGCUCAAGUUCCGCCUCGUGGCGGCGGCGAAACCACGAAAGAGCUCCCUAUUGAUUUUUUCCAGACCAGGACGCUUCAUAUAGCAAAAGAGGGGGGCUAGUGGGCCUUCAGGCAGCCCACAAGCCUGCCCUGCGCCACCAGGGGGGGUGGUGGCGGUGGGCAAGCUUGUGGAGCCCUCGUGGCCCCCUCCGGUAGUUCUUUCACCCAGUAUUUUUUAUAUAUUCCAGAAAAAAUUCACGUAACUUUUCAGGGCAUUUGGAGAUGUGCAGAAUAGUGGACAAGGAUUUGCUCCUUUUCCAGUCUAGAAUUCCAGCUGCCUGAAUUCUCCCUCUUCAAAUAAUCAUUGCAAAAUAAGAGAGAAAAGGCAUAAAUAUGGUACCACAAGUAAUAUAACAGCCCAAAAAGCAAUAAAUAUCAACAUGAAAGCAUGAUGCAAAAUGGACGUCGCAGCCCUUGCCGCCCCCUCCUCACCCAAAGCAGCCUCAGUACGUGGACACACUCGCACGAGCUCCUUGUGCACCCCUCUUGCUCCUGCUGCCCCUGCCGCCCCUGCUUCGUCGCAGCCGCGCCGCUCGUCGAUAGCCGCAGUGUCGGCACAGCGCCACAACACCGCCCAAACGCCCCCAGCGCGCCACCUUCACUUUGGACCACCCGUUCGUCGAGCCAGAGCCUCCCCUUGAUCCAUCGCUACAUCGACCCCGUUCCUGUGCCCUCACUAGAGGCUGUCCCCGGUGAGCUUAUCCUCUCCACAGCGGGAACCGACAACCCCGGCUAUAAAUAGGAGCCCAGAGGUCGUGUGUAGACUCAAGCCCCUCCCCCGAAGCCUCACCUAGAGUCCCAAGCCUCGAUUUAAGCCGAGGCGCCUUUCGUCCCUGACUCUGGUGAACUCCAUCACCGCAGCCCCGCAGCUCGAUUCAGUCGGUUCUAAGCCUCAUCGCCCCACCCGAGCUCCCCAUUGCCAUAUCCUCGACCUCCUGAAGCUUUCCCCUAGCUCAGCCCCACCCUACAACCCUCCUAGCCAACCCCCUCAUCGGAGCCGAAGCUCCCUCUGCCGUGGAGGACGAGCCGCUCACUCUCGACCACCCCCGCAGCCACAAGGCACCAGAAUGGAUGCGUCGUGCUUCCCUGAGCAUGCCAGUGCCCUCAGCUUCACGAGUGGAGGUACCUAGCGCCGGUGAGCCGCGCUGGAGUCCCCUUCUUCCUUCGGCUGGAGGAAGGAGACGACAGGUCAAACCUCCGAGCGGGCCCCACGCGUCAGCGUCCCACCCCUCAGCCUGAGCCCGCGCUAGUGGAGGCGCAUUUUGCCAAGUACGUUUUCCCUCAUCCGCUAGCGUCUUUUGAUCCGAAGCGUUUUUCUUUUCUUUUUGAUUUUGAAAACAGAUUUAGACCAGAAUUUUGAGUGACUAUAACUUUUUAUAGAAAACUCCAAAUGAGUUGAUUCUUUUUCUCACCUCUUUCAAAUUCUUCCUCGUUUAUUUUAGUAUUUAUUUGAAAAUUUUCUAGGACAAUUUUAUGUACAGUUUUUAGAUUGAGUGUUAAUUAGCAUAUAUUUUAUAUAUAGGUUUGAAGAGAGGAGUUAAAACUUGCAAAAGUUUUGUGGUGAACCCCACCUCUUUACACUUGGAAGGCAAUCAUCCUGAACCUACUUUAACUUGGUUGCAUAAGCUUGCUUGGUGAAAGUAUCAUACGGUUAUGUUUUGUUUGUUGUGAUAUUUCAUGUGGUAAAAGAUGCAUAUGGUUUCAUGAAUUUGAAAGUAAAGGUUUCUAUGAUUGUGGUGCAUGGACAGUGGUCACUCUUUCCUAACCUGCGUACCUAUCGGACGGGAUUCAGUGAGAUUCGGUGUCUUGUGGAGAUACGACCGUGGGAUUGACACCUCGUGGACGAGAGUGGUCAACAAGGAAUGUAAGGUAGGUAAUGAUGCUGUUUGCACAUGGUUUGUCCUGAUCAUACACGUAAUAAUUGAACCUCAUAAGUCGACCAUAGAUCGAGUCUUGUUAGUAUGUCUCCUCAUUUGCAUGCUACCAUAGUUUCCUGGAUAAUUGAUUCAGUAUAGUUAGUUGCAGACUUAUUAUCAUUCACACACUAGUAGAGGGGCCGCGAUGAAGGUAUCCAUGGCCGUGGUAUAAUUCCAGUCAUCCGGUCAUGGGGCAUGGGUGUUUCCGGUCUGGAAUCAUAAGGGGGGCACUCCCCGUAAGCGCACGAUAUAAAUAUUGUUUAUCCCAUGCUAGUCGAGGUCGGAGCCUCCCCAUCUUAUGGUUUUACCUUGGCAGCGUAGUCUGAGUGAAUCCGGGCUUCGCGGAGGUAAAGUAGGUGUGUGAUGAUUCUGAGUGUCCACCUCUAAAAUGCCGUACGCGGAAUUAGUCAUAGUGACUAUUGAAAACCGCCGGCUAUGGGUAAAGAGUACACCUUCUGCAGAGUCAAAACUAUACGAGUAGCCGUUUCCACGGUCAAGGACGUUGGUUGACUAGUCAAGUGACGGUCUAAGUGUCGGUCUUCGGAGGUAGUGAAUGGAGUAUGAGACUAAUCAAGAAAUAUGGUGGAUGAUUUUAAACAGUACUUUUUGUGAACUAACCAUUAUGAUUUUUAUUGUGAAUAUCCGUCGGACGGUUCUACCUCGUAGAUAUUCUCUAUUAUUUCAUAUAAGCCCUUUAUGUGGUGUCACUGAGAUGCUCGAAUGUGGCAUGUUUGUUAUUAUUUCAUAUAAGCCCUUUAUGUGGUGUCGCUGAGACGCCCGACUAUGGCAUCUUUGUUACUAUUUCAUAUAAGCCCUUUAUGUGGUGUCGCUCAGACGCCCGACUGUGGCAUGUUUCUUAUUAUUUCAUACAAGCCCUUUAGGUGGUGUCGUUGAGACGCCCCACUGCGGCAUGCUUAUUUUUUGCACCCCAUGUUAGUAUUCCUAAUUACUGUUUAAUAACUUUCAAUAUGAUUAUUACUUCACUACUAAUGCUUGAGUAGUAAAUUGAGUUGAUGCAGUAUUACGAUAUCAUUGUGUGUGUAUGAAUAACCCUGCAAGUUAUAUGUUUGCUUCAUGAUGUUUGCGAGUACAUUCAAAGUACUAACUUGCUUGUCCCUGGCUAUUGUCUUGGCCAGAUUGCAAGCUUGGAGAGGAGGUGCUUGANNNNNNNNNNNNNNNNNNNNNNNNNNNNNNNNNNNNNNNNNNNNNNNNNNNNNNNNNNNNNNNNNNNNNNNNNNNNNNNNNNNNNNNNNNNNNNNNNNNNCAUUUGCUUGUCCCUGGCUAUUGGCUUAGCUAGAUUGCAAGCUUGGAGAGGAGGUGCUUGACGAGAAGCUUGAAGCAUAGGCUUCAAGGAUAGGAGUGAGCGAGAUAGGAGUUAACCUGGUCAGCUGUUCCUGUGGGAAAUGGAGUCUCAAAGGAGUUGGAGAUCCCAGUAAUGCUUCCACCAUCAACCACUAGAAACCCUUUUUGAUGUACUCAUUAGACAACUUUGGUCAUGUAACUUCAAUGUGUACUUUGCUUGGACAAUUGUAUCAAGGAAAGGUGUGCCAUCUAACAGUAUUCUUGGGGCUGGUAUACUUAAGGGCCAUUUGAAGGGAAAUUGAAAUCCCCGAAAAUCCGGUCCCCACAACCUUGGUAUCAGAGCUAGGCUGACCGUUGGCUAAUUCUAUCUUAGCCGGGUCAAUAAGCACUAGAAGGCCACCCAUCAAGCUAGUGACAUUGCUACCAGUCAAGUCUGCCCUAACUAGAAGUCGAACAGUGUUCGCCAACACUUUUAGGUAAGGCGGUGCCCAACCUAGCAGACUAGCCCUAUGGUCACACGCCAGUGACCACGACCCUUUUGUCCUUCUCGCAAUCUUGUGAGAGAAGACUUCGUUCUCCUUUCUAUAAAGGGAGCGAUUGUUCCGCACAACACAACACUACCACAACCACCCAAGAUGCCAGACCCCAUUGUCCACAAUGAAACCACUGCUGCGGACCAAGGAGGUUUCGUAGCCAUUUUGGCCAGCCCAGCCCAUCGUGCCUUUGCCAUGGAAGAGCCUCCGGAGUAUGUUGUGUACCAAGAGCGCACAAGUGGUGACAUUCGUCACUUCUGGGACACAGUACACAUCUACAGUAGGAGUAUCACCCAAGAGCGUCCCCAUCGGUUCACCGGAAGGUCAACUUCCUAUGAGCCCGAAGCCAUCCAGCUGGCAGCUCGAGAGGAAUAGUUCAACUCCGGAACUUGUCGCCAGGAGUUAACUGCCGCUCGUUCUACUACUACCCUAGUCGUGAAGGUUAUGGUAGGCCGAUCCAGGUCGCCAGCGGAGACCAUGAGACCAACCCCGCCUUGUUGCACCUUGUGUGCUAUGUGAGGGCAUAAGAGGCACUGUACGACCAGGUCACCCUCGACCCGAUUGCAGCUCAUGCAGAGCUGGCUCGUCUGAGGAGGAGAGAAGCGGAGCCCGAAGCCAACAACCCUAUAGUGCUGUUUGGGAGACCAAUUGAACUCCAACGGUUAGUCCCAGCUACCGACCCAAGUCACGCGCCUAUCUCCCUCGAGGAGCUUCGCCGCAUUUUGGGGAUUUCCUCCAACAGAACGGUAGCUACAGCAGCCCGCAAUGGACACCCCCGCUACCCCGACCAUGUAGCUCCACCCCCUUCCCCGAGCAACUAUGACGGCGUAGUUCCAGCAGACUUGAUGUCUGUAAGAUCUGCUCACCUAGAUGUAAACGAAGUAGACUAGGCCUUGACCGUGUUGUGGAAUUCGCUUGCACGUAAUAUAUGAGAUAGUAUGGGAAACUGUUUUUGUUUUAUUAUUUUAAGCACUGCAGGUAAUCACCUGUAUAUGCUUUUAGGCAGCAUAGCUAUAGUUGGACGUGACCACGACAGUCUAUCACAGUAAAGUGUCACGUUUCGUGAACUUUUAACGGUAGGUCUUGACCAAACCCCUUUGGAACGAAGACAACCACCGAGACCAAGCCAGCCUAAAGUUUGUGUCCCCAACCCCACCUAUAUAAGGAUCACCGUGGUCUUCCCAGCAACACUCACCUUGUGCACUACCUUCACAUCCUUCCGCCAUGCUACCCCAAGGGAGUUACCUCAGAACUCCAGAUGCAACUCCGAGCAGUUUUGUUAAAGUAUUGUGGGAUUUUACCCGCAGUACCAUGGGUUCUUCCUUCCCACCCUGGUACAAGCUGUUCAAAUCGAGGAUCACUCCCUCUACCUCGAAAUAUUGGGAAGUCAUGCACAUUUUUCUAGUAGACCUUAACCAAGACCCCACGGAAAUCUUCUUCAGCGGAAAAUCUAUGCCUACCCUAGAAAUGGCCAUAGAGGUUGCUGCCUACGAAGCGGUUACUCGCCUUCGUUAUGCAGUACCAUAUGCCAGUGAAAGGGGGUACUGUUAUUUUCCGAGCCGUGCAGAACCCGAAGGAGCAGCAUCUUUUUCGGGGACCCGUUCGGGGAGAGACCCCGUGUUGGUCAGGCUCGUGCAAUUUGUCAUCACUCAAGAGUGUUUGACACAGCCCGUGAUGGAGUUUCUCCAGGACCUCGCCAUCCAGAAUCCUCAGAUCGCCAUUGGCGAACCCCUAAGGACAAGCCCAACAGGACGCAUUCUGCGGGUCCUCCAGCCUCUCGCCCCCGAAGACGAAGUGGGUAUUCCCCUGCCAGGAAUAUUUCCCCAUGACCAUUAGGGCUUUAUUUUGCGUACGCUGUAAAUACCUUGCCGUAUAGUCAUGUUGUGUAAUGUGAUGAUUGUGCCAUGUAAUUUUAUUACUACAUGCAUGUGUUUUAGCUUGUGUGAUCUUGCCUUCAACUGUUUUCUUGCAAUGACCUUUGCAUGAUCGAUUUUUCCUACUGCAGUAAUUAGAUAACUCAACAAAAAGUUUAUUCGCAUGCGAGGUAGCUCACACCACAUGCACUCUGCUAGUGCACUAAGAACAGAACCACACACACGGGACCCCAGCUAACUACCUUGCUAACACAACAGUUCCUCCGAGAGGAAUGUAGUAUUUCUUUUUGUGGGAUUACUACCGACAAUGGUAGCCACUCCGAAUUUGUGCUCGCGCUUAGUCUUUGUGUUCCUCGCCCUUGCAGAGAGCCGCCUGUUGGGUAACGUUGCAUGGUAAACAAAAAUUUUCCUACUCACACGAAGACCUAUCAUGGUGAUGUUCAUCUACGAGAGGGAGAUCGGAUCCACAUACCCUUGUAGAUCGCUAAGAGGGAAGAGUUAAGAAACGUGGUUGAUGUAGUGGUACAACUUCGUGAUUCAAAUCACCAUCGUCCCACGAUCCAUCCACGAUCCGUCCCGAUCUAGCACCGAACGGACGGCACCUCAGCGUUCAACACACGUACAUCUCGAUGACGAUCUCCGCCUUCUUGAUCCAGCAAGAGAGACGGGGAAGUAGAUGAGUUCUCCGGCAGCGUGACGACGUGCCGAUGAUGGUGAUGAUCUAUUCCUACAGGGCUCCGCCCGAGCUCCGCGGAAAUCUGAUCUAGAGGAAGAACUACGAGGUAUAGUUUGAGUUGCACAUGGCAAAGUUGUGCCUCAAAAGCCCUAAACCUCUAGUAUAUAUAGGAGGAGGGAGGGGGCAGCCUUGGCGCCACAAGGGAGACCACCUUGUGUCGGCCGAAGUGGAGGAGGGAGGAGUCCUCCUCCAAUUCCACUUGGAUUAGGACUCCUUCCUUAUUUUCCCACCUCUUUUGGAUUUUCCACCUUUUCCUCAUUGGCUUUCCUUGGAUGACUUUGUCAGCCCAUUAUACCUUAUUGCGCAUCCAAUAAACCCAUGUGGACCCCUUGGGGCAUGGUGGGCCCACCCAGUGGGCCCCCGGAACCCAUUCGUCACUCCCGGUACACUGCCGGCAAUACCCGAAAACCUUCCGGAAUCCAAAUACCAACUUUCUAUAUAUCAAUCUUCGUUUCCCGACCAUUCCGGAACUGAUCGUAACAUCCGGGAUCUCAUCCUGGACUCCGAACAUAACUUCGGUCACCAACACAUAUAACUCAACUAUACCGAAACGUCACGAACCUUAAGUGUGCAGACCCUGUGGGUUCGAGAACUAUGCAGACAUGAACUGAGACACUCUCUGGUCAAUAACCAAUAGUGGGACCUAGAUGUCCAUAUUGGCUCCAACAUAUUCUACGAAGAUCUCUAUUGGUUGAACCUCUAUGUCAAGGAUUCAGUUAAUCCCGUAUGAUGUUCCCUUUGUCCUUCUGUAUGUUACUUGCCCGAGAUUCGAUCAUCGGUAUCUCCAUACCUAGUUCAAUCUCAUUACCGGCAAGUCUCUUUACUCGUUCCUUAAUACAAGUUCCUGUAACUAACUCCUUAGUCACAUUGCUUGCAAGGCUUGUCAUGAUGUUGUAUUACCGAGUGGGCCCCGAGAUACCUCUCAGUUACACAGAGUGACAAAUCCCUGUCUUGAUCCAUACCAACCCAACAGACACCUUUGGAGAUACCUGUAGAGCAUGUUUAUAGUCACCCAGUUGCGUUGCCACGUUUGAUAAUCCACAAGGUAUUCCUCCGGUGUCCGGGAGUUGCAUGAUCUCAUGGUCAUAGGAACAGAUACAUUGACAUGCAGAAAACAACAGCAGUAAACUGACACGAUCAUACGCUACAUUUAUAGUUUGGGUCUUGUCCAUCACAUCAUUCUCCUAAUGAUGUGAUCCCGUUAUCAAGUGANNNNNNNNNNCAACACUUGUCUAUGGUUAGGAAACCUUAACCAUCUUUGAUCAAUGAGCUAGUCAACUAGAGGCUUACUAGGGACAGUGUUUUGUCUAUGUAUCCACACAUGUGUUUGUGUUUCUAAUCAAUACAAUUAUAGCAUGGAUAAUAAACGAUUAUCAUGAACAAAGAAAUAUAAUAAUAACUAAUUUAUUAUUGCCUCUAGGGAAUAUUUCCAACACCGUCACCCGUGGAGCAGUGUCACGAUGAUUAUCUUGGAUCAUCGCUCACAACAGCGCCGAGAAACCGAUCAGCGCCACCACCUCUCCGACCAGCAGGAUGAUCAGCCACCCCGGGUACUCCUCCGCGAUUGGAGCCUCGCUUCAAGCUCCUGCAAGCGGAAAUGAGGAAGAGGAGGAGACAUGAAGAGUGAGGUUGAGAGUGAGGUAGAGGAGAGAAUGACACAACCGUUUUAUAGCCCGAGGUCGGUGCGCGAUGGACGCAGUCCAUUAGCACCGCUCGUCGCUCGAUCGUCUGUGUUCGGAAAUGAAUCCGCGAGCAGUGCCGACAAAGCACUGGCCCGCAACGCGAGUGCUCGCUGCACUGGUAGCUAGUAUGCCGCGCACUAGCAAGGUACGGCGCUAGACGCCUGCGAUCUAGACACCACACAUGGAGAAAGCAGCGUAAAGCGCGGGAGAGAGAGGAAAGAGGAGAGAAGGAGGAAGAAGAAGAGACUGACCGUGGGUCCUGGGCCCACUUGGUAGCGGGAGAGAACACUAUGCACUCGGAUACGACAAGCAAAUUUGGAAUUGGAGUAUUUUCCUUUUUCGAAAGAUUUUUGUCGUAGCCAUUUAUGGCAACACCUCGUUUUGCCAAACCAUAGCUUUUGCCUGUAUCGCCAGUGCCGCAAUGUAGCUGCACCGGUUAUUGUUUUUACUGUGAUUCCCUUGCUAUGUUUAAUUACCACUUGAGGUUUGUCUCUAACAAAUCUUGAGGACGAGAUUUUUCUUAAGGGGGUAGAGUUUGUAACACCCCAAAUUUUUGCCAAGAUUUCUAUUUAAUAAAUUUGGCCAGAAUAUUGUUAAAUUUUAUUUCUGGGUUUUCUCUUGACUUCAAAACUUCUCUUAUUCUUGGUUUUGGGGAUAAUUCCUCUAUGAGCUAAAGCUUUUGAGGACUCUCAUGUGACUUGAGGGUUUACUCAAAUACUUUCUCUCGACUGAUUAUUUUAGAAAAGAACUUUCGUUAAUAUUACCUCCUAACUCAAUUAUUCAAAACUGGUUUUUUGGGGUCCAGUUUUGAACUGCACCUACCUGCUAAACUCUUCUAAAAAAUUCCACCAUAAGCUUGAAAAUUCCCUACUAUGUUUCUGGAUCAACUUUCUCUAAUAAUAUAGCCAAUUGUUUAGACAGGAUUAAGCAAAUUAAUUAAUCUUGCUUUCUGGUCCAAUGGUAGAUUUGCACUACAACCCUUGAAUUAAUUCCCCAAAAAUUUUGUAAAAGUUCAUAGCAGCCAAGGAGUUCAUACAAAUGAGUUUUGUGAAAAAACCCAGCUGAGUGUUUUGGUAAAAUAUUGCUUUUUGCCAUCUUUUCUGUUUUGGUCCAAAUAGGUGCUUUACACUACAACCUCUUCAUUAAAGUCUCUAAUAAUUCUGUAAAACUUUGGAGAGGUCCAGUUGUUUAUAUGAAUGAGUUUUCUGCAAAAAUAUAUGUUGGUCUUUUGAAAUAUUUGAGCACCACUUCUUGUUUUAUGUUCUGGACCAGAUUGACCUUUUGAACUACAACCCCACUUUUCCCUUCCCCAAUGCUCUUGAAUUUUUUUUCUGCUUGUAGUACUCCCUGUGAAACACUUAAGUAUAUAUUUUCAGCCCCAUUGGAAUUGUUUUGAUCCCUGUUGCAUCAUCUCCUUGUUACUACCCAUAAAUGUAUUUUUGCUAAAAGUGCAUUGUGAAGUUGUGGAGUUGCUAGAUCAAGUCUUGCCAUCCUUGUGCCCCUCCAGAGAGGCCCUUGUAUGGUAAUUCUUGUGGCCAGCAAGUGUUCUUAGAUGACCUUCCACAUUCCGCCGAGCAUCUGGUGCCCAUGACCAAUUUUGACAUGCUCUUUUGAUUGUAUUCAAGACUUGUUCCCCAGAGCAAUCCAACAUGUCGAGCAGAUCCCUAGUAGAACCCUGAGCCAUCCUGGGAAGUUUCCCCUUCAUCCCCAAGCCCUAGCCUGCCCUGGCAUUUCGUCGAGCACCUGGCAGAUGUGCCUGAGCGUGCUUGAUGACCCACAAGUACAGGGGAUCAAUUGUAGUCCUUUCGAUAAGUAAGAGUGUCGAACCCAACGAGGAGCAGAAGGCUCUGAUAAAAGGAUUUCAGCAAGGUAAUAACUACAAGCACUGAAAGUAGCGGUAACAAGUGAUUAUGUAGCGAGGUGAAACGUAGCAAGCAAAGAGUAACACGUAACAAGUAGUAUAAACGGUGCAGAAAGUGGCCCAAUCCCUUUUGUAGAAAGGGACAAGCCUGAACAAAGUCUUAUAGGAGGAAAAACGCUCCCGAGGACACACGGGAAUUUCUGUCAUGCUAGUUUCAUCAUGUUCAUAUGAUUCACGUUCGUUACUUUGAUAGUUUGAUAUGUGGGUGGACCGGCGCUUGGGUACUGCCCUUACUUGGACAAGCAUACCACUUAUGAUUAACCUCUCUCGCAAGCAUCCGCAACUACAAAAGAAGNNNNNNNNNNUAUAUGUGGGUGGACCGGCACUUGGGUACUGCCCUUAAUUGGACAAGCAUCCCACUUAUGAUUAACCUCUCUCGCAAGCAUCCGCAACUACAAAAGAAGAAUUAAGACAAAGUCUAACCAUAGCAUUAAACUAGUAGAUCCAAAUCAGCCCCUCAUGAAGCAACGCAUAGACUGGGGUUUAAGCUUCUGUCACUCCAGCAACCCNNNNNNNNNNNNNNNNNNNNNNNNNNNNNNNNNNNNNNNNNNNNNNNNNNNNNNNNNNNNNNNNNNNNNNNNNNNNNNNNNNNNNNNNNNNNNNNNNNNNCGGGGCGGAUCGAGGGACGUGAGGACGUUCCACUACAUCAACCGCGUUCACUAACGCUUCUGCUGUACGAUCUACAAGGGUACGUAGAUCACUCAUCCCCUCUCGUAGAUGGACAUCACCAUGAUAGGUCUUCGUGCGCGUAGGAAAAUUUUUGUUUCCCAUGCGACGUUCCCCAACAGAGAUCAUAUAACUGACUGACACCGGAGGAAUGCUUUGUGUGUAUAAAACGUCGCAACGUAAUUGGGUGACUAUAAAGAUGCUCUACAGGUAUCUCCGAAGGUGUUCGUUGAGUUGUUAUGGAUCAAGACUGGGAUUUGUCACUCUGUGUGACGGAGAGGUAUCUCGGGGCCCACUCGGUAAUGUAACAUCACACACAAGCCUGGCAAGCAAUGUGACUUAGUGUAAGUUGCGGGAUCUUGUAUUACGGAACGAGUAAAGAGACUUGCCGGUAAACGAGAUUGAAAUAGGUAUGCAGAUACCGACGAUCGAAUCUCGGGCAAGUAACAUACCGAAGGACAAAGGGAAUGACAUACGGGAUUAUAUGAAUCCUUGGCACUGAGGUUCAACCGAUAAGAUGUUCAGAGAAUAUGUAUGAUCCAAUAUGGGCAUCCAGGUCCCGCUAUUGGAUAUUGACCGAGGAGUCACUCGGGUCAUGUCUACAUAGUUCUCGAACCCGCAGGGUCUGCACACUUAAGGUUCGACGUGCUUUUAUGCGUAUUUGAGUUAUAUGGUUGGUUACCGAAUGUUGUUCGGAGUCCCGGAUGAGAUCCAGGACGCCACGAGGAGCUCCGGAAUGGUCCGGAGGUAAAGAAUGAUAUAUAGGAAGUCCUGUUUUGGUCACUGGAAAAGUUUCGGGCUCAUCGGUAGUGUACCGGGAGUGCCGGGAGGGGUGCCGGGGACCAUCGGGAGGGGUGUCACGCCCCAAGGGGUCUCAUGGGCUAUGGGAAUAGAUAAACCAGCCCCUAGUGGGCUGGUAUAAGUUCCCACUAAGGCCCAUAAGGUUUGAGAAGGAAAAAACACAAGGUGGAAAGAGUUUNNNNNNNNNNNNNNNNNNNNNNNNNNNNNNNNNNNNNNNNNNNNNNNNNNNNNNNNNNNNNNNNNNNNNNNNNNNNNNNNNNNNNNNNNNNNNNNNNNNNUGGAGUUUCAUGAUCAUCAUCAUUAACUUCCUCCUCAACCGGCGUCGCAAUGACACAGGUUUCCCCUUGCCCUGCGCCACCAUCCAGAGGGAUGAGAGGUUCGACAACCUCGUCAAGUUCUAUCUUCCUCCCACUCAAUUCUCUCGAGAGAAACUCCUUCUCGAGAAAAGCUCCGUUUUUAGCAACAAACACUUUGCCCUCGGAUUUGAGAUAGAAGGUGUACCCAACUGUCUCUUUUGGGUAACCUAUGAAGACGCACUUUUCCGCUUUGGGUUCCAGANNNNNNNNNNNNNNNNNNNNNNNNNNNNNNNNNNNNNNNNNNNNNNNNNNNNNNNNNNNNNNNNNNNNNNNNNNNNNNNNNNNNNNNNNNNNNNNNNNNNNNNNNNNNNNNNNNNNNNNNNNNNACAGUUCGUAUGGUGUCGCCUCAACGGAUUUUGAGGGUGCCCUAUUUAAAGUGAAUGCAGCUGUUUCUAAUGCAUAACCCCAAAAUGACAAUGGCAAAUCGGUAAGAGACAUCAUAGACCGCACCAUCUCUAAUAAAGUACGAUAACGACGUUCGGACACACCAUUACGCUGUGGUGUUCCAGGCGGUGUUAACUGUGAAACAAUUCCACAUUGUCUUAAGUGAGCACCAAACUCGAAACUCGGAUAUUCACCCCCACGAUCAGACCGCAGGAACUUGAUCUUCUUGUUAUGAUGAUUUUCCACUUCACUCUGAAAUUGCUUGAACUUUUCAAAUGUUUCAGACUUGUGCUUCAUCAAGUAGACAUAACCAUAUCUACUUAAAUCUUCAGUGAAGGUGAGANNNNNNNNNNNNNNNNNNNNNNNNNNNNNNNNNNNNNNNNNNNNNNNNNNNNNNNNNNNNNNNNNNNNNNNNNNNNNNNNNNNNNNNNNNNNNNNNNNNNNNNNNNNNNNNNNNNNNNNAAGUCACUUACACGCUCCAUUGUUCCUGAGAACGGAGUCUUAGUCAUCUUGCCCAUGAGGCAUGGUUCGCACGUGUCAAGUGAAUCAAAGUCAAGUGACUCCAAAAGUCCAUCAGCAUGGAGUUUCUUCAUGCGCUUUACACCAAUAUGACCUAAGCGGCAGUGCCACAAAAAUAUGGCGCUAUCAUUGUUAACUCUAACUCUUUUGGUCUCAAUGUUAUGUAUAUGCGUAUUGCUAUCAAGAUUCAAUAUGAAAAAUCCUCUCACAUUCGGUGCAUGACCANNNNNNNNNNNNNNNNNNNNNNNNNNNNNNNNNNNNNNNNNNNNNNNNNNNNNNNNNNNNNNNNNNNNNNNNNNNNNNNNNNNNNNNNNNNNNNNNNNNNAAAGAGAGAGAGAGAGAGAUUGCCAUCUAGGUAUUGAGUAGUGAACUACUCACACAUCAUCAUGAGGGAACCAAGGUUGAUGAAGAGGCGCUCCGUGAUCUACACCCCGUGUGGAAGGGUGCCGGAACGGAGCUCCACAUGGCCUCCUGUCAGAAUAGAGACUUGCGGCAACGUCAAAAGUGUUCCGGGACUCCCUCUGGUGUUUUUAGGGUAUAUUAGAAUUUAUAAGCCAAAGAACAGAGUCGGGAGGGCCAGGAGUGAGGCACAAGCCAUAAGGGCGUGCCCCCCAGGACGCGCCCUGUUGGCUUGUGGGGCCCUUGUGAGGCCUCCACCCUUCUUUCGAUGCUCGUCGACCUUAUUUUGGUGUAGAAAAAAUCACCAAAAAGUUUCACGACAAUUGGACUUCGUUUGGUAUGGAAACCUAAAAAUUGGAAAACACGUAGAAAACAACAACCGGCACUGGGCACCGGGUCAAUAGGUUAGUGCUCAAAAAUAAUAUAAUUUGGUAAAUAGAUACCCCAAAAGUAUUCUAGAAUGAUAAUAUAUCAGCAUGGAACAAUAAAAAAUUGUAGAUACGUUGGAGACGUAUCAAGCACCCCAAGCUUAAUUCCUGCUCGUCCUCGAGUAGGUAAAUGAAAAAAAACAGAUUUUUUGAUGUGACAUGCUAUCCAUGAUGUAACCUUAUGCAUGUAUGCUCAUUGAUAAAUUAUGAGUUAACAAAUAUUAGCACAAUAGUACUUAUAGGUAUAAGCAACAAAUCAUAAUUUUUCAAAGUAUAUUACCCUCAAAGAUUGUUUUGCCCCCCAUCCAUCUUUAUUUUCUUAGCAAGGCAUGGCUCCAUCUUCACCUCAUUAAUACAAAUGUCAAGCACCACUGCGUCCAAUUCAGGCAAUCGGAUCGUACUUUUCAAUAUGCAUGAACUUUUUAUUCUUCACGCAAUACAUGACUAUGAACCAUUGGACAUAUCAUAAAGGUGGAAUAGAAUAUGUUGGUAGGUUUCAAAGGGGUAAAAGUGGAGAAGAUAGUCUUACAUCAACUAGGCGUACCAACGAGCUAUGGAGAUGCCCGUCAACAGAUAUUGAUGCAAGGAGUAGAGAUUGCCAUGCAAAUGAUGCACAAGAGCUAUAAGUGUAUGAAAGCUCCACUGAAGCUAAGUGGGGUGUGCAUCCAACUUGCUUUAUCAUGAAGACCUCGGUCAUUUGAGGAAGCCCGUCAUCGGAAUAUACAAGCCAAUUUUAUGAAAAAGUCAUUCCCAAUAGCAUAUGAAUGAUAUAACAUGAGUCUCUCUAUAUGAAGAACAAGGUGCCACUUUGAGGCACACGUGUGGUAAAGGAUAGUAGCAAAGUACCUUCUAUCGUUUUCUCUCAUUCAUUUUUUAUGGUGGGCUCACUGGGCCCCCCCAUGUUUAUUUCCUUACUCGGACAAUGCUCUAAUAAUGAUGAUCAUCACACUUUUAUUUACUUACAACUCAAUAUGAAAACUGAUAGGACGAUAUGACUCUGAAGGAAUGCCUCUCGGAGUGUACCAGGAUGUGCAAAGAUCCAGCAUGACAUGUAUCAGAAAUAUGAUGAACGGUGGCUUUGCCACAAAUACUAUGUUAGUUCUAUAUGAUCAUGCAAAGCAUUAUGAUGACGAACAAACUAGUCAUGUGAAGUGACGUGGCAUUUGCAUGGCAAUAUAUCUCGGAAUGGCUAUGGAAAUGACAUGAUAGUAGGUAUGGUGGCUAUUUUGAGGAGGAUAUAAAAACAUUUAUGUGCAAGAUAACAUGUCAUGUCACGGGGUUUGCAUGCACCAGCGAGAGUUGCACCGAUCCUCAAGGUGAGAAGAUAUGAUGCACGGUACCAAAGAGGCUAGCAAAUAUGAGAGGUGAGAUCAUGUAUGUCCAUGGUGUCAUAUUAGGCAUGAAGAACUCAUAUACUUAUUGCAAAAAAUUUCUCAGUUGUAUCACCAAUUAAAGUACUAUUCGCAUGCCCCGAGGGAGAGGGUUGGUAGGAAUUAACCAUCGCGCGACUCCGACUCGAAACAACACUAGGAUUUCAAUGAUGAAUAGAAAUGCUCACACAUCAUCAACAUGCCCUUUUAAUUUUUUAGAUGAACAAGAAGUUUAACAUAUCUUAAUAUUGACACCUAUCUGAAUUAGUAAUAGUGCAGUCACACCUUUUUCAUAUUACCACACCAAUAUCAUUAGCCCACAAUUUCUCUAUAUGUGCUACAUGAUGGUUUUAAUUAUCACUCAUUGAAUACUCAUUAUUUUUGAUCUAGACUCAUGCCCAUGAAAAUUACCAUCACUAUUUUUCCAUAUCUCAAACUAAUAUAAGUGAAGAACGAGAGCAUAAUAUUUCUAUAAAAUCUACAUGCCAUCAUGCUCAAAAGAUAUAAGUGAAGUAAUAGAGCAAAUGCUAAGCUCAAAAGAUAUAAGUGAAGCACAUAGACUAUUCUAACAAAUUGUUGUGAUGUUUUCUCUCUCUCAAAUAGGUGUGUACAACAAACAAUGAUUGUGGCAAACUGAAAGUAAAAGCAAACAAAAGCACUUCAAGCAAAACUCAUAUCAUGUGAUGAAUAAAAAUAUAGCUCCAAGUAACAUACCGAUGGAUUGAGACAAAAAGAGGGGAUGCCUUUCGGGGCAUCCCCAAGUUUAGACGCUUGAGUCUUCCUAGAAUAUUAUCUUGGGGUGCCUUGGGCAUCCCCAAGCUUAGGAUUUUGCUGCUCCUCAAUCCUUUGUCCAUCGGGACAAUACCCAAAACUUGAAAACUUCGAUCACAUAAACUCAACAAAACUUCAGGAGAUCCGUUAUGAUAAGCAACAUAUCAAAUACUUUUAGGUACUGUUACAAGUUGAUUCUUAUUUAUUUUUAGCAUAGGGUACUGUAUCUUAACUCCUCCAUGGCUUAUACCCCAUCAUACAAUCCAUAGCAUCAUCAAAACAAGCAAACUACGCAUGCAAAAACAGAAUGUGACUAAAACAAAACAGUCUGUAGUAAUAUAAAAUGAACCUAUACUUAUGUAACUCCAACAAUUCUGAAAAAUUAGCAUGACCUGAGGAAUUUUUAUAGAAAUACUUUGUAAAAUAUUCAACUUACAAAGAUUUUCAGGUAAAAUUAUAGAAAUGCUGCACUGGACGUCAAAGUUUCAAAGAAAUGCUGCACUGGACGUCAUUAACAUUCAGAGAAGUAAACAAAGAUUCAAUAGGAGAUGUACCAAUCAUUUUAAGAUCUUCAUCACGAUUUGUAAUGGGGAAAGUUUCUCAUUUAGCAGCCAUCCUAUUUACUAGAGUGGUUUACUUAUCGUAGAUUUUUCCUAAUAAAUCUAUGGUGAGUGAAACUUGUGAUUGGAGGCUAGACACUUAUUUAUUAAUUUCAUCAAGUUGUUUACUUAUAGCAUCUAACAAAGUUGAAUGUUCCAUUACCUCAGAUGCAAAUAAUUUAUUGUGCUCAUAUUGCCAAGUCAUGAAGGUCUUCGUGGAACCUUCUAUUUCUGACAUGCUUUGAUAGUAAGAGAUAUUCUGGAAUCCAUCUUGAGACAUGGUGACCGAGCAAGCAAAUUGACAAUGAAAACAAGCAAACUAGAGAGCGAAGAUGCAAUCUAGUGACGAGCUAAGCAAGCAAAGAUAAAUAUUUUUGUAACUUUAUCUUUUUAUGAGACAAAAUAAAUAUACCGGCAAAUAAAAAGAGGAAUAAGUGAAUGAAAUUUGGUGUGGAGUUACUUGGUAGUUGGUGAUGAUAUUCCCCGACACUUGGUAGUUAAUGAUGAUAUUCCCCGACAAUGGCGCCCAAAAUUCUUCUUGAUACUUGUGAUCUGUGUUGGGUUUUCCAUGAAGAGGAACAUGUUAUCGAAGCACAAUGUGGGUAGUAUUUCCCCCAGUUAUGAAACCAAGGUUUAUCGAACCAAUAGGAUUAUCAACCACAACCGUCUUUAGCGGCUGCACACGAAAGAACAAACAACUUGCACUGAACGCGGGCAAGAGGGUUGUCAAUCCUCUUGUCUUGUUAUUUGCAAGCAAGUGAGGUGUAUAGAUAAUUGUAGAUAGCAAGAUAAAAUAAAAAAAGUAAAUAACAACAAGGUAAUGAAGGUUUUAUCAAUAUAUUGUUAAUAGACCCAGGGGCCAUAGCUUUCCCUAAUGGCAUCUCUCACAAAAAAUAACAUACAAUGGGUAGUUGGGCAUUUGACAAAAAAGAAGUUAGUUAUGCGAUAUUCAUGGCAAUGAUAAUGUGUAUAUAGGCAUCGCGUAUAUAAACAAAUAGGCCGACUCCUGCUUAUACCUAUUACUUAUACUCCACUCAUCGAGCGCUAUCUAGCAUGCAUCUAGAGUAUUAACUAAAACAGAGUAAUACAUGGAGAACAAUGACAUGAUGUAGACAAAGUAAACUCAAGCAAUAUGAAUAAACCCCAUCAUUUUAUCCUUAGUAGCAGCAACAAAAAGACGCAUCUUGUCCCGUUCUAUUACUGGGAUGUAGAAAUUCGCCAGGUUGAACUUACCACAAUGCACCUCUCUCACCAGAGAAAUAUCGAUCUAGUUGGCCAAACUAUUUCAACAGAUCGGAGAGAAUUACGAAGUUAUCAUAAUCAUGCACAUAAGAAUCAUAUAAGUAUUUAGAGGAGACUCAAAUAUUUAUCAUGAAUAAUCUGAACAUAAACCCACAAUUCAUCAGAUCCCAACAAAUGCGCUGCACAAAAGGAAUUACAUCAUAUGGAUCAAAGCGAAGAUGCGAUGAUCAUUAUAUUGAAGAUCAAAGAGAGAGAGAGAGAGAAAGACUGUCAUCUAGGUACUGAGUAUGGACCCGUAGGUCUAUGGCAAACUACUCACACAUCAUCAGGAGGCAACAAGGUUGAUGAAGAGGCCUUUCGUGAUUAACCCCCUCUGGUAGGUUGCCAGAACAAAGCUCCGGAUGGCCUCCCGUCAGAACAGAGACUUGCGGCAGCGUCAAAAGUAUUUCGGGACCCCCUCUCGUGUUUUUAGGGUAGAUGAGAAUUUAUAAGCAAAAGAACAGAGUUGGGGGGCCCACGAGGGAGGCACAAGCCAUCAGGGUGCGCCCCCCAGGUCGUGCCCUGUUGGCUUGUGGGCCCCUCGUGAGGCCUAUAGCCUUCUCGUGAUGCUCGUUAGUCUUCUUUUGGUACAGAAAAAUCACUAAAAAGUUUCAGGGCAAUUGGACUUCGUUUGGUAUGGAAAACCUGAAAAGUGGAAAACACGCAGAAAACAAGAACUGGCACUGGGCAGUUGGUCAAUAGGUUAGUGUUAAAAAAAAUACAAAUUGGUAAAUAAAUACGUGAAAACUAUUCUAGAAUGACAAUAUAUCAACAUGGAACAAUCAAAAAUUAUAAAUACGUUGGAAAGUUACCAUUACUUAAUGUUAUGGUUGCUAUUUACCUUAAUGAGCUUUAGUAGGUGGGGAUGCUUGCUACAGUUCCAGUCAUAAGAGCAUAUGAUCCAAGUACGGAAAGUGUGUUAGAGUAUGCCUCUCCUUGCUUGCAUAUGAUACAUAUUUAUCAUGCUAUAUUUAAUUGCCUAUGGGCAAUCUUUCUCAUCGUUCUACAAAAAGCUUACUACUAAACAACUAACUUUUAUUAUCUUGCAAAUUAUUCGUAGUUUUAUUCUAGUUAAGUACUCCUACUUUUAUUCUUGCAAACUUAUUCUUUUACACCUACAAAGUAGUUUAAUUCUUGUUCUAGGUAAAGCGAACAUUAAGUGUGCGUAGAGUCAUAACAAUAGUUGAUAGAACUUAAAGGGAAUAUUAAUUCUACCUUUGGCUCCUUGUUAGGCUCGACACAUUUACUUAUCGAGAAAGGAUGGAAUUGAUCCCCUAUACCCGUGGGUUAUUAACCCUCAUGAAGAAAAAGCAUGGCAUUAGAAUCGAGGGCAUCAAGUUCAACAAGGCUCCUCUAUGGUCCAUGUGAAUCUUGGAAGAUGAUGAGAUUCGAACACCCCCGCAAAGACAAUCAUGACCACCACUUGUCCUUUUGUAUUGCUUCAUAUUGAUCUCUUUGAUCCUACUUAUUAUGUCACACUGACUAACAUUACAUCCUAUAUGUCUUUGUAAUAGUUGACGAUUUUCAUGCUAUACAUGGAUGCACAUCAUUAUGUACAAAAUUGAAGUGCAUGAUAUCUUUAGGCGCUUCACAAAUCGGGCCAUGAUGAAUUAUGGUGUCAAGAUCAAGCAUAUUAGGAGUGGUAGUGACACUGAGUUCAAGAACACAAGUCUUCAUGACUAUCUUGAUGAACUCAGGAUCACUCAUGAGCUCUUUGUUCCCUAUACCCCUCGGUCGGCAAUGUGGAGCAUAAGAACAUGGUCUCAUCGAGAUCGAUCGCACUAUAUAUGCUUGACGAAUGCAAGAUUCCACAUCAUUGAUGAACCAAGGUAAUUGACACCACAUGCCACAUCAUAAGUAAGGUAUAUCCUCAAGAGGACUUCAUAUGAGCUUCUUAUUGAUAGGAAACCCAAUGUGAGUUAUUUUAAAGUCUUCGCUGCUAAAUGCUAGACACGGGAUCGACAUCACGGUGCGCCGAAAGCACAUGGGGGUUUUUACGCUUGGUUAUGGUCAGGAUUCACACACCUACAAAGUCUUCAACACUUACCACAACAAGUUUGUUGAAACUGUAGAUGCCUGGUUUAAUGAAACUAACGACUUGCAAAGUGAGCACCUGCCUCCAAUGCUAGAUGAAUUACCUCCUCAGGAAUCUAUCAAGUUAAUGGGCUCUCGUGAAAUUGUGCCAACUUAGCAACGUGUGACGAGGACAUCCCUAGUCCUUUACCAUAUUCUCCCAUUUAUCAUGUUGUUCCACACGACAAGUCCAAUGAAAUGAGAACUAGACCAAUUACAAGGGAACGAGCAAAGCUACUAGAACAACAAGUGAAUUCACUCUUAGUUGAAUCUGCCAUUUGUAUAAUGAGAAUUUAUACUACCAAAGUCUUUGCAUUUUUCAUGAUUAGAUUUGAAAAUGAGAACCAAAUUCAGAUUGACUGCUAGGAGGCCCAAAAUAAUAUACGUGCAAAAUCCAUGUCCAUGCUUUAAAUAAGGCAUGCAAAUACAAUUUGGAAAGCUUGACUCAUGUGCUUUCCAAACUGUUUACCCACAACCCCCGAUUCGAGGUGACCGAGUCGUAGUCGUCACAACAAUUCAUCGAUUAUUUGUACCAGGUUUCGAGAUAGAAUCAUUUAAGUUAAGAAACUUACACAUAAGGUUGUUUUUGACCCCAACACUAGGUUAGACGUCGAGGGGUCUUUCUAUACCCUUGCAAGUCAUUGAUUUUAGGGUUAGACCAUUUUUUGGUUAAACCCAUACUAGACUGAAUUGCUUUAACAAUCCCUCUGAAGUCAUAUAUCUCUUUACAUCGAUCAGGAAUAUUGACCCACUCCAAGUUUGCUUUGAUUUGGUGUUUUGCUACCGAAAGUCCCGUGUAAUCUAUUGUUCCACUGGGAAUUGAUAGAUUGCAAACCGAUUUGUGGUCGACGCCUACGUGUGCAAGUGUGGGGUGUGGAAAAUAUCCUUAGAGUUUAAGAUUUGUUGCAUUGGCAACAGGGGAACAAUCAGAGAGUUCAAGGGUGUCUCACAAGUUAUCCAACAAGUUCAUCUUCGUCACCAUCUGCUCACUUAGAAGAUCUGGCCACCCCUUAUAAUAUUGGUACCAUAUUUCUAGAGUUUACUCAGUGAGCAUCCAUCAAAUCCCUUAGAUUAGUUUUGUUUUCAUCCUAUAUAGAAAAAGCCAUACACAAAUAUAAGUUUAGAGUUUUUCCAUAGCAUAGCUAGCAUUUGUUCCAUGUUUUAGUAGAUGAUCAUAGUAUUUUAUUUGCAUAACUUAUUUUAUGAUUUGAGUCAUAAUAGAUUGUGAAGAUUUGUUUUUCACAAGUCGGGGUUGUCUGGUUCCUAUAAAGACGGUUCGUUUGAGUUAGUUUAGUUUGCUUAGGUUAACAAUAGGAAUCAGAUUGUGCUUGGUUUGAUAACCAUAGUCACCCAUUCUUAUUUUUCUUAGCACUUUGCUAUUGGGAGUAGAAUAUCCUUUGCUUUAUGGGCUGCUCAUAGAGGAUUUUGGAGAGGACAUAAUUCAUUUUAGAAAAUUCAGAUUGGUUACUAACUUCUGUGUUUCUGUUGAUAAAAAAGGAGAAAAGAGAAAGCAAGAAAAAAAUGAAAGAAAAAGGUGAAAAAUGAUGUGAAUUAAAGUUGUAUAUAACAUUGGAGAGUUUGUUUUAGNNNNNNNNNNNNNNNNNNNNNNNNNNNNNNNNNNNNNNNNNNNNNNNNNNNNNNNNNNNNNNNNNNNNNNNNNNNNNNNNNNNNNNNNNNNNNNNNNNNNCGCAAUGCAAGGAGUGUCUGAACGUCGUAAUCGCACCUUAUUAGAUAUGGUACGAUCUAUGAUGUCUCUCACCGACUUACCGCUAUCAUUUUGGGGAUACGCAUUAGAAACUGCAGCAUUCACUUUAAAUAGGGCACCGUCUAAAUCCGUUGAGACGACACCGUAUGAACUGUGGUUUGGCAAGAAACCUAAGUUGUCGAUUCUUAAAGUUUGGGGCUGCGACGCUUAUAAACCUAAGUUGUCGAUUCUUAAAGUUUGGGGCUGCGAUGCUUAUGUGAAGAAACUUCAACCAGAAAAGCUCGAACCCAAAGCGGAGAAAUGCGUAUUCAUAGGAUACCCUAAGGAAACUAUUGGGUAUACCUUCUAUCUUAGAUCCGAAGGUAAAACCUUUGUUGCCAAGAACGGAUCCUUUCUAGAGAAAGAGUUUCUCUCGAAAGAAGUAAGUGGGAGGAAGGUAGAACUUGAUGAGGUAAUUACACCCCCUCUCGAACAGGAAAGUAGCGCAGCGCAAGAAGUUGUUCCUGUGGUGCCUACACCGACUGAAGAGGAAGUUAAUGAUGAUGAUCAUGAAGCUUCGGAUCAAGUUACUACUGAACCGCGAAGGUCCACAAGGGCNNNNNNNNNNNNNNNNNNNNNNNNNNNNNNNNNNNNNNNNNNNNNNNNNNNNNNNNNNNNNNNNNNNNNNNNNNNNNNNNNNNNNNNNNNNNNNNNNNNNNNNNNNNNNNNNNNNNNNNNNNNNNNNNNNNNNNNNNNNNNNNNNNNNNNNNNAGAUUCCAACAAAUGGCUUGAGGCCAUGAAAUCCGAGAUAGGAUCCAUGUAUGAGAACAAAGUAUGGACUUUGGUGGACUUGCCCGAUGAACGGCAAGCCAUAGAAAAUAAAUGGAUCUUCAAGAAGAAGACUGAUGCAAACGGUAAUGUAACCGUUUACAAAGCUCGACUUGUGCAAAGGGUUUUCGACAAAUUCAAGGAGUUGACUACGAAGAGACUUUCUCUCCCGUAGCGAAGCUGAAAUCAGUCCGAAUCAUGUUAGCAAUUGCCGCCUUUUAUGAUUAUGAAAUUUGGCNNNNNNNNNNNNNNNNNNNNNNNNNNNNNNNNNNNNNNNNNNNNNNNNNNNNNNNNNNNNNNNNNNNNNNNNNNNNNNNNNNNNNNNNNNNNNNNNNNNNUCGCAGCCCUGCUCCUCUCCCUCGUCCUCUCUGCCGGCGCUUGGCGAAGCCUUGCCGGGAGACCUCGUCUCUCCACCAACACCACGCCGUCGUGUUGCUGGUCUUCUUCCCCAACCUCUACCUCCUCCUUGCUGGAUCAAGGUGCGGGAGACGUCACCGGGCUGCACGUGUGUUGAUGNNNNNNNNNNNNNNNNNNNNNNNNNNNNNNNNNNNNNNNNNNNNNNNNNNNNNNNNNNNNNNNNNNNNNNNNNNNNNNNNNNNNNNNNNNNNNNNNNNNNNNNNNNNNNNNNNNNNNNNNNNNNNNNNNNCUUCCGCUUAGCAAUCUUCAAAGGUACGAAGAUGCUCUUACCCCUCUCUCGUUGCUGGUCUCUCCAUAGGAAGAUCUGAAUAUGCGUAGGAAAAUUUUGAAUUUAUGCUACGUUACCCAACAGUGGCAUCCGAGCCAGGUUUUCUAUGCGUAGAUUCUAUGCACGAGUAGAACACAAAAGUUGUGGGCGAUGGUUUGUCAAUUUGCUUGCCGUUACUAGUCUUAUUCUUUUCCGGCGGUAUUGUGGGAUGAAGCGGCCCGGACCGACCUUACACGUACACUUACGNNNNNNNNNNNNNNNNNNNNNNNNNNNNNNNNNNNNNNNNNNNNNNNNNNNNNNNNNNNNNNNNNNNNNNNNNNNNNNNNNNNNAACCGUGCAUAAAGGUGGCUAGCGGGUGUCUGUCUCUCCUACUCUAGUCGGAUUGGAUUUGAUGAAAAGGGUCCUUAUGAAGGGUAAAUAGCUUUGGCAUAUCAUCGUUGUGUCUGUCACGUAGGUAAGAAGGCGUUCUUGCUAGAAACCCAAAUCAGCCACGUAAAACUUGCAACAACAAUUAGAGGACGUCUAACUUGUUUUUGCAGGGUUUGACAUGUGAUGUGAUAUGGCCAAAGUUGUGAUGUUGCAUGUAUGAUGUAUGAGAUGAUCAUGUUAUUGUAAUAGGUUUCACGACUUGCAUGGCGAUGAGUAUGACAACCGGUAGGAGCCAUAGGCGACUUGCAUGUCGAUGAGUAUGACAACCGGCAGGAGCCAUAGGAGUUGUCUUAAUUUAUUGUAUGAGAUGCAACGCCAUGUGCUUGCUACUUUUACUUCAUUGCUAACGGUUAGCCAUAGUAGUAGUGAUAGUAGUAGUUGGCGUGACGACUUCACGAAGACACGAUGAUGGAGAUCAUGAUGAUGGAGAUCAUGGUGUCACGCCGGUGACGAUGAUGAUCAUGCGAUGCCUGAAGAUGGAGAUCGAAAGAGCAAAGAUGAUAAUGGCCAUAUCAUGUCACUAUAUGAUUGCAUUGUGAUGUUUAUCAUGUUUUACAUCUUAUUGCUUAGAACGACGGUAGCAUAAUAAGAUGAUCUCUCUUAAAAUUUCGAGAACGUAUUCCCCUAAGUGUGCACCGUUGCGAAGGUUCGUUGUCUCGAAGCACCACGUGAUGAUCGGGUGUGAUAGAUUCUAACGUUCGCAUACAACGGGUGUAAGCCAGAUUUACACACGCGAAACACUUAGGUUGACUCGACGAGCUUAGCAUGUACAGACAUGACCUCGAAUACAAGAGACCGAAAGGUCGAACAUGAGUCGUAUGGUUGAAUACGAUCAGCAUGAAGUUUCUCACCAUGGUGACUAGUCCGUCUCACGUGAAGAUCGGACACGGGUUAGUCAACAUGGAUCAUGCAUCACUUAGAUGACUAGAGGGAUGUCGAUUUAAGUGGGAGUUCAUACUUAAUUUGAUUAAAUGAACUUAAUUGUCAUGAACUUAGUCUAAAAGUUGUCCUUAUAAAUAUUGUAGAUGUCCAACGUCAACCNNNNNNNNNNNNNNNNNNNNNNNNNNNNNNNNNNNNNNNNNNNNNNNNNNNNNNNNNNNNNNNNNNNNNNNNNNNNNNNNNNNNNNNNNNNNNNNNNNNNCUCACUUAAGACAAUGUGGAAUUGUUUCGCAAUUGACACCGCCUGGAACACCACAGCGUAAUGGUGUGUCCGAACGUCUUAAUCGUACUUUAUUAGAAAUGGUGCGAUCUAUGAUGUCUCUUACCGAUUUGCCGUUAUCGUUUUGGGGUUAUGCAUUAGAGAGCAUUCANNNNNNNNNNNNNNNNNNNNNNNNNNNNNNNNNNNNNNNNNNNNNNNNNNNNNNNNNNNNNNNNNNNNNNNNNNNNNNNNNNNNNNNNNNNNNNNNNNNNNNNNNNNNNNNNNNNNNNNNNNNNNNNNNNNNNNNNNNNNNNNNNNNNNNNNNNNNNNNNNNNNNNNNNNNNNNNNNNNNNNNNNNNNNNNNNNNNNNNNNNNNNNNNNNNNNNNNNNNNNNNNNNNNNNNNNNNNNNNNNNNNNNNNNNNNNNNNNNNNNNNNNNNNNNNNNNNNNNNNNNNNNNNNNNNNNNNNNNNNNNNNNNNNNNNNNNNNNNNNNNGAGUGGGAGGAAGAUAGAACUUGAUGAGGUUGUCGAACCUCUAGUACCUCUAGAUGGUGGCGCAGGGCAAGGGGAAACCCGUGUCGAAGCGACACUGGUUGAGGAGGAAGUUAAUGAUGAUGAUCAUGAAACUGCAGAUCAAGUUCCUAUNNNNNNNNNNNNNNNNNNNNNNNNNNNNNNNNNNNNNNNNNNNNNNNNNNNNNNNNNNNCAUGUCGACAAGAUCACGUACUACUCCUAGUGGUACGGUAAUCAUGUCUUAUCAAUGAUGUUGUUAGACAACAAUGAACCUGCAAAUUAUGAAGAAGCAAUGGUGGGCCCGGAUUCCAACAAAUGGCUGGAGGCCAUGAAGUUCGAGAUAGGAUCUAUGUAUGAAAACAAAGUGUGGACUUUGGAAGUAUUACCUGAAGGCCGCAAGGCUAUUCAGAACAAAUGGAUCUUUAAGAAGAAGACGGAUGCGGACGGUAAUGUGACCGUUUAUAAAGCUCAACUUGUGGCAACGAGUUUUUCACAAGUUCAAUGAGUUGACUACGAUGAGACCUUCUCACCGGUAGNNNNNNNNNNNNNNNNNNNNNNNNNNNNNNNNNNNNNNNNNNNNNNNNNNNNNNNNNNNNNNNNNNNNNNNNNNNNNNNNNNNNNNNNNNNNNNNNNNNNGAGAAACUCCUUCUCAAGAAAAGCUCCUUUUUAGCAACAAACACUUUGCCCUCAGAUUUGAGAUAGAAGGUGUACCCAACUGUCUCCUUUGGGUAACCUAUGAAGACGCACCUUUCCGCUUUGGGUUCAAGCUUUUCAGGCUGAAGCUUUUUGACAUAAGCAUCACAUCCCGAAACUUUAAGAAACGACAACUUUGGCCUUUUGCCAUACCACAGUUCGUAUGGUGUCGUCUCAACGGUUUUUGANNNNNNNNNNNNNNNNNNNNNNNNNNNNNNNNNNNNNNNNNGGUUCCCUAUUUAAAGUGAAUGCUCUCUAAUGCAUAACCCCAAAACGAUAACGGCAAAUCGGUAAGAGACAUCAUAGAUCGCACCAUUUCUAAUAAAGUACGAUUAAGACGUUCGGACACACCAUUACGCUGUGGUGUUCCAGGCGGUGUCAAUUGCGAAACAAUUCCACAUUGUCUUAAGUGAGCACCAAACUCGAAAAUCAGAUAUUCACCCCCACGAUUAGAACGCAGGAACUUGAUCUUCUUGUUAUGAUGAUUUCCAACUUCACUCUGAAAUUGCUUGAACUUCUCUCAGACUUUUGCUUCAUCAAGUAGAUAUAUCCAUACCUACUCAAAUCGUCAGUGAAGGUGAGAAAAUAACGAUAUCCGCCGCGCGCCUCCACACUCAUCGGACCGCACACAUCGGUAUGUAUGAUUUCCAACAAGUCACUGGCACGCGCGCCUCCACACUCAUCGGACCGCACACAUUGGUAUGUAUGGUUUCCAACAAGUCACUUGCACGCUCCAUUGUUCCGGAGAACGGAGUCUUAGUCAUCUUGCCCAUGAGGCAUGGUUCGCACAUGUCAAGUGAUUCAAAGUCAAGUGACUCCAAAAGUCCAUCGGAAUGGAGUUUCUUCAUGCUCUUUACACCAAUAUGACCUAAGCGGCAGUGCUAGAAAAACAUGGCGCUAUCAUUGUUAACUCUACAUCUUUUGGUCUCAAUGUUAUGUAUAUGUGUGUCAUCGCUAUCAAGAUUCAAUAUGAACAAUCCUCUCACAUUGGGUGCAUGACCAUAAAAGAUAUUACUCAUAGAAAUAGAACAACCAUUAUUCUCCGACUUAAAUGAGUAACCAUCUCGCAAUAAACAAGAUCCAGAUAUNNNNNNNNNNNNNNNNNNNNNNNNNNNNNNNNNNNNNNNNNNNNNNNNNNNNNNNNNNNNNNNNNNNNNNNNNNNNNNNNNNNNNNNNNNNNNNNNNNNNCCUAAGGGUAGAAAUGUAGAAAUGAUAACAAAAAGGAACUCAUAACCUCCAACUCCAGUUGACCAUUCAGUCCUGUUUAACAUUGUGCAACUCCAAGUGCACUGGCCAGAGGUGCGCCUACAUAUAGCUCCAAGGGGGCUGGAGCUACUGUGGGGACGUAGGCAAACGUGCUUAUAUACUGCUCCGCUGUCCACCGGCGGCUGCUUUGAACGCCAAUCCCGUUCAACAGCUUCGCGCACCCAAGAUCAAGCCCGUGAACACCUUUGCUCAUGAUCCGGUGAGCGUACAGUGUUCCGUUCUUCUCCUGCAUGAACAGGUGCCCCCGGUGCAGGGCCUGCCGCCCUGGGAGUCGUCGGCCGUGCGUUAGGUUCACGAUAUCGACCUCAUACGCCAUGGCGUUAAAGUUAUGCGGCCAAUCGCCGCCCGUGGACUCGCCGUCGCCGACCAACCACCUUAUUUGGAUGAUGCACAGUUCAUCGCGCCGCCACCAUGGAUGAUGGCAAACGAUCGGCAAACUGUGCCCCCGCCGGCUCUCGACCGAUGUGAUCUCCUCCGUCACCAGGUCGAAGUGCGCGUAUCUGUUAAAGAUCCCGUGCUCAUUGUCCUGCAGGUACCUCCAGUAUACGGCUCCGUCGUUGCACGCCGGGCCGCCCUCCUCCCAGGAGGCAUGGGUGAUCUUCACGGUCCUCCAGCCCUCGUCUGCUCCGACGGUGAACACCUCCAGCUGACAUUCGUGGCCUUUGUGGACAAUCUUGUAUUGCCUGGCGGUGGCGUCGUAGCCGAAGCAGUACUGCUCCGGGCAGCGGCUCCACAUCGAUCCUUUUGGCAGCGGAACGGCGAUCGACUCGCCGGUGAAGGGCUCUAGGACCUCGACGACGCCCUGGAAUUUGUCGUGGAAGCAGAGCAGGCCGUUGCACGUCCUAUCAGGACCUGCGAUUCGACGACGUUCAUCCUUGCCGUGAGUCGCCAUUGCUCGUCGAAGAGGAACGGCUGCCGGCACGCUGCUCGGAGGGGUGAGCGAACACGAUGGUGUGGGUGGGGGCUCGCGGUCCUUGCACCAUGUGCGCUUCGAUGAAGACAGUGUCCGAGAUGACAUCGCGCCACUCCUUGCAGACGCGGCGCAAGAGGCGGAGNNNNNNNNNNNNNNNNNNNNNNNNNNNNNNNNNNNNNNNNNNNNNNNNNNNNNNNNNNNNNNNNNNNNNNNNNNNNNNNNNNNNNNNNNNNNNNNNNNNNUUCGGUCCGGACUUCGGCUCGGAGGCAGAGACAACCUUCUCCAUGCCCUUCGCCUUACCCUUUUUCUUGGACCAACUCUUCUUGAACUCUGCCGAGUUCUGCACGAUCAACACUUGAUGCAUGCCUUUCUUAAUAUCCUACUCUGCCACCUUGAGAAUCACAUGCAAUUCAAUGAGCUUAUUAUCCAUGCUGUGCAUAAGAUAGUUCAAGAUGAGCGUCCUAUAGCUAGCUGGAAGAGAACCCAUAAAUGCAUCAGUCGUCACCUCAUCCAAGAGUGGGAAGCCCAACUAAUCCAAAGCUUGCACGUAUCUGAUCAUAUUGAUCACAUGCGGGCUCAGUGGAUCACCUUCCUUCAUCUUACAAUCCAUCAAGGACCGCCAGAUGUUGAACCUUUUGGUCCUAGCCUGCACCUAAAACAUGCUCUUGAGACUCUCGAUCAUAUCGAAAGCAGCAAUAUCUUUGAAAUUCUCUUGCAAAUCAGGCUCCAUACAAGCCAUCAUGAGGCAACUGAUCUCGUUCGAUUCACCAACGAGUUUCUGGUAGGCAUUCUUGGUUGUGGCAUUAGCAUUAUCGGCAGGUACCUCUCGAAGUGGAUCCUCUAGAACAUGUUCUGUCGUCGUUUUCUCACAGGGGUACGCCGUCACGGCAAAUGCCAUGGGAUGGCUUCAAGUGGUGAGAGAAAGGCUGCCACGGAGAUUCGGGAUGGGAUAGAGUAAGAGUAAUAGCAUGCGGUGGAGGAACAACACUGCGCGAAUGCGGGCGAGCGGCGGCAGGGCCAAUGCACGGUCGCCGAGGAAGCGGCGAGUAACCCUCGGAGCAUGGCUGAGCGACCGUGGAGGCGAGGCUGCGGACUGGAGUGACGGCGUGGUGCCACCACUCACUAGGACGCGGCGUGCAGUGGGAGGAGGCGAGAACAGUGCAGCCGAAGGAGGAACCACGACCUAGAGUGGAGGUAUUGGCGAUGGGGAUUUCCUGUGUGGAGACGGAACUAGCAUGCACGAGCCUGCUUUUGUGGGAAGGAGAUCGACCAUGAACUCUCGUGGGAUUUUUUCUGUGAUGUAGAGAAAAUGUAGGAGUCGAGCGACGACCGCUGCAGUCGCCGGAACGCGUUCGGGGCCGUCGCGAGCACGCUGGCUGGGAGCAGCACUAGCGAGGAGGACACGGCAGCGACCCUUCACGGCCGCGAGAGGCUGUCNNNNNNNNNNNNNNNNNNNNNNNNNNNNNNNNNNNNNNNNUCUCUAGCGCGAAUUUGGAGAGUUGGGGAAGUGGUCGGCGAGGCGAGCGCGUCGGGGCCAGGCACGGGCGAAGGAACGCAGGACCGGUGACGCCGACACGCAGCACCGCGAUGGUGGUGGUGAAGAAGGUCCUGCCCGAACCGCGAUUCCAACAGCAACGGCCCCCACGAUGGUCGCCAACUGUCAUCGUUUUCUCACAGGGGGUACCCCGUCACGGCAGAUGCCAUGGGAUGGCUUAAAGUGGUGAGAGCAAGGCUGUCGUGGAGAUCCGGGAUGGGAUUGGGUAAUAGCACGCGGUGGUUUACCCAGGUUCGGGGCUCUUCGGAGAGAUAAUACCCCUACUCCUGCAUGUNNNNNNNNNNNNNNNNNNNNNNNNNNNNNNNNNNNNNNNNNNNNNNNNNNNNNNNNNNNNNNNNNNNNNNNNNNNNNNNNNNNNNNNNNNNNNNNNNNNNCGCUCAAGCUCGCCUGCCGACGCCGGCAAGUCGGACAAGGAGGGCUUCUACGCCGCCGCGCUCUGGAUGCACGAGAACCACCCCAAGACGCUCGCCUGCAACGUCGCCGCGCUCGCCGAGUUCGGCUACCUCAAGGACUUCCCCGAGCUGCUCUUCCGCCUCAUCCACGGCCCCGACGUGCGCAAGGUCGCCAAGGCAGCCGCCGAGGCCGACAAGGCGCGGAAGACGGAGAAGGAGCUCGUCAAGCGGCGGGCGGCCUUCCGCACCAGGUUGGCCAGUCGGCCGAGAAGGAGAAGGCUUGUCUGCCUCGACGACGAGCUGGCCUCUCCGCCAUUGCCACCGGUGCCACCCAAGGCCACCUUGGGUGAUUUCCUCGCCGCCGCGCUCUACAGAUCCCGCAAGGCCGUAGUGGUUGAGGCCGUCCCUGUCUCCGUCGCCGUACCGGAGGCAGCCGAGCAGAAGCCGGAGGCGAUGGAGGCCGUCCCUGUGUCCGCCGUGGUCCCGGAGCCAACCAACCANNNNNNNNNNNNNNNNNNNNNNNNNNNNNNNNNNNNNNNNNNNNNNNNNNNNNNNNNNNNNNNNNNNNNNNNNNNNNNNNNNNNNNNNNNNNNNNNNNNNNNNNNNNNNNNNNNNNNNNNNNNNNNNNNNNNNNNNNNNNNNNNNNNAUCGGAAGAAGACCCCACGUAAGUGGCAGAUGUCCAAGAAGGUCCGGAAGGUGGCCAAGCUCGCCGUGCAGUCGCUGGAGACGUACUACGGCGAUCGUACCUACCGUUUCUUGUUCGACGCCGUCGCGGACUUCUUCGCCGCGCUCCUCUCCUCGGACCUCGAACAGCUUGCCCACGGCGGGAAGAAGAGGAAGAUCGGGCUCGCCGCCAAGUGGUGUCCCACGCCGGGCUCGUCGUUCGACCGCAGCACGCUGCUCUGCGAGGCCAUUGCUCGUCGCCUCUUCCCGCGCGACUCGGACCCCGAGUACGCCCAACUCUCGGACGAGCACUACACGUACUGCGCCCUCCAUCGCCUCCGCCGUGAGGUGCUGGUGCCGCUGCGCAAGGUCCUGAAGCUUCCGGAGGUGUACAUGAGCGCGCAGCGGUGGUCCGAGCUCCCCUACGCUCGAGUGGCAUCGGUGGCCAUGAGGCGCUACAAGUUGCUGUUCAAGAAGCACGACGAGGUGCGCUUCGGCAGGUACAUGGACGACGUGAAGGCCGGCAAGGCCAAGAUCUCGGCGGGCGCGCUCCUGCCACACGAGGUCGCGGCGGCCGCCUUCCGGGGACUGGAGGACGACGUGUCGGAGCUCCAGUGGCGACGCAUGGUGGACGACCUCCGCUCCAAUGGGUCGCUGCGCAACUGCAUCUCCGUCUGCGACGUGUCGGGCAGCAUGACCGGCACGCCGAUGGAGGUGUGCAUCGCGCUGGGCGUGCUCACGUCGGAGCUCAGCGAGGAGCCGUGGAAGGGCAAGGUGAUCACGUUCCAUUCAAGGCCCUCGAUCCACCUGAUCAAAGGCAAGACCCUGCGGGAGAGGAUGAAGUUCGUGGAGCGCUUGGAGUGGGGCGGGAGCACCAACUUCCAAGGGGUGUUUGACCAGAUCCUCCGCACGGCUGUGGACGCCGGACUUGCGCCGGAGAAGAUGACGAGGACCGUGUUCGUGUACAGCGACAUGGAGUUCGACAUGGCGUCAGGCGCCUGCUACGGCAGCGGGCCAUCGUGGGACACUGACUAUGAGGUGAUCUGCAAGAAGUUCAGAGCCGCCGGCUACGGCGAUGUGGUGCCGCAGAUCGUCUUCUGGAACCUGCGCGACUCCAAGUCGAUGCCGGUGACGUCGACCCAGCCCGGGGUGGCCAUGGUGAGCGGCUUCUCCAAGAACUUGCUCAAGAUGUUCCUGCAGAACGACCGGCGUGGUGAACCCGGAGGCCAUCAUGAUGCAGGCCAUCGCCGGCGACGAGUACCAGAAGCUGGCCGUGUUCGACUAGAUCGAUUGUCAUCAGCUUAGCUUCUUUUCUGAAUCGUAUUGUGAACAGCUAGCUGUCUUUGCACGGUCACGGAACGUUGUACUACUGGUCCAUGAAUAACGGAAGUAUAAGCUCUGAGAGUUGCACAAGUUAUUUAAAAGAAGAAAUUGGCGGUUCAUAAUUUGUUUGUAUUCAAGGUGGUGGAGGGGCUUCCNNNNNNNNNNNNNNNNNNNNNNNNNNNNNNNNNNNNNNNNNNNNNNNNNNNNNNNNNNNNNNNNNNNNNNNNNNNNNNNNNNNNNNNNNNNNNNNNNNNNAUCAUUCUAAAGCUUCAACUGUGAUACGUAGAGGCUAUAUUAGAACACCUACACCCCCUGAGAAAAUUAGAGUUGAACCUAGCAUUGAUAUCAUCAAAGAUCUUCUGUUCGACGAUGUUGAGGAACAUAAUAUUCACUUCUGUGAAGAUGCUGCUAGAAUUGCUAAACCUCACGUUAGAGACAAACAUAGGCCUGUUGUUGGCAUGCCUGUGGUUUCUGUUAAAAUAGGAGAUCAUUGUUAUCAUGGCUUAUGUGAGUGGGUGCUAGUGUUAGUGCAAUACCUCAAUCCUUAUAUGAUGAAAUCAAAGAUGAGAUUGCACCUAUUGAGAUAGAGCCCAUUGAUGUCACUAUUCAGCUUGCCAAUAGAGAUACUAUCUGCCCUGUGGGAAUUGUUAGGGAUGUUGAAGUCUUAUGUGGUAAAACGAAGUAUCCUGUUGAUUUCCUCGUUCUUGCUACUGCACAAGAUAGCUUUUGUCCCAUCAUAUUUGGCAGACCUUUUCUCAAUACCGUCAAUGUUGGCUUUGAAGGCGUGUCACAUGUGUUCAAUUUCUCCAAGUUUGGUAGACAACCUCAUGAAAAGGAGUUGCUUAGUAAGGAUGAAACUAUUGCCUUAGCCUCUAUUGUCGUGCCUCCUACUGAUCCCUUAGAGCAAUACUUGCUUGAGCAUUAAAAUGAUAUGCAUAUGGAUGAAAGGGAUGAGAUAGAUAGAGUUGUUGUAACGACCAUGAUGCGGUCCUUUCCGAUCUGGGGGUCGAGGCCCCCGAAUAGGAAAGAAGCGCAUCUAAGCGUUUCGCAAGAAAGUAACAUAGCACAAAUAAUAAUACAAGUAGACAAUUCGGGAUUCAACUGUCUUCUUAUUAAUAACUCAGAGUACAUCACAGAUACAAUCAAGGUAGUUCCGCUACGGACUACAAAACAUGGAAAAUCUAUGCUACCCUGCCUGCAGGCCCACGAUCACGACCACGCCUUAGUACUCUGGAUAGUUCACGUAGAGGUGGUCUGUCUCCUUGUCGUACUGCCACGCCAGCUGGGUGCCGUCGGGAUCAUCUGUCUCCNNNNNNNNNNNNNNNNNNNNNNNNNNNNNNNNNNNNNNNNNNNNNNNNNNNNNNNNNNNNNNNNNNNNNNNNNNNNNNNNNNNNNNNNNNNNNNNNNNNNNNNNNNNNNNNNNNNNNNNNNNNNNNAUCUAAGACCUUGGUGCCAGAACUAGUCAUGUUAUUAGGUAGGGUAAGGGUGAAGUGUAUCAGGCUACAGCAUCCUAAGCUUGAUUAGGUGGCUAACUUACGCAAAGUAGAAAUGAAGGUGGUCUACACUAGCGGUCGGGACUACUUGAUCACUAAGUGAUCCUGAACACCUACCUAAGGCAUUCAUAACCCCACCGUGUUCCCGAUCGAAGAGAGAUCUUCGAAGGGACAGUCACGGUUACGCANNNNNNNNNNNNNNNNNNNNNNNNNNNNNNNNNNNNNNNNNNNNNNNNNNNNNNNNNNNNNNNNNNNNNNNNNNNNNNNNNNNNNNNNNNNNNNNNNNNNCAUGAAUCCUUGACACUGAGGUUCAACCGAUAUAAUCUUCGGAGAAUAUGUAGGAUCAAAUAUGGGCAUCUAGGUCCCGCUAUUGGAUAUUGACGAGGAGUGUCUUGGGUCAUGUCUACAUAGUUCUCGAACCCGCAGGGUCUGCACACUUAANNNNNNNNNNNNNNNNNNNNNNNNNNNNNNNNNNNNNNNNNNNNNNNNNNNNNNNNNNNNNNNNNNNNNNNNNNNNNNNNNNNNNNNNNNNNNNNNNNNNNNNNNNNNNNNNNNNNNNNNNNNNNNNNNNNNNNNNNNNNNNNNNNNNNNNNNNNNNNNNNNNNNNNNNNNNNNNNNNNNNNNNNNNNNNNNNNNNNNNNNNNNNNNNNNNNAGUUUCGGGCAUUUCCGGCAGUGUACCGGGAGUGACGAAUGGGUUCCGGGUGUUUACAGGGAAGGGCCCACCCACCCGGGAGUGAUCCCAUGGCCUUAGGGUGGCGCAGCAAGUCCUUAGUGGGCUGGUGGAGUCAGCCCAAGAGGGCUAUGGCGCCACAAGCAAAAAUAUCAAAGGAAAGGAAAAAAAGGAAAGAGGGAGGUCAGAAGGAAGAGGAGGACUCCUCCUUCCCAAACCGAAUUGGAGGAGGAGUCCUCCUCCACCCUUGCGGCCGGUGCACCCUUGGGUCCCUUAUGCCCCACAGCUAGCCCCUCCCCUCAUCCUAUAUAUAUUGGUGGUUUAGGGCUUUUUUGAGACACAACUUUGCCACGUGCUACUCAAGCCUAUUCCACAUAGUUUCACCUCUAGAUUGGAUUUCUGCGGAGCUCAGGUGGAGCCCUGCAGGAGUAGAUCAUCACCACCACCGGAGCGCCGUCACGCUGCCGGAUAACUCAUCUACUUCUCCGUCUUGCUAGCUGGAUCAAGAAGGCCGAGAUCAUCGUCGAGCUGUACGUGUGUUGAAUGCGGAGGCGUCGUCCGUUCAGCGCUAGAUCGGAACGGAUCGUGGGACGACGGUGAUUUGAAUCACGAAGCUGUACCACUACAUCAACCGCGUUUCCUAAUGCAUCCCGCUUAGCGAUCUACAAGGGUACGUAGAUCUAAUCUCGUCUCGUAGAUGGACAUCACCAUGAUAGGUCUUCGUGUGCGUAGGAAUUUUUUUGGUUCCCAUGCAACGUUCCCCAACAACAACUUGUUCCCUGACGUCAACAACCUCUUCGACAACAUAGUUGGUGACGACGUCAAUGGCAAUCCUCCUCCUGCUGCUGCAAUUCUGUACGUGUUUGUGUUCUUCUUGUUUGAGUUCCUACCGCAACUUCUUGUUCUAGUCUCUGUUCNNNNNNNNNNNNNNNNNNNNNNNNNNNNNNNNNNNNNNNNNNNNNNNNNNNNNNNNNNNNNNNNNNNNNNNNNNNNNNNNNNNNNNNNNNNNNNNNNNNNGAUCUCCAUCAACGUGUUGCCAUCGGGGUUGUCGUGCUACUCAUGCUAUUACUACCAAAGCUACAUCCUAGCAAAAUAGUAAACGCAUCUGCAAGCACACAUGUUAGUAUAAAGACAACCCUAUGGCUCCUGCCGGUUGCCGUACCAUCGACGUGCAAGUCGAUAUUAUCUAUUACAACAUGAUCAUCUCAUACAUCCAAUAUAUCACAUCACAUCGUUGGCCAUAUCACAUCACAUGCAUACCCUGCAAAAAAAAGUUAGGCGUCCUCUAAUUUGUUGUUGCAUGUUUUACGUGGUGACCGAGGGUAUCUAGUAGGAUCGCAUCUUACUUACGCAAACACCACAACGGAGAUAUAUGAGUUGCUAUUUAACCUCAUCCAAGGACCUCCUCGGUCAAAUCCGAUUCAACUAAAGUUGGAGAAACAGUCACUUGCCAGUCAUCUUUGAGCAAAGGGGGUUACUCGUAACGAUGAAACCAGUCUCUCGUAAGCGUACGAGUAAUGUCGGUCCAAGCCGCUUCAAUCCAACAAUACCGCGGAAUCAAGAAAAGACUAAGGAGGGCAGCAAAACGCACAUCACCGCCCACAAAAACUUUUGUGUUCUACUCGAGAAGACAUCUACGCAUGAACCUAGCUCAUGAUGCCACUGUUGGGGAACGUCGCAUGGGAAACAAAAAAUUUCCUACGCGCACGAAGACCUAUCAUGGUGAUGUCCAUCUACGAGAGGGGAUAUUCGAUCUACGUACCCUUGUAGACCGUACAGCAUAAGCGUUAGUGAACGCGGUUGAUGUAGUGGAACGUCCUCACGUCCCUCGAUCCGCCCCGCGAACCGUCCCGCGAUCAGUCCCACGAUCUAGUGCCGAACGGACGGCACCUCCACGUUCAGCACACGUACAGCUCGACGAUGAUCUCGGCCUUUGCGAAAACCUCAAAUUGUUGUCCUUAUAUUGUAUAACGCGAAAUUCCAUAUUGUCCGUCCCGCCGGGACGCGAAAACCUCAAACUUAACCUAUGCCCUCCAUCGGCUACAACUAGUAAUGAAUUUGCAGAGAAUCACAAGUCGACGCGCAGGUCGUUAUACAAUAUAAGGACAACAAUUUGGCUCCUGUCGGCUGAGAAUCAUGGCACGCAGGUCAUGUUAAAUUACACAAAUGCAUCACAUACAUAUGAGCCAUACUAUUCACAUCAAACCUGCAAAACAAACUUGUGCAUAGAAUCCCCUUAUCACAUACAUAUGAGCCAUACUAUUCACAUCAAACCUGCAAAACAAACUUGUGCAUAGAAUCGCAUUCUACCGUUUUAUGUGAUCGUGUACGAAAUACAUGGCGCUACGCACACGACGGCCCCGCUUUUGGAAAUAAUAGAUCGAAUCUGUGCUCCGAUCACGUCGAAUUUUCUGAUCUGACCGAUCUUAUCGAUCAUCGCGAACCUGAUUCGGAUUUACGUUUCGCUGUUAAUCACGAUGAUGGAAACCGACCGGUAGGGGUAGGUUGUGUCACAACCUCAUUGAUUCCGAUUGACAGAAAACAUAGCAUCAGUGACCCCGAUGUGCAGUUUAUCACAUCAACCNNNNNNNNNNNNNNNNNNNNNNNNNNNNNNNNNUUUAUCACAUCAACCGUGCACAUAGCCGAUCUCAAGAACGACAAUGGAUCUCAUAUGUCGCCUCCACAUAUAAAAUAUGCAUCCGAUCUGAAGCCAAAACUUAUAGAAGAGGCUCUGAUAGCACUAUUGGGAUCUACCGUAGGUGCAUCGCAUGAAAAUUUAAAAUGUCCUAUGCGUAGAACAACCAAGAACAUGCUACGGAGAUGGAUCACACAUCGUCACCANNNNNNNNNNNNNNNNNNNNNNNNNNNNNNNNNNNNNNNNNNNNNNNNNNNNNNNNNNNNNNNNNNNNNNNNNNNNNNNNNNNNNNNNNNNNNNNNNNNNGCAUUUGCUAGAGAACUUGAGCAUUUCAACUGUAUGUUACUUGAGAAGUAUGUUGUCGGAGGUAGUAUCACUAAGCUUCCUCCCUCAUGGAGGAACUUUGCUACCUCGCUGAAGCAUAAGAGGCAGGAGUUUUCCGUUCCAGAUCUCAUUGGUACUCUUGAUAUGGAAGAAAAGGCAAGAGCAAAAGACAUACGUGCUCGAGGUAUGGAGGGAGGUUCUAGUGCCAAACUGGUACAGAAGAAAAACUUUCAGCCCCACAAGUUCAAGAACAAGGGCAAGUUUGAUGGUAAGGGAAAGUUUGAUGAGAAGAACAAGGCUUCGCAGCACACCAACUUCAAGAACAAGACUGGCAAGAAGAAAGGUGUUUGUCGUGUCUGUGGAGAUCCUGAUCAUUGGGCACCUAGUUGCCCUAACCAUUAUGACAAGCGUCAACAUGGGAAAGGCGACAAGAUUGCCAAUGUUGUCAUUGGUGACGCUGAGAUGGAGGAUGUUGGGUGUAUACUUCCCACUUUUUUUCUCAUUAUGUCGUUCUCCUGAUUGGUUGAUUCACACACGGGUGCUAAUGUGCAUGUAUGCGGUGAUAUUUCCAUGUUUUCUUCAUAUCAGGCCGUAGGGACUACUUUCAUCCUGAUGGGUAACAGUUCAAGUGCUUCUAUUCAUGGUGUUGGCACGGUCGAUCUGAAGUUUAUUUCGGGAAAGGUCGUGCGGCUGAAGAACGUGCAUUAUGUCCCCUCCGUGAAUAAAAAUCUUGUUAGCGGAUCUCUUUUAUGUAGAGAUGGCUACAAUCAUGUCUUUGAGUCCAAUAAAUUUGUAAUAUCCAAGUAUGGAACCUUUUUUGGUAAAGGUUAUGAGUGAGGAGACUUGUUCAGACUAUCCUUGUCAGAUGUUUGUAAUAAAGUAUUUAAUCAUGUUUGCAAUAAUAUUGAAUCAAAUGUCUGGCAUUCACGUCUUUGUCGUGUUAAUUUUGGUUGUAUGACGCGGCUAGCCAAGUUGAACUUAAUCCCCAACUUCACUACUAUCAAGGGAUCUAAGUGAUAAGCUUGUGUGCAAGAUAAGCAACCUCAUAAGUCUCAUACAACUAUGGAAACAAGAAAUCUUGUGCCACUAGAACUCAUACAUUUAGAUCUUUGUGAAAUGAAUGGUGUUUUGACGAAAGGUGGAAAGAAAUAUUUUAUGAUGUUAAUCAUUGACUCCUCUAGAUACUACCAUGUUUAUCUUUUAAAAUCAAAAGAUGAGGCUUUGAAUUUNNNNNNNNNNNNNNNNNNNNNNNNNNNNNNNNNNNNNNNNNNNNNNNNNNNNNNNNNNNNNNNNNNNNNNNNNNNNNNNNNNNNNNNNNNNNNNNNNNNNUGAGUCCCUUGUGGCUCACAGAUUACUACAACACCAGUUGCAGGUACAUGUAAAGGUCACUCGACGCGAGCGUGUUGAUUGUUCAUUUGGAGUUGCUUCUUCUUCUUCUUCUUCAUCGAUCUAUGAUGGGUUCCAGGCCAGCAGCCUGGGAUAGCAAGGAUGGACGUCGUUCUUCUUUUCUCAUUUGUUUUCGUCCGUAGUCGGACCCUGCUCUUCUUCAUGAUGAUUAUGUACUGUACUGCUAUGACUCUGAUGUAGCUUGUGGCGAGUGUAAGCCAACUCUAUAUAUAUAUAUAUAUAUAUAUCUUCUUUUCAGUACAUGUACUUGUAACGAUAUCCAUUCUUGCGACACGACGAGAUGCGCUUCUAUCCCUGACGAGGCCUUCGUGCCAAAUUGAGGAUAGGGUCGCAUCUUGGGCGUGACACUACGGUAUGAUCAAAAAGGAUUUGGUGACUCGCCAAUGGGUGACAUACAUCAUAACCCGCUAUUCGGGCGAUUCAUGGAAGUAUAUUUGAAGUAUUGUAACUCGCUCUUCAAUUGGAAAGGAAGGGGGCAUAGCUAUGGUGAUAAAUUUAAGUCGCUAUGGAAGCUGGACCUAAACGGCGACUCUCAAGGGUCCUUUUUCCUUAGGGAUGUUCUCAGGAGACGAACAAACAUGUUUCUAAAAACAAGCAGUAAACUAUGGAUCUACGAGUGGAUCAAAAUAAAGGAAUACUGCUCAGAAAAAUGGUGAAAGGCUAUGAGCAUAAGGCAGUGACGGUAUUGGAUCCACGGCGUGAAGGCUUAAGAUAACAAAAGGACACGAUAAAGUGGCCAUGUUUUGCUACUGCCUAAGUCUAUUACGAAGAUAUAAAGCGGAUCUAGAGCAGGAAAGAACGUUUGUCGCGUCAUGGAGCUAGCUCGCGGGAACAAUGGCCAUGGCAUUCUCGUCUUAACCCUAAUAAGGGAAUGUGUGUACCUGAGGAAAGGAGAUCGGUGCCGGGGACGAAAGCGGAGGACUUCGUGCUUCUUGGCGCCCGGAAGACCACGGUCGACGGAGGAGCUCCACGAGCCGAUGACGACGCCGGUGUGCUGGCGCGGGAAGAGGAAGAGCGCGAUGAAGACAAGGGAAGAGAUGGAGGUAGGUGACAGUCCCCCCCCAUUUCUCGUGCGGUUAUUUAAAGGGCCGGAAUGGGAAUCGAGGCUGUGAAGGCGGAGAUCGAGGCGACAAGUCAGAAACUGCGAUAAUGGCGCCUAGAUUUUCGGGAUAAGUGAUUAUGGAGCAAAAGAUCCGUUGGAUGGUUGCGGUGUUAAAAACCCCGGAAUUAAGGGGAUAAGGUGAUGUCAUCAAAGAUUACACGGCGGGUCAGAUAAAAUUACAACGAGUGGCGAAUUAUUGUUCGUCGAAAGAUAGAAAUGGUAAGAGUCGCCCCAAAUUGGUGAAGGUUUAUUCACAUGAAUUAAUUCAAGACAAUCUGGGGCCUAAUGUUGGGGAUAUUACCUGCGGAUAACCCGCCCUUAGUGGGCCAGGUCAUCAAAGGGGCGACUUACCAUUCAACGCGUGUCUCGUGGCCCAGAAGCUGGAUGGCGGUUCAAGAGGUCGUGCGGAUGGAAGAUUACCAAGGGAGUUCCCAAUCGUUGAGAGCACGGCGACUUAGAGAUAGGGAAAGCCACAAGGAGUAGCAUGGCAGGACUUUGUAAACCCUAGGGCCUCAACCUGUAUAUAAAGGCGAGUCCCGGGGAAAGGUUAAGCGAGUUAGAGAGAAUCGAGAGCUAGGUCAGGUGAGUUAUGCCCUCCUUGUAAUUGAAAUCACCAUUAAUCCACACAAAGCAGGACGUAGGCUUUUACCUCCUCACGAGGGGCCGAACAUGGGUAAAUCUGAGUCUCGCUUUUGCUUACCCCCUUCUAGUCACCACCAAGGUGCGACGGCUCCAUCUUUAAGUCCUUUCACGAGGACAUCUGCCGUGACAAAACCACGACAAGUACCGAGCAGAGAUUUCUCCCAUUAACUUGUGAUGAGCAUCUGGGAUUGCUAUUUAGUUUGAAUGCUGAUAGCCGUUUCGGUAAAAUCCAUAUCGGUGUGCUUCAGGCACGCAAACAACGUAUCCCUAAGGGUGUUCGGACAUCAUCUGUCUCUGCUAAUAGCGAGCGUUCUCGCACUCCUUGUAGGCCGAGACCAAGUAAACCUAGUGGUUCUGAAAGCCACAACAUGCCGGCUGCCGCUAAUUCUGCCACUUCUCCUCUUCCUUCUGCACCUGAUGUAGAAGUAGAUGCGGAGCCUGACGAGGAAGUGCCUCGACAUGAUGAUGAGGAUGAGAUUCUAUUCCCUGAACUGGUAGAUAGAGUCAGGCAAGAGGCAAUGGAAGAUGAAUAUGCAGAGGAGCCUAGCAGACGUGCUAGAUUUGAUGACACUGAUGAUGAAGAGAGGGAGGAGAACAUCGACUCCUUAGUUUUACAAGAAUAUGAUGGUGAGUACAUGCCAACAAUUGAGUGGAAUACGGAGAAUCCUGACCUUACUCCAGGAACCGUAUUCGAUUCGAUGGUGGACUGUCGUAAUGCAGUGACUACAUAUUGCAUUAUCACUGAAAACUCUUAUGAGGUUGAUAGGAGUGAGCCAGGAAGAUUCACUGUUCAUUGCCCUUAUGAUAGGUGUAGGUGGAGGUUGCAUGCAUCCACUAUGCUAAAGAGCAAAUUGAUUCAGGUAUUACAACUCAAUAUUAAUUGUACUGUUUAUUAAUUGUAUUUGACAUCAUUUUUCAUUUUGUUUGAGAUAAAAAGCAACCCACACGGGCACACUUGCCCACAUGGAGGGGGAGGGGAAAGGACAAAUCUAAGCUUGUAAAGACUAGGUGGGUGUCAGAUGCAAUAUUGGAUUGGGUGAGGGAAACACCAACAAUUGGUCCAACAACACUCCAUGGGAAGCUAUUUGAUAAGUACAAGAUUAAUGUACAAUACAUGAAGAUUUUCUAUGCUAAGGAAACGGUUCUUGAUAGGAUUAAUGGUCCAUGGAAUGAGAGUUCUUAGUUGCUUUACACCUUCAAAGCUGAAGUGCAAACUAGUCCAGGUAGUGUUGUAGAGAUUGACAAGCAUACAGUUAAGUACAAAAUAAAAGGGAAGACAAUGGAGAAGGAGUGCUUUAGGAGGACUUUUGUUUGUUUCAAGGCUUGCUGGAAGGGGUUUCUGAAUGGUUGUAGGCCCUAUGUGGCUGUCGGUGCGAAGGCCCUAUGUGGCUGUCGGUGCGACUGCUUUGAAUGGAAGAUGGAGAGGACAGCUAGCAGCAGCUUGUGCAGUUGAUGGACACAACUGGCUAUUCCCAGUUGUUAGAGCAUAUAUCUCCAUAUGUGGUUUUGGUAAUUGAUGACAAUUCNNNNNNNNNNNNNNNNNNNNNNNNNNNNNNNNNNNNNNNNNNNNNNNNNNNNNNNNNNNNNNNNNNNNNNNNNNNNNNNNNNNNNNNNNNNNNNNNNNNNUGAUGAAAUCUUCUUUUGUGGUCUGUUUGUCGAGAUCCGAUGAAUUGUGGAUUUAUGAUUAAAUUAUCUAUGAAUCUUAUUUGAGUUUCUUCUGAUCUCUCUUAUGCAUGAUUUCAUAUCCUUGUAAUUCUCUUCGAGUUGUGGGUUUUGUUUGGCCAACUAGAUCUAUUAUUCUUGCAAUGGGAGAAGUGCUUGGUUUUGGGUUCAUACCGUGCGGUGACCUCACCCAGUGACAGAAGGGGUAGCGAGGCACGCAUCGUGUUGUUGCCAUCAAGGGUAAAAAGAUGGGGUUUUCAUCAUUGGUUUGAGAUUAUCCCUCUACAUCAUGUCAUCUUGCUUAAGGCGUUACUCUGUUCGUCAUNNNNNNNNNNCCAGGGGUAAAAAGAUGGGGUUUUCAUCAUUGGUUUGAGAUUUUCCCUCUACAUCAUGUCAUCUUGCUUAAGGCGUUACUCUGUUCGUCAUGAACUCAAUACACUAGAUGCAUGCUAGAUAGCGGUCGAUGUGUGGAGUAAUAGUAGUAGAUGCAGAAAGUAUCGGUCUACUUGUCUCGGACGUGAUGCCUAUAUGUAUGAUCAUUGCCUUAGAUAUCAUCAUGACUUUGCGCGAUUCUAUCAAUUGCUCGACAGUAAUUCGUUCACCCACAGUAAUACUUUCUAUCAUGAGAGAAGCCUCUAGUGAACACUAUGGCCCCCGGGUCUACUUCACAUCAUAUUUUCAGCUCUACACUUUCACUUUGUUGCACUUUGCACCUUCAGAUCUCACCUUGCAAUUAAUCGUGAAGGGAUUGACAACCCCUUUAUAGCGUUGGGUGCAAGUUUGUUUGUUUUUGCGCAGGUACAUUGGUGACUUGUCUUGAUACUCCUACUGGAUUGAUACCUUGGUUCUCAAUCUGAGGGAAAUACUUACUGCUACUGUGCUGCAUCACCCUUUCCACUUCAAGGGAAAAACCAACGCAAGCUCAAGAGGUAGCAAGAAGAAUUUCUGGCGCUGUUGCCGGGGAGUAUCAAGUCAAGAAUAGUCUUCCUACAACGUGUCAAUUUCUGGCACCAGGGACUAUUCUAAGUGAAGCUUAUCCAAGUAACUAUCGCAAACUCAUCUAUUGCAUUUACUUUUUUUGCCCUUUGCCUCUCGUUUUCCUCUCCCCCACUUCUAGAAAACAAAAUUUACAAAAAUAUUUGCCUUUUUCAUUCGCCCUUUCUUUUGCUUGCUUUCUGUUUGCUUGUGUGCUAUGUGCCUUCAAUAUGCUUGCAUCUUCGCUUGCUAAAAAUCUAUUGAUAUGGAUCCUCAUCCACUUGCUAAUCUCUUUAGAGAUCCAAUUGUGUUGAACCAAUUGCUAGUGAGUUGAGUGCACUUGACUAUCUUUAUGAAGUUUUGCUUGAGAUGCGUGAAUCUGAAAAUUGGGAUGAAGAAAUUUAUGAAGUGAUUCACGAGGGCUCCUUGAAUGAAAAGCAUGAUUGCAAUGGAUUCACUAUGAAUUCUAUUAAUGUCAAUCAUGCUAAAAAUAUGCAAAACCCUAAGCUUGGGGAUGCUAGUUUUGCUACUUGUUGCAAUGAUCAUGAUUGGGGUGAUGAUUUUUCUUAUGAUCUUGAAAAUUUGUUUAAGCCUCAUGAUGAAUAUGAUAUUGGCAAUAAUAUUGAAAGUUAGUUUGGAGAAGUCACGACUUUACUUGAUGAUAAUCCCACUAUUNNNNNNNNNNNNNNNNNNNNNNNNNNNNNNNNNNNNNNNNNNNNNNNNNNNNNNNNNNNNNNNNNNNNNNNNNNNNNNNNNNNNNNNNNNNNNNNNNNNNGAGUGUUGUGCUUCGAGUGAUUACCGAGUAGUAGUGCGAUAGAAACUCCCCCUCUCUCCCCUCUUAUUUCAUUUUUUGUGGUUUUGCUAAAGUUCCGUUUUAACCCCUUUUAAAAAACGUCUUCUUUUAAAAAUCCUUUAAUUAAAUGUGGGGGCAACCCUUGGGUUUUCUCUUAUUUCCUCUUUUGUUUCAUUUCAAACUAGAGUUGCAUUUUUAUUUAUAAAAGGGGUUUGAAUUUUAUUCUUUUGUAAACGGGUUUUAAUUUUUAAUUCUUCAAAAGGUUUUAUUUUAUUUCUUUUAAAAAUGCCCAACUGUUUCUUAUAGUCGGGAAUAUAUUUUUCAAAGGGGUCAAAAGCAUUUAUUUUAUUUUUGUUAAAACCUUUCUUUUGGGGUUGUUUUUCGUUUAAAAAAAAGUAAACCAAGUUUUGAAAAAAAAAAGCAAAAGAGUAAAGGAGCCUGCCCAAGCCGAGCUUGUGCCAACCGACCCAAGUGCCCACUCGGCCUCCCUCCCCUGCCCUAGCGACAGGGAUCAGGGAGUGCCCAGCCUCCCAUUCCCUCCCGUCCGCCUCACGCUGUCUUCCCCUCUCGUUCUUCCUCCCGCAGCGCUCCUCUCCUCCUCUUCNNNNNNNNNNCUAUUUCUUUUAAAAAUUCCCAACUGUUUCUUAUAGUUGGGAAUAUAUUUUUUUCAAAGGGGUCAAAAGCAUUUAUUUUAUUUUUGUUAAAACCUUUCUUUUGGGGGUUGUUUUCUGUUUAAAAAAAAAAGAAAACCAAGUUUUGAAAAAAAAAAGCAAAAGAGUAAAGGAGCCUGCCCAGGCCCAUCUUGUGCCAACCGGCCCAAGUGCCCACUCGGCCUCCCUCCCCUACCCUAGCGAGAGGGAUCACGGAGCGCCCAGCCUCCCAUUCCCUCCCGUCCGCCUCGCGCCGUCUUCCCCUCUCGUUCUUCCUCCCGCAGCGCUCCUCUCCUCCUCUUCCCUAGUCUCUCACCCCGAUCCCUCCUGCCCCGCCGUCGAGCUGCCCUCCCCGCGCUGCCCUGUCGAGCCGCCUCCCGCGCCGGAGCCUCCCCUCGGCCUCGCCCCUUGAAGUCGCCGGCCUCCCCAUGCCCAGUGCUGGCCCGUUCUCGCGCGCCCACCUCGUGGCUCCCUCUCGCCGCCGUUCACCGCGCGCCGUCGAGCAGCCCUCCGCCGUGCCACUCGCCCUGCUACCGCCAUGGCGUUCCUCUCGCGCCUCCCCGAGCUGCCAUGGCCUUGCGUUGGCGUCCCUCGUCCCUCGUCCCCUGUCCGCGCCGGCUUGCCGAGACGCCGGCGUUACUCGGCCUCCUCCUGCUUGCCGCGUGCUGCCGUGCCGAGUUGCUAUUGCCUGAUGGUUGUUGUGCUUGCUAGUUGCCAAGUUGUUGCUGCUGUGCUUGCUUGCUGUAGCCGCAUGCUGCUGCUGCCUCCUUGGCCUCUCCCAUGAUGUGUCGUAGCGUAGCCUGCUUGUUGUUGUGUUGGUUGCUGUUGCCAUGUUGCAUGCUGUGUUGCUGCCGCCGAGCAGUAUCGUUGCUCGUUGCUUGCUUGUGUUGCUGCUGCCUGAUGCUUUGCUAGUUGUUGUGUAGCUAGUCGAUGCUUGCCUGCUAGUGUUGCUGUUCCGGUUGCCUGCUAGUUGCUAUGCUAGCUGCUGGAGUUUGUUGCUUGCUGUUGCCCUAUUGCCGAUGCAUCGUGCCGCUGCCUGUGCAUGCUUGCCUGCCUGUGUUGUUGCUGUUUGCCUUGGUGGCUUUGCUAGAUGCAACUAGGUGUAGUUGCUAGGAUAGGUUAUUGUUGCUAGUGCUAGUUGUCACUUUGCUAGUUGAAGUUGUUGAUGUGUCGCGUGCCGUCGCCGCGUGCAACAUCCCCGCCUGCCAUGGUUCGUCGACAAGUUUGCCGUGAACAUCGUCGCCCGCGUCGACCCCGGGAACGUGUUCGACUACCGAUGUGAACACCGUAACCGACGCCGCAGACCGUGAACCACGGCACCGAGCGAACGACUACCUUCGACGAGACCCGACGACCACGACUUCCACGACGUCCGCUACGAACCGNNNNNNNNNNNNNNNNNNNNNNNNNNNNNNNNNNNNNNNNNNNNNNNNNNNNNNNNNNNNNNNNNNNNNNNNNNNNNNNNNNNNNNNNNNNNNNNNNNNNGACCACAUCUCCACUGCUUUGCUGUUAUCUGAAAACAGAACCAGUUCCUCGGACAUCCGGCUUCCUCCGGACGUCCGAGGGUCGGACGACCGACUGCCUCGGAAANNNNNNNNNNNNNNNNNNNNNNNNNNNNNNNNNNNNNNNNNNNNNNNNNNNNNNNNNNNNNNNNNNNNNNNNNNNNNNNNNNNNNNNNNNNNNNNNNNNNNNNNNNNNNNNNNNNNNNNNNNNNNNNNNNNNNNNNNNNNNNNNNNNNNNNNNNNNNNNNNNNNNNNNNNNNNNNNNNNNNNNNNNNNNNNNNNNNNNNNNNNNNNNNNNNNNNNNNNNNNNNNNUCGGACGUCCGGUCACUGUUUAAUUCAAAAUAGUUUCAGUCGUAUCUACAGGCCUCGGACGUCCGACCCCUGUCGGACGUCUGACCCCUCGUGGACGCCCGGACUUCCGACAACUGUCGGACGUCCGGACCCUGUGUAACUUAAAGUGUCCCCAGUAUUUUCAGUGAUAUCUUCAGGCCUCGGACGACCGACCGCCGUCGAACGUCCGACCCCUCGCGGACGCCCGGACUUCCGACAACUGUCGGACGUACGGACCCUGUGUGUCUUAAAGUACCUCCAACGGCUGGAUUUCACUCCACACUAUAAAUAACCCCCUCCCACUUCAUGAGAGGGUAGCCCAACAGAGCCUUAUCCUCAUAAGAACACAUUUCCACCUCACACACAUUUGCUCACUCCAAAUCUUAGAUCCCAAGAGCAUUUGUGAGCCCCUUUGAGAGUUGUUCCAAUCAAAAGAUAGAUCGUCUUCCUCUCCUUCUCUCAACCCAAGCUAUUUGUGAUUUGAGCAAGUUUUGAGCAUUCCCCGUGACCUUGUUACUCUUGGAGGUUGGAGACUCCUAGGCGGUAGGAGUUCUUCGNNNNNNNNNNCUCCAAUCAAAAGAUAGAUCGUCUUCCUCUCCUUCUCUCAACCAAAGCUAUUUGUGAUUUGAGCAAGUUUUGAGCAUUCCCCGUGAUCUUGUUACUCUUGGAGGUUGGAGACUCCUAGGCGGUAGGAGUUCUUCGGAGAGGAAUCAAUUCGUGUGANNNNNNNNNNNNNNNNNNNNNNNNNNNNNNNNNNNNNNNNNNNNNNNNNNNNNNNNNNNNNNNNNNNNNNNNNNNNNNNNNNNNNNNNNNNNNNNNNNNNAAAGGGUGGGAGGGCGGGGAAAACAAAGACAACUUGAGACAGAUGAGACGAACUCCAGAAAGAAUUGAGAGAAUGAUCUGCAAAAACUGGAGAAGAUUGAAUUCAGUUGCAGAUAAGCACACCGGUUGAAAAGAAUUGAUACGAUGACUCCGGUUGAAAAGGAAUUGACAUGACAAUAUGAUUUGAGAAACAGAAUUAGUACUCUCAUAAAAAAUAUGAGAACACCACUUAGGAAAGAUCUGAAAUCACCACUUGACAUCGAAGCAACACGAAUUUGUUGGAAGAUCGUCCUAUAAGUAACUACUUGAAUUCCCACCUAAGAAUUCCCGAAAUAUAUGGUCAUGCAAGCUGGUACACGGAUACAAGGAGUAAUAAUCACACAACUCCAAUACUAACCCGUCACCUGUAUCACAUCCGUCAACACACAACCAGAAUCUCGGACCUUCAUCUACAACAGACCCUCGUGAUCACAACGAUACAAAGUAUGGCAGUACUCUCGAACAAUCUGCACCAGUACUGGGGACAUUGGGGUUAUCUCGCCACUACUAGUAUUGAAGCAAUUACGAACAUCCUUCGUUCUGAGAUACUAAUAAAUCUGAAUGAUAACGAUGUGCUCAAGAAUCCCCUGGAGCUCAACUCCCCUGAAACUCAAAGCAGAUAGGAGGCACCAAGACAGAACUCCGUCACAUCAGCAUCAUAUAGAUCCCAAAAAUAUUCACGUGAUCCUAAUUUUUUUUUGAGUGAGAACAGGAGUAGAAUUAAAAUAUUACGUCAAGAUUCCUCACCAGAGCAUAGAAGAGGAGAAAAAGAAUCCUACUCUCCGAUAUAUAACUAGACUCAAAGCAGUUUUUCACUAGACUCGACUCGGCCAAGUUCGAUCAAUCAAGGGGGCUGCUAGGUCGGUACUGCUCUGAUACCAACUUGUCACGCCCAAGAUGCGACCCUAUCCUCAAUUUGGCACGAAGGCCCCGUAAGGGAUAGAAGCGCAUCUCGUCGUGUCGCAAGAAUGGAUAUCGUUACAAGUACAUGUACUAAAAUGAAGAUAUAUAUAUAUAGAGAGAGUUGGCUUACACUCACCACAAGCUACAUCAGUGUCACAGCAGUACAGUACAUAAUCAUCAUGAAGAAGAGGAGGGUCCGACUACGGACGAAAACAAACGAGAAAAGAAGAACGACGUCCAUCCUUGCUAUCCCAGGAUGCCGGCCUGGAACCCAUCCUAGAUCGAUGAAGAAGAAGAAGAAGCAACUCCAAAUGAACAAUCAAUGCAUUCGCGUCGAGUAACCUUUACGUGUACCUGCAACUGGUGUUGUAGUAAUCUGUGAGCCACAAGGGACUCAGCAAUCUCAUUUCCAAAGGUAUCAAUACUAGCAAAGCUUACUGGGUGAGGUAUGGUUAAGUAGUGAGGUUGCAGCAGUGGCUAAGCAUAUAUUUGGUGGCUAACUUACGAGUACAAGAAAUAAGAGGGGGAAGAUCUACGCAUAACGGAUGUGACUACUGAUGAUCAAAUGAAUGAUCCUGAACACCUACCUACGUCAGGCAUAACCCCACCAUGUCCUCGAUCGGAGAAAGAACUCACGAAAGAGACAAUAACGCUUACGCACACAGUUGGCAUGUUUUAAUUAAGUUAACUUCAAGUUAUCUAGAACCAGUGUUAAACAAAGUUUCCACUUUGCCACAUAACCGCGGGCACGGCUUUCCGACAAGAUUUAACCCUGCAGGGGUGCUCCAACUAGUCCAUCACAAAUUACCACAAGACGCAUAGAAAUCCUCAAUCACGAAGCUCGCGAUCUCGUCGGAUUCCCUAGUGGAAAACCUCAACUCUGGGAUUACCCAAAGCAUCACCGGAAUCCCGAUGCACAAGAUAUUUCGUCAAAGGUAAAACUAAUCUAGCAAGGCCGCCCGUCAUGUCGACGAUCCCGAUAGGAGUCGCGUACCUCGUUCUCAGGACACGACGGAUGAGCUAGACGUCGGGAUCGCUAAACCUCCGGGUGACNNNNNNNNNNCAAAACCUCAACUCUGAGAUUACCCAAAGCAUCACCAGAAUCCCGAUGCACAAGAUAUUUCGUCAAAGGUAAAACUAAUCCAGCAAGGCCGCCUGACGUGUCAACGAUCCCGGUAGGAGUCGCGUACCUCGUUCUCACGACACGACGGAUGAGCUAGACGUCGGGAUCGCUAAACCUCCGGGUGACCACAGGGGCGCUGGACAUCGCUCACGUGGGGCCAACACUCAUGAGGAGCACUGGCCCGGGGGUUGAUUAAAUUAUCCUCGGGUUAAUUACUCCCUAUGCAAUUCAUUAGUUCUUAGGCAAAUGUAGUACCAAAGUUGGGCGUUGCCAGACCAACUUUAAUCUAAAAUGAAUUAUCAAGGGGGUCCCCAUAACAACCCCGAUCGUGUUAGGAGCGCUCGUUUAUGGAAGAUAACACCGGUAGCCAAAAACUAAGGGGGCAAAGGUGGAACAAAACACCAGGCUAGAAAGGCCGNNNNNNNNNNAUUAGGCAAAUGUAGUACCAAAGUUGGGCCUUGCCAGACCAGCUUUUAUCUAGAACGAAUUAUCAAGGGGGUCCCCCUAACAACCUCGAUCGUGUUAGGAGCGCUCGUUUAUGGAACAUAACACCGGUAGCCGAAAACUAAGGGGGCAAAGGUGGAACAAAACACCAGGCUAGAAAGGCCGAGCCUUCCACCUUUUACCAAGUAUAUAGGUCCAUUAAAUUAAAUAGCAUUUAAAAUGGUGAUAUAACGAGGAACUCAUGCUUUCACAUGGAAGCAUCUGCACGUGCAACUAGCAACGCUAUCAACAGGGUUAAGCAAGCAGUAACAUAGCCAAUCAGUGGUUUGCUAGGUUGAAUAGGUUGAAGGUUUCAUGGCAUUGUUGAGAGGUUGAUAUUUAACAUGUGGUAGGCAACGAGACAUAAUCGAUAGAAGCGAUAAAACUAGCAUGGCAAUGAUAGUAAUGGUAUCUGGGNNNNNNNNNNGGUUUCAUGGCAUUGUUGAGAGGCUGAUAUUUAACAGGUGGUAGGCAACAAGACAUAAUUGAUAGAAGCGAUAAAACUAGCAUGGCAAUGAUAGUAAUGGUAUCUGGGGAAAUGGUCAUCUUGCCUCAAAUCCCGCUAGGAAGAAGAACAACUCCAAGAAGUCGGCGAACCAUCGUAGUCGAACGGGUCCUCACAUUCUGAGACGCUUGCGGAACUCUAUCGAGACGGAGCAAACCGGUAACAAACAUCAACAUAGAUAUUCACCACACGAUGCACAACAUGAUGCACAACCUAGUAUGAUGCAUGAUCAGUUCGACGAUGCAAGGGAUGGCAUGGCAAUUCACCUCACACAAACUCUACACANNNNNNNNNNAUCCGACAUGCUUGCGGAACUCUAUCGAGACGGAGCAAACCGGAAACAAACAUCAACAUAAAUAUUCACCACACAAUGCACAGCAUGAUGCACAACCUACUAUGAUGCAUGAUCAGUUCAACGAUGCAAGGGAUGGCAUGGCAAUUCACCUCACACAAACUCUACACAUUAAGUGAAGCUCGAUAUGCAACGAGUUACAUAUCGACGAAACUUCACGCUUAAUUAUUUAAUUCACUCCCGUUUAUUUACACGGCAAUAUUUAAUUGUUGUUAACAUGGCAAGGGGUGAAGCGACGGUUCUACGUGGCAUCCUAGACGGUUAACACACGAGACUUAGAACGGAGCUACGGCACAAGAGACAUGCAACACAAUAUAUUAUGCCAUGAAUGCGCCAUGCAUGCGAGUUCAAACAUCACGAGCAAGAAGAGAAAGAAACAGGUGUCGCCACGGUGAGCGAGAGGGAACCAUGGUGGCAAGACGGAAACGAUGCCACGACAACGUUCCUAUCCCAAUAACUCGUCGAGAUAUCGUGCCAACGUACUGGGAACGCGUGUGGGAACGAUAAAUAAAGAUGGGGUGAUCCCGGUUACCGGGUUCCCAUGUGUCGGGGNNNNNNNNNNNNNNNNNNNNNNNNNNNNNNNNNNNNNNNNNNNNNNNNNNNNNNNNNNNNNNNNNNNNNNNNNNNNNNNNNNNNNNNNNNNNNNNNNNNNCACAGCUCGGCGGCAGCAACACAUCAUGCAACAUGGCAACAGAACCAACACAACAGCAAGCAGGCUACGCUACGACACAUCAUGGGAGAGGCCAAGGCGGCAGCAGCAGCAUGCGGCUACAGCAAGCAAGCACAACAACAACAACUUGGCAACUAGCAAGCACAACAACCAUCACGCAACAACAACUCGGUCCGGCAGCACGCGACAAGCAGGAGGAGGCCGGGUAACGCCGGCGGCUCGGCAAGCCGGCGUGGACAGGGGCGAGGGACGAGGGACGCUCGCGCAAGGCCAUGACGGCAACUCGGGGAGGCGCGUGAGGAACGCCAUGGCAGCAACAGGGCGAGCGGCGCGGCGGAGGGCUGCUCGACGGCGCGCGGUGAACGGCGGCGAGAGGGAGCCAUGAGGUGGGCGCGUGGGAACGGGCCAGCAGUGGGCAUGGGGAGGCCGGCGAGGUCGAGGGGCGAGGCUGAGGGGAGGCUCCGACGCAGGAGGCAGCUCGACGGGGCGCAAUGCGGGGAGGGCAGCUCGACGACGGGGCAGGAGGGAUCGGGGUGAGAGACUAGGGAAGAGGAGGAGAGGAGCGCUGCGGGAGGAAGAACGAGAGGGGAAGACNNNNNNNNNNNNNNNNNNNNNNNNNNNNNNNNNNNNNNNNNNNNNNNNNNNNNNNNNNNNNNNNNNNNNNNNNNNNNNNNNNNNNNNNNNNNNNNNNNNNGGAGAGGAUCUAAAACACACAUAUAUUGGUGACAACAUAAUAGGUUCAGAUCUGAAAUCAUGGCACUCGGGCCCUAUUGACAAGCACUAAGCAUGGCAAAGUAGUAGCAACAUCAAUCUCAGAACAUAGUGGAUACUAGAGAUCAAUCCCCGUCAAAACUAACUCGAUUACAUGAUAGAUCUCAUCCAACUCAUCACCGUCGAGAAAGCCUACGAUAAGAUUACUCACGAACGGUGAAGAGCAUCAUGGAAUUGGCGAUGGAGGAAGGUUGAUGAUGACGAUGGCGACGAUUUCCCCUCUCCGGAGCCCAAAACAGACUCCAGAUCUACCCUCCAGAUGAAGAACAGGAGGUGGCGGCGCCUCCGUAUCGUAAAACGCGAUGAAUCCUUCUCCCUGAUUUUUUGGGCGAAACGGAAUAUAGAGCUGAGUUUGGAGGCGGUGGAGCCUCGUGGGCCCUACAAGCCUGGUUGGUGCAGCCUGGGGGGUGGCCGCGCCCCCUGGGCUUGUGGCCCACUGGCUCACCUCCUCCGGUGGAUCUUUGUGCAGGUGUUUUUCAUUAAUUCCAGAAAAAUUCUCCAUAAAUUUUCAGGUCAUUCCGAGAACUUUUAUUUCUGCACAAAAACAACACCAUGGCAAUUCUGCUGAAAACAGCGUUAGUCGGGGUUAGUUCCAUUCAAAUCAUGCAAAUUAGAGUCCAAAACAAGGGCAAAAGAGUUCGGAAAAGUAGAUAGGACGGAGACGUAUCACGGACUAAUGAUCUUCCGAGGAAAUGGCAUGUGCCGGAUGUUGACUUGUGAUCCACACGGUCACCAGCAUAAUCAAAAUCAGAGUAUCCAACGAGCUAAAGAUUUGAGCCCUUGGGGUACCAUAAUCCUAGUGUUGGUGUGUGAGCUAGAUACCGAAGAAUAUGUUUCACAACCUUAUGGUGUGAUUCCUUCAGUUUUGCUUGAAAACGAGCACACAUGCAAACACUAAGCAUAAUAUCUGGCCUAGAUGCACAUAGGUACAAUAAAGGGCCAAUCAUAAAACGAUAUACCUAUUGAUCGAAAUCUUUACCAAUUUUUGUCAGUGCAGAGGUAGCCGUUGGUAGGCAUAGGAAUCUUGACGCCUUUGCAUUCAUGCAUGUCGAAUUUCCUCAGAAUGUCCUUGAGGUAUUUCUCCUGAGAUAUGAAGAUGUCAUUGCGUUGUUGACGAAUUUGCAAGCCUGAGAAGAAUUUCAGCUCCCCCAUCAUGGACAUUUGAUAUUCUUCACCCGUCAUGUAGGCAAAUUCAUCAUUGUAACGUUUGUCAGUACAACCAAAUAUAAUGUCGUCGACAUAUAUUUGGCACACAAAUAGUUCAUUGUCAUAGGAUUUUGUGAAAAUAGUAGGAUCAAGUGAAUCGGGUUUGAAGCCUUUCUUCAUGAGGAAUUCCUUCAAUGUAUCAUACCAUGCCCGAGGGGCUUACUUGAGGCCAUAGAAAGCCUUUUUGAGUCUGAAGACUUUGUCAGGAUACUUCGGGUCUUCAAAACCUGGGUGCUGAGCAACAUAUACUUCUUCCUCAAGCUUACCAUUGAGGAAUGCACUUUUCACAUCCAUUUGAUAUACAGUAAUAUUGUGAUUGUUAGCAUAAGCAAGUAAUAUUCGAAUAGCUUCAACUCUAGCAACACGUGCAACAUUUUCAUCAAAGUCAAUUCCUUCAACCUGUGUGUAGCCUUGGGCUACAAGCCGUGCCUUAUUCCUCACUACCUGGCCAUCCUCAUCUUGCUUGUUUCGUAGAUCCACUUGGUGUUGAUGAUAUUGUGCUUGCGAGGAUAUGGUAUUUUGACAAGUUCCCACACGUAAUUUAGCUUAAACUGAAGAAGUUCAUCUUGCAUGGCUUGAAUCCAUCAGGUUCUAUGAAGGCUUCAACAACUUUUGAGGGUUCUGUGAUAGACACAAAAGAGGAAUGCCCACAAAAGUUAACUAAAUGUGAAGCCUUUGAGCGAGUGAGAGGACCUGGCGCAUUGAUGUCAUCGAGGAUUUUCUCAAGUUCUACUUCAUUUGCAAUCCUUGGAUGAGCUGGUUGAAGACUUUGGUUGGGCUGAGGAAUUUGAUUUGUAGCAUUUUCCUCAGGUGCACCUGCUUGAAUUUCCUUACUGUUGGGGACGACUUCUUCAACAAGGGGUUGUUCCUCAGUAGGAAUGAUAUCUUCAGUUGCCUUGAGCUCGAUAGAUUCCUCCGGAGGUGAUUUAUCUGACACAGGAGGUAGUUGCUCUCUUUGUGAGCCAUUAGUUUCAUCGAACCGCGCAUCUACAGUUUCAACAACCUUGUUGUGAUAGAUGUUGAAGACUUUGUAGGUGUGCGAGUCCUUUCCGUAACCAAGCAUAAAACCCUCAUGUGCUUUAGGUGCAAACUUUGAGCUAUGGUGAGGAUCUCUAAUCCAGCAUCUUUCACCGGCGAUGUUGAAAUAACUUACAAUGGGUUUCUUAUCACUGAGGAGUUCAUAUGAGGUUUGCUUGAGGAAUCUGUGAAGAUAUACCUAGUUGAUGAUGUGGCAAGCAGUGUUGAUUGCUUCCAGCCAGAAGCGGCGAGGAGUCUGAUAUUCUUCAAGCAUAGUCCAUGCCAUUUCAACCAGAGUCAUGUUCUUGCGAUCAACGACACCAUUCUGUUGAGGGGUAUAAGGAGUAGACAAUUUGUGAGUAAUACCAAGUUCAUCAAGAUAAUCAUCAAGACCAGUAUUUUUGAAUUAUGUCCCAUUAUCACUCCUGAUGUGUUUGAUGUUGACGUCGAAGUUCUUCGAGGCCCUUGAGGAAAAUCGUUUGAAGACUUCCUGCACUUCUGUUUUAUACAGAAUGAUAUGUACCCAGGUAUAGCGAGAAUAGUCAUCAAUGAUGACAAAGCCAUAUAAACAUGCUGCAUUGGUUAGAGUAAAAUAAUGAGUAGGUCCAAACAAAUCCAUGUGAAGCACUUCAAACGGACAAGUAGUGGUCAUGAUAGUCUUCGAGGGGUGCUUGGAUCUGGUUAUUUUUUCAGACUCACAAGCACUGUAGAGAUGGUCCUUGAGGACUUUGACGGAUUUGAUGCCAAUGACAUGCUUCUUCUUCGCGAGUGUGUGCGAAUUCCUCAUGCCUGCAUGACCAAGUCAUUGAUGCCAUAGCCAGCCUUUUGAGGUUUUUGCUAGUAAGCAUGUGGCUGGUUGAGGACCUAUGGAAAAAAUCAACAAUGUACAAAUCUCUUCUCCUAAAGCCUGCGAAGGCUUUGGAUUUGUCAGAUUCCACGAUGACUACGCAUCUGUAUUUUCCAAAGAUAACAAUCAUAUCAAGAUCACAAAGCAUGAAGACUGACAUGAGGUUAAACCAAAGGGAUUCGACAAGCAUGACUUUGUCCAUGUGCGUGUCCUUGGAGAUAGCCACUUUGCCAAGUCCUAAUACCUUGCUUUUACCUUUAUGAGCAUAAGUGAUUUGCUUCAGUGGUGAUGGAGUCAGAGGCAUAUUCAUCAACAAGCUUUUAUCACGAGUCAUGUGAUUUGUGCAACCACUGUCAAGAACCCACUUUGUGUUCUUGGGUUUGUUAUCCUACAGAUGAAUUAGUACAACUUACCAUCUCAUAUGCUUCAGAUUUGAAGAAUAUGGUAUCAAUUUCAUCAGAUAAGAAUUUCAGCAUAAACAGUAAAUUUGAGGACGUGUGAAAUGUUAUCAUUUCAUUAAUUUUAGCUUGUGUCCAAUCAAGCAAUUUCCUCAGGUCUCCGGCAAAUUCUUCAGAUGAUGACUUUCAUCUCGAGACCUGACCUGCAGAAGAGAUUAGUUCAAUUUCUUCACCACCCACAUCUGAAGGGGUGGCAAAGAGUUUAUCAUCCUGCGAGCACCAUAUGAGAAUGGAGGCAUUGAAUCUAAUGCACUUCUUUUCACAGCAGGGGGUUAGAGUACUCAAAUGAAUAGGCAGAGAAAUUCUUUGAGGACUUAUGAACAUAAUGAUUUGAGGAAUAACGCUCAUAUUCAUGUCCCUUGUAAUUUCCCUANNNNNNNNNNNNNNNNNNNNNNNNNNNNUCCCUACAUAUUAGAAGCAUUAGCGAGAGUACGAGCAUAAUAUUGACCAUUUGAGGAAUUUUAUCCUCGUGAAGACUUUGGUCCACAUGAGGAAUUUGAUCUGGGGUUCUGGUUCUUCACUAGUGGUGUCAUGAGGACAUUCACCUGAAGAUUUUCCAUGCAACUUUUGGCGAACCAGAUUUUCCUCAGGGGUGGUCCAUUCUUGCAGUUAGUUCCAACAUAUCUAGCAAAUAGUUCACCAGAUUGAUUUUUAAUCAGUUUAUAGUUGGAUUCAAAUGACUCAUGAGAGGAAUAGGAUAUUUCACAUGCAAAGCUUGUUAGAGUGGAUGGAUCGACGGGAGGGCCUUUAGCAGCAACCCAUGAGGUUUUCGGGUACUGCUCAGGUUUCCAGUAUGAUCCAUCGGCAUUUUAUUUCCUCUCAAAGGCAAUGCCUUCUUUCCUCGGGUUCCUGCUCAGAAUCUGCUUUUUGAGCACAUCGCAAAGGGUUUGAUGCCCUUUGAGACUUUUGUAUAUGCCUGUUACAUACAAUUCCUUCAACCCUGCAUUUUCCUUACUAGCAUUUGUGGUUUCCUCAAGUGAAGAAUUUGAUACCACAGGAACAGUUGAAGAAUUUGUAGCAAUAGAAGCAUUUGAUGAUUCUGGUGAAGAAUUAGCAGUUUCACGCUCGAUACAUUCCAAACAUGGUGGAACGAAUUCAACCUGAGCGGUAAUGAUCUGUUAAGCCAGUAAUGAAUCAUUUUCUAUUCGAAGAUCAUCAUGAGACAUUCUCAACUUCUCAAGAUCAAGCUUCCUCUGAAGAAAUUCAUAGGAAAGUUUCUCAUGAUCAGCCAAGAGUGUGCCAUAACGAUCUUGAAGACUAUCAAAUCUAGACUGAAGACUUUUCACAUCUUCAGUGAGGACUUGAGUACGAUUCAUUUCAUUGUUCAACAGAUCAUCGCUUAUGUCUAGCAGUUUCUGAAGCUUUUCAAUGGCCCUUUCUUGCUUAGUGGCAAUGUUGGCAAGUUUAUAGUAACUGGGUUUUUGAUAAUCAUCAGUUUCAUAGUCACUAGAAUCAGAGGAGGAACUAUGGUUUGGUACCUUUGAACCUUUUGCCAUGAAGCAAUAGGUUUGAGCGAAGUCAUGAGCUUAUUCAUGGGUGUAGAUAGUGUUGUCAUUUUCUUCAAGGUUGAAGAUUGAGUUGUUGACGAAUGUGGUAGCCAGUGCAAGACUUGCCACACCAGACUCUGACUCCUCUUCAGAACCUUCCUCUUCAUCACAUUCCUCAGAUUCUUCUUCAGAGUCCAUUUCCUUGCCAAUGAGUGCCCGAGCCUUUCUGAAACUGGUCUUGUUGUGUGAUGAGGACUUUGAAGAUGAGGAUUUUGAAAAUUUCUUCUUUUUCUUCGAGUCAUCAGAACUUUCAUCCUUGUAUUUCUUCUUCCAUGAUUCUUUCACCCAGCAAGGACAAUCAGCAAUGUAGUGACCUGAUUUCUUGCAUUUGUGGCAGGUUCUUUUCUUCUAGUCCUCAGAUGAAAAUUCUGAUCUCCUCAUAUCUCUUCUUGAAGAUUUACCAAACUGGCCACGCUUAGUGGACUUCUAGAAUUUCCUCACGAGCAUAGCAAGUUCCUGUCCAAGUUCUUUAGGGUUACCGAUGCUGCAAUCCGAGUCUUUUUCUUCAGAUGAGGAAAUAGCCUUAGCCUUCAGUGCACGAGGUCUUGAGUAGCUUGGUCCAUACAAAUCUCUCUUUUCUUCUUGUUGGAAUUCAUGAGUAUUGAAUCUCUCAAGUAUAUCAGCAGGAUCAAGCAUCUUAUAGUCUCUUCAUUCUUGAAUCAUCAGAACUAGUGUGUCAAAUGAUGGAUCAAGUGAUCUUAGCGGUUUCUUCACAACUUCAUGGUCAGUGAUGUCUCUAGAUCCCAGUGCCUGCAGUUCAUUUGAGAUGUCAGUGAGGCGAUCAAAAGUAUAUUGGCAGCUUUCAUUGUCAAGCCUCUUGAAGCGAUUGAAGAGAUUGCAAAGAACAUCGACACGACAGUCAUGCUGUGUUGAGACUCCCUCAUUGACUUUGGACAGCCUAUCCUAGAUAAGCUUAGGUGUGCCCAAAGCACUCACUCUGCCAUACUGACCUUUGCUCAGAUGGCCACAUAUGAUAUUCUUCGCUUGCGAGUCAAAUUAUUUGAACUUCUUCACAUCAGCGACAGAGAUAGUAGCAGUGAUGGAGGGAAUGCCAUUUUCCAUAAUAUACCAGAGAUCAUUGUCAAUAGCUUGAAGAUGCAUCUGCAUCUUGGUAUUCCAGUAGGGGAAGUCCUUUCCUUCGAAGUUAGGACAUCCUGCAGUAACCUUGAUCAUACCAGCGGUCGACAUAACUAAAACUCCACGUGGUUAAACCAAAAUCACACAACACAAGGGAGUACCUUGCUCUGAUACCAAUUGAAAGUGCGUUAUAUCGACUAGUGGGGGUGAAUAGGAGAUUUUAAUAAUUUCAUCAUUGAGGAAAUUCCUGAUGAGGAAAGUCAUCAAACAUGAACUCAGUGCAGCGGAUAUAGUACAGUAUGAGGAGUGCAAAAAUGACUACAGCAAAGUACUCAAUGAGAUUUCUGAGUUUAGGUUUGCACAGUUCGCAAGUACACAGUAAGCAGGUGAAGAUUAACUCGAGUGAAGAAUUUGAGGUUGAGGAAAUUCAGAGAAAGUCUUGAGACAAAUUCUUCAAACUGCACACACGAAAGUCUUCAACAUACAAUUGUGGAAACGAAAGAAUUGAAGAAAUAGAACCUGUAGCUCGACGAAGACAGUUGUUGAUGACCCAAUUCCAAUUGCGAUGAUAGUUGUACGUCUAGUUCGGAGCGGCUUGGUAUUGAAACCAAAAGGACACACAGUCCCGGGACACACAGUCCCUACCGUAUUCUCCUUGAGCUAAGGACACACAGUCCUCGCCCAACACUCGUGGUAAGUCUUCAGGGCAGACUUCCAAACCCUCACAAACUCGGUCAACCGUCCAUCCACAAUUGACUGCUGGAUGCUCUAGACCUUGACGUCUAACCGUUUGGAGGAUGCACAAUCCUCAAAGGUAAAAACCAUCGGUUCCACACAGGAACAACUUCUCCAGUGAUGCUUAAUCACUUAGGAUUUUGGUUUGGUUUUGGUGUUUGGGGUAUUUCCUCACUUGAUGAUUUUCUCUCGAAGACUCUCAGGAAUAUGGGUUGCUCUAAAUGACAAGUGUCAGUUUCUCUUGGAGCAGCCAACCAUCUAGUGGUUGUGGGGGCGGCUAUUUAUAUCCUGGGAGCAUCCCGACAUGAUUUGACAUAAAUGCCCUUAGAUAAUAAGACCGUUGGGUGGAUAAGAUCAGUGAGGUGACGCGUGGUGCGGCAAUGGUCGGAACUUUCAACUGUGAAAGUCCUCAUGUCUCUCAUAUUCCUCACUUUGAGGCUUUUAUAGAUUUAGGCUUGGGUUGAGCAUCAUGAGGAAAAUCAUUCCGUAGUUUUACCUUGACCCCCUUUAACAGUACGGUGUUCCUAUGACUCAAGUGUAAAGAAAAUGAAACAAAAAGAAUAAAUCCUCACGCUUCAAAGUCUUCAGAGUGUUUUCUUGAGGACACACUGAAUUCCUCAUCUUCAAUAUCUUCAUGAGGAAUAUCAAUUUCAUCGCUAUUUCUUCGCGAUCAAAGUCUUCAAGGAAGGACCAAAGUUUUCACCCGAAGUCAUACAUUUUUAGGGGUCGAUAUUCAUCGGAUAACUCAAACUCUUCAGCGACUUAUAGAGUUUUUAUACACUCACAAACAUAUCAGUCUCUUAACCUAUAAGUCUUCAAACCACCAAAAUCACUAAGGGGCAAUAGAUGCACUUACAAUAACCUAUGAUCAAGCAAGCUUUCUUGGCUCCUUAAGUCAAUAUACUCUAAUAUAGGUGACCUAGUCACCGACCAACAUCUAGAUGUCUUGUAUGGUUCAUAUUAUUGUUGCAUACUUUCUUGGAACCAUUCAAUUCUCAUCUAGUUGUGAGAAUUCAUUGCAAAUCUUUUGGAAAUUCCUUGAAAAUCUUUUGAAUAUUUUUGAGAGCUUUGGCCAAAAUGUCAUAUAUACUUCACAUUCAAAACGGCCAAGAUGGAUUUUCGUGUGAUGAAGGACGCCCCAUAUUUUCAAGUAGUUAAGAUUUCUAUUUGCAACUCGAUCCCUCCGAACUGGGAAAAUCGGCCAUGCCGAUUUCUCCAAGAGGCCUAAGAUCAUUUUCGUUUCUACCGAAUUGUUUUUUGAGAGACUCCGAAUUUUGACACUACUUGAUUUCUUUGCUUUUAUCUCAACUAAUUUCUUGAUGUAGCAAUAAUUAUCAAAAGGGGGAGAAACAUCAAGGAUCCCUACUCAAGGGGGGAUAUCAAGGAACCCUUAUCUAUAUCAAAGGAAGAAAAAUCCAGGAUCCCUUACUCUCAAGGAACCCUUACCCUGUGACCUUUUUGGAAAUUAAUGCCGAAGGGAGAGAAAUAUCAAAGCUUAUGCUUCAACGGAGAGAAAUCUUUAAGGAGGAGAGAAAGUUUUAUUUAAGUUUCAGUAGUAGAAUGCCCGUGCGUUGCCACGGGCUCUUGAAAUAUUUUUUACGGGUUAUACAAUUAUAAUGCAUGUGAAUUUUCACACAUAGAAAAAGUUAUAAUAUGGGCACACUUGCUUAAUAAUUGAAGUCCACUUCACUUGCAAUGUAAAUCCAUAAAAAACAAAUUAACGACGUGUUUGUGUAAGAAACUGCGCGAUGAUACAAGUAAAUCCAUUACAAAUUACUAAGAUCUACUUGAUGCGCUUAAGAAAUUCUCGCAAAAUAUUAGGAGAGUUGUCUUUAGCUUCAUUCCCACGAUGUUUUAGCAAGUAUAAUAAGAAUUGCUUCCUCAACUCAUACCCAUCCUACACAAGCACUACAUGUAGUUAGCGCAAAUAUUUCACGUCUAAUGUCUUAAAACGUGUAAAGGACAAUACUCACCGUGCAAACCGGCUUCACCAGUUCUUUAUCGUUCCACUAGAGCAUAAAGUGAAAAAUAAAAAAGCCAGACACAUCCCUGCAAAUUCCUAAAUUUAUAUUAUAUACAAUAUAGUGAUGAAAAAUAAAUAUUUGUAUUAUGAAUUUAUUACCCGUCCAUGCUCGUUGGAAUAUUAGAGGGAAAUAAAUGUUGCCAUUUAGAUAUAUUGGAAUUCCAGCCGUGUUGCUUUAUUUCGAGUGCUUCUUUGAAUUCGCUCAUAAAACCUUUUAACUUCACUACAUGCCUUAAAAAAUUCUCUAACGUUUGUGAUGUAUGAAUAGGGUCCAUAAUGCAUACACUAUGUGCCUCUUUGUCGAUGAUGUACAUGACGUAUCGGCCUACGGAUGCAUAGGGAAUAUAAAUCUACAAGUGGUGACAAUUAACAACAACAAUAAACCAUGACAACAAUAGCCAAAAUAUCUUACUUACCAUGUUGCACAAUGAAAUGUUGUUGUCUAUCCUAGGCCAGCUAUCAAACAAUGUUGCCAACGUCUAAAUUGUUUCCUUCCCGUAAUUUUUUUGAUCUCGUGUUGACUCUAGCAUCAUGGACCGGGUAAAAAAUAAUUGUUGUUUCAACAUGUUGACACUAAUGACACUGAAUGAAGAAUUAUGAUAACUUACACACAAAUGCAAAUCCAUGUAGUGUAUAGGAGGGUUUGUGAACAACACUCCCUCGUCACAUGCUAGUAUACGCACGGCAAUGUUAAAACAAUCAUUGUCCAUACCUUGCUCAAUGUUAAGUAUGCCCCGAAGUUUUUUUAGACUUAAACACAUUGGAUGUGGUGUCGAGAUUCAGACCCAUUCAUUCCUGAAAAAUGGAUGGUACAAAUAGAAAUAGUAAUAAUGUAUAAUUGUAUAUUACAUAAUUAUAAAUGUAAAUGAUGUUUAUUCCAGAUACAUAGUGUCAUCGAUCGACAUGAUGUAGUUGCAUAGGCCGACAAGUAAAUCACCUUGAUCAGUGGGCCUGAUGCCAAUUUGGGUAGGACGUUUGUCUUUGCAUCCAUCAGGUGGAUUAUCCAGGAUCUCAAGAUCAGAAUUAGGUAAGACUGCUUCAUUGUCAUUGGCAAUAUAACGUGCAUCCUUUUAGCUUAUUAAGUUCUGAAUCAAUCAAAAUGACAGUUAAUUUUGGUCGAAAGUGUUUCAUGUCCUCCUCAAAAAUAUUUAAAAACAAUUUUAAUAAUGCUUUAGAAUAUCAGCAAGACGAACGAAAUAAGCAUGUAUCAACUAAUAUAUAGGAUACACUAUUUUAUUAUCAACAUUUUUUAUUACAUGAUAUCUUUGUGUUCAUGAGUACCAAACAUAAUAAUUUUUAGUCUCUGACAAGUGCUUACCCAUCCGUUUGUAUUGCAUUCUUGAACUGUUCCACAACCUUCCAUUUUGUAACAUUGAGAUCGGUCCACUUAUGAUCUUUGUUAAACUCCGGACUCUGUUCUCCAAGUUUCAGACGCUUCUCAAGUCCUAGGAACUAUUUUAUAUGUGAAAAGACAUUAAGGAUUAAGCCAAACAAAACAUAUGUCAAGAGGACCAAAAACAAUAGAUAGUUACCGUAGUGGCAAGUUCACUCUGUUUUUCUAAGCACCAAGUGAGUCCAACACGUGAAUCUCAUUUUUUUUGGCAUUGACGACUGCUAGAUACCAAUGGUACCUUGAAAUGUUAAUUCCUACCUCUUGAGCUUGCGUUGCUUUUUCCCUUGAAGAGGAAAGGGUGAUGCAGCACAGUAGCAGUAAGUAUUUCCCUCACUUUGAGAACCAAGGUAUCAAACCAUUAGGAGUAUCAAGACAAGUCACCAAUGUACCUGCGCAAAAACAAACAAACUUGCACCCAACGCUAUAAAGGGGUUGUCAAUCCCUUCACGGUUAAUUGCAAGGUGAGAUCUGAAGGUGGAAAGUGCAACAAAGUAAAAGUGUAGAGCAGAAAAUAUGAUGUGAAGUAGACCCGGAGGCCAUAGUGUUCACUAGAGGCUUCUCUCAUGAUAGCAAGUAUUACUGUGGGUGGACGAAUUACUGUCGAGCAAUUGAUAGAAUCACGCAAAGUCAUGAUGAUAUCUAAGGCAAUGAUCAUACAUAUAGGCAUCACGUCCUAGACAAGUAGACCGAUACUUUCUGCAUCUACUACUAUUACUCCACACAUCGACUGCUAUCCAGCAUGCAUCUAGUGUAUUGAGUUCAUAACAAACAGAGUAACGCCUUAAGCAAGAUGACAUGAUGUAGAGGGAUAGAUUCAUGCAAUAGAUAUAAACCCCAUCUUUUUACCCUUGAUGGCAACAACACGAUGCGUGCCUCGCUACCCCUUCUGUCACUGGGUGAGGACACCGCACGGUAUGAACCCAAAACCAAGCACUUCUCCCAUUGCAAGAAUUAUAGAUCAAGUUGGCCAAACGAAACCCACAACGAAGAGAAUUACAAGGAUACGAAAUCAUGCAUAUAAGAGAUCAGAGGAGACUCAAAUAAUAUUCAUAGAUAAUAUGAUCAUAAAUCCACAAUUCAUCGGAUCUCGACAAACACACCACAAAAGAAGAUUACAUCAGAUAGAUCUCCAUGAAGAUCAUGGAGAACUUUGUAUUGAAGAUCCAAGAGAGAGAAGAAGCCAUCUAGCUACUAGCUAUGGACCCGAAGGUCUGUGGUGAACUACUCACGCAUCAUCGGAGAGGCAAUGGUGUUGAUGAAGAAGCCCUCCGUAUCCGAAUCCCCCCUCCGGCAGGGCACCAGAACGGUCCCCAGAUGGUAUCUUGCGGCGGCGAAAAAGUAUUUCCGUGGCUCUCUCUCGUGGUUUCAGAUUUUUGGAGAAUUUAUAGGCAGAAGAAGUAGGGCAAAGGAGCCACAGGGGGGCCACAAGCCUGGUAGGCGCCCCCCCCAGGCCGCGGCUAGGGGGCUUGCGGCCUCCCCCGGGGUCCUUUGCCUUGGUUCUCAAGUUCCCUGCGUAUCUUCUGUUACGGAAAAAAUCAUUCCGCAGGUUUUAUUCCGUUUGGACUCCGUUUAAUAUUCCCCUCUGAAAAAGGUCAAAAACACGGAAAAAACGGGAACUGGCACUUGGCACUGAGUUAAUAGGUUAGUCCCAAAAAAGAUAUAAAAUAGCAUAUUCAUGCAUACAAAGCAACCAAAGUUGACAAGAUAAUAGCAUGGAACCAAAAAAAAUUAUAGAUACGUUGGAGACGUAUCAAACAUCCCCAAGCUUAACUCCUCCUCGUCCUCGGGUAGGGAAGUGAUAAAAACUGAAUUUUUGAUGUGGAAUGCUACCUAACAUAUUUGUCCUUUGUAACUUCUUUCUUGUGACAUGAAUGUUCACUUCCGUAAGAUUCAAAACAAUAGUUUACUAUUGACAUGAAAACAAUAAUACUUCAAGUAUACUAGCAAAGUGAUCAUGAAAUUUUGAAAUAACAAGGCCAAGGGAAGUUAUCCCUACAAAAUCAUAUAGUCUAGCUAUGCUCCAUCAUCCCCACACAACGAAUUUAAAUCAUGCACAACCCCGGUAUUGGACAAGUAAUUGUUUUCGCACUCUUACUUUCUCAAACUUUUUCAACUCUCAUGCAAUACAUGAGCGUGAGCCAUGGAUAUAGCACUAUAGGUGGAAUAGAGUGUGGUGGAGGUUGUGAGGCAAAAAGGACGAGAUGGUCACAUCGACUCGGCGUAUCAACGGGCUAUGGAGAUGCCCAUCAAUAGAUAUCAAUGUGAAUGAGUAGGGAUUACCAUGCAACAGAUGCACUUAGAGCUAUAAGUGUGUGAAAGCUCAAAAGGAGAACUAGUGGGUGUGCACCCAACUUGCUUGCUCACGAAGACCUAGGGAAAUUUUGAGGAAGCCCGUCAUUGGAAUAUACAAGCCAAGUUAGAUAACAAAAAUUCCCACUAGUAUAAGGAGGUGUCAAAACAAGAGACUCUCUAUCAUGAAGAACAUGGUGCUAUUGUGAAGCACAAGUGUGGAAAAAGAUAGUAGCACUGUCCCUUUUCUCUUUUUCUCUCAUUUUUUGGGCUCUUUGGCCUCUUUUUUUCAUUUUUUUGGAGGGCAUAUUUGGCCUAUUUUCAAAAAAAAAAUCCUCACAUGGGACAAUGCUCUAAUAAUGAUGAUCAUCACACUUUUAUUUACUCACAACUCAAUACUUAGGGCAAUGAUGAUUCUAUAGGAAAUGCCUCCGGCAGUGUACUGGGAUGUGCAACGAUCUAGCUUAGCGUAUGACGUUGAAACAUCUCGCUAGCUAUCUUACGAUCAUGCAAUGGCAAUAUGAAAGUGAUGGCACAAGUCAUGAGAUGGAACGGUGGGAGUUGCAUGGCAAUAUAUCUCAGAAUGGCUAUGAAAAUGCCAUAAUAGGUAGGUAUGGUGGCAGUUUUGAGGAAGGUAUAUGGUGGGUUUGUGCACCGGAUAAAGUUGUGCGGCACUAGAGAGGCUAGCAAUGGUGGAAGGUGAAAGUGCAUAUAUACCAUGGACUCGCAUUAGUCAUGAAGAACUCAUAUACUUAUUGCGAAAGUUUUAUUAGUAAUCGAAACAAAGUGCUAACCGCAUACUCCUAGGGGAAGGGUUGGUAGGUGUUAACCAUCGCGCGGUCCCGACCGCCACACAAAGGAUGACAAUCAAUAAAUCAGUUAUGCUCCGACUUCCUAACAUAGCGGUUCGUCAUACGUGCAUGCUACGGGAAUCACUAACUUCAACACAAGUAUUUCUAGAUUCACAACACCCUACUAACAUAACUCUAAUAUCACCAAAUCCAUAUCUCAAACUUAAUUGUUAGGAAUCAAACUUCUCUUACUAAUCAAUGCACUUGAAUAUGUAAGUUUUUAUUAUAUCCUCUUUGGAUGCCUAUCAUCUUCAGGACUACUUUCAUAGCACAAGCCAAUUACCGAGUUACUUAGAGAGAGCACUCUCAAAAAGAUAUAAGUGAAGACCGAGAGUUUUUAUUUCCACAAAAUAUGACACCGCGAUGCUCUAAAAAGAUCUAAGUGAAGCACUAGAGAAAAGUUAUCUAGCUCAAAAGAUAUAAGUGACGCACAUGCGAGCUAAAUUUCCUAACUCAAAAGAUAUAAGUGAAGCUCAAUGAGUAUUCUAGCAAAUUCACGAUGAGUGCAUGUAUCUCUCAAAACGGUGUGCAGCAAGGAUGAUUGUGACACAACAAAAAGAAAAGACUCCUAUAAUACAUGACGCUCCAAGCAAAACACAUAUCAUGUGGUGAAUAAAAAUAUAGCUCCAAGUAACGUUAUCGAUGGAUUGAAGACGAAAGAGGGGAUGCCUUCCUGAGGCAUCCCCAAGCUUAGGCUUUUUGGUGUCCUUGAAUUUGGAUUGGGAUGCCUUGGGCAUCCCCAAGCUUGAGCCCUUUCCACUCUUUAUCCCAUUGUCCAUGAGAACAUCACCCAAAACUUGAAAACAUCACAACACAAAACAUAAACAGAAACUUGUGAUAUCAUUAGCAUAAGAAAACAAACUACCAACUCUUUAGGUACUGAAGUAAACUUGAUUUCUAUUUAUAUUUAUGUUAGAUUAAUGUAUUCUCACUUUUCCAUGGCAAGUACCCCCCGAUACUAUCCAUAGUUUCAUCAAAAUAAGCAAUCAACACAACAAAAACAGAAUCUGUCAAAAACAGGCCAGUCUGUAGCAAUCUGUAUACUUCGUAUACUUUUGUUAUCCCAAAACUUCUGAAAAAUUAUGAAAAUUAGGGCACUUCACAUAUCAACCAGCAGCAAAAAGAAUCCACUCAAAAGCUCUUUCUGGAUAGGAAUUAAAAAUAAUUUCGUGAGCGCAAAGUUUCUGUCUUUUUCAGCAAACAACUAUCGCCAAAACUAGUCAUAAAGGUUCUACUUGGCACAAAAACAAAAAGAAACAUAAAAACACAAUCAUAACAGGAUUAUGAUGGUGUGGACACAACAAAAAAGAAAUCAAAAAUAAAAAAUAAAUUUAUUCAUUGGGUUGCCUCCCAACAAGCGCUUUUCUUUAAAGCCUUUUAGCCAGGCAUUGAUAAUCAAUGAUGCUCACACAAAAGACAAGAAUUGAAGCACAACGAGAGCAUCAUAAAGCAUGUGAAAAUCACAUCUAAGUCUAACAUAUUUCCUAUGCAUAGGCAAUUUAUAGGAAAACAAAUUAUCAAGACAAGCAAUAACUACCAUACGCAAGGAAGAAGAAAGAGACAAUAUCAAUCUCAACAUAAUGAGAGGUGAUUUAUUAACAUGAAAGUUUCUACCACAAUAUUUUCGUCCCUCAUAACAAUUACAUGUGGGAUCAUAUUCAAAUUCAGCAAUAUAGCUAUCACAUAGGAUAUUCUUUUCAUGAUCCACAUGCAUGCAAACUUGACGCUCUUAAANNNNNNNNNNNNNNNNNNNNNNNNNNNNNNNNNNNNNNNNNNNNNNNNUAGUGGGAUUAUCAUCAAGUAAAGUCGUGACUUCUCCAAACUAACUUUCAAUAUUAUUGCCAAUAUCAUAUUCAUCAUGAGGCUUAAACAAAUUUUCAAGAUCAUAAGAAAAAUCAUCACCCCAAUCAUGAUCAUUGCAACAAGUAGCAAAACUAGCAUCCCCAAGCUUAGGGUUUUGCAUAUUUUUAGCAUGAUUGACAUUAAUAGAAUUCAUAGUGAAUCCAUUGCAAUCAUGCUUUUCAUUCAAGGAGCCCUCGUGAAUCACUUCAUAAAUUUCUUCAUCCCAAUUUUCAGAUUCACGCAUCUCAAGCAAAACUUCAUAAAGAUAGUCAAGUGCACUCAACUCACUAGCAAUUGGUUCAACACAAUUGGAUCUCUAAAGAGAUUAGCAAGUGGAUGAGGAUCCAUAUCAAUAGAUUUUUAGCAAGCGAAGAUGCAAGCAUAUUGAAGGCACAUAGCACACAAGCAAACAGAAAGCAAGCAAAAGAAAGGGCGAAUGAAAAAGGCAAAUAUUUUUGUAAAUUUUGUUUUCUAGAAGUGGGGGAGAGGAAAACGAGAGGCAAAGGGCAAAAAAAGUAAAUGCAAUAGAUGAGUUUGCGAUAGUUACUUGGAUAAGCUUCACUUAGAAUAGUCCCUGGUGCCAGAAAUUGACACGUUGUAGGAAGACUAUUCUUGACUUGAUACUCCCCGGCAACAGCGCCAGAAAUUCUUCUUGCUACCUCUUGAGCUUGCGUUGGUUUUUCCCUUGAAGUGGAAAGGGUGAUGCAGCACAGUAGCAGUAAGUAUUUCCCUCAGAUUGAGAACCAAGGUAUCAAUCCAGUAGGAGUAUCAAGACAAGUCACCAAUGUACCUGCGCAAAAACAAACAAACUUGCACCCAACGCUAUAAAGGGGUUGUCAAUCCCUUCACGAUUAAUUGCAAGGUGAGAUCUGAAGGUGCAAAGUGCAACAAAGUGAAAGUGUAGAGCUGAAAAUAUGAUGUGAAGUAGACCCGGGGGCCAUAGUGUUCACUAGAGGCUUCUCUCAUGAUAGAAAGUAUUACUGUGGGUGAACGAAUUACUGUCGAGCAAUUGAUAGAAUCGCGCAAAGUCAUGAUGAUAUCUAAGGCAAUGAUCAUACAUAUAGGCAUCACGUCCGAGACAAGUAGACCGAUACUUUCUGCAUCUACUACUAUUACUCCACACAUCGACCGCUAUCCAGCAUGCAUCUAGUGUAUUGAGUUCAUAACAAACAGAGUAACGCCUUAAGCAAGAUGACAUGAUGUAGAGAGAUAGAUUCAUGCAAUAGAUAUAAACCCCAUCUUUUUACCCUUGAUGGAAACAACACGAUGCAUGCCUUGCUACCCCUUCUGUCUCUGGGUGAGGACACCGCACGGUAUGAACCCAAAACCAAGCACUUCUCCCAUUGCAAGAAUUAUAGAUCAAGUUGGCCAAUUGAAACCCACAACUCGAAGAGAAUUACAAGGAUACGAAAUCAUGCAUAUAAGAGAUCAGAGGAGACUCAAAUAAUAUUCAUAGAUAAUCUGAUCAUAAAUCCACAAUUCAUCGGAUCUCGACAAACACACCGCAAAAGAAGAUUACAUCGGAUAGAUCUCCAUGAAGAUCAUGAUAUGCACUAAAAGUGUUAAAAGUGAUGAAGACAGCUAUAUGCUAUUGUUUUAUUAAGAAAAAUUUGCACACAUAUUAAUGAUAGCUAAAGAGACCACAAUAUUUAAGAGUGUGUUUGGUUGAUCUCCUCGUCAUUGAUGUGCGUGGAACCUGUCUGGUCAUUGUUUGGUUGGCUCUGUGAGAAAAAAUAAUUGCGUGGCCUAGCCUUCCUUGUACUGUGAUUAGCGUGGCCUUCCUUGUACUGUGAUUAGCCUGGCCAGUGAAAUAAAAAAAUAAAAGCAGAAAGUACUUAGAGCAACUCUAGCAGACCCCGCAUCCGCCCCCGACCCGCAAAAUAACCGCCAAAAUGCGGGUCGGGGCGGAAAAGCCUGCCCGAUCAGACCCCGCAUCCCGUCCCGGCCCGCAAAAAAGUUUAGGGGGGGCGGCAAAUUCCUGACCCCAACCUAGGAAAACGCGGGUUUCCCCCUCGUGACUGCGGUGCCCUGCAUCACACGGAAGCUGUUGGCGGGAAGGGCAUUUCAACCCGCGCUAUUUUUCCCUUCCUUCCGUCAUCAUCCCGCCCUUGGUUCCGCCCGCCGCCGGUGAUUCCGGCCUUAUCUGUAGGCGAGCCGCUACACGGCCCCUCCGGAUCCGGCGAGAAGAUAAUAGCCGCCCCCCGCCGCCGCCGUCGGGGAUCGACCACCGCCUCGUAGCCGCCCGGGAUCACCCGCCGCCAGUUAGUACCUUUUGUGGUUUUUGCGAGCUGUGCGAGAAGAUGGAGUUGGCCCCGUGUGAGAAGUUCCUACUAUCUGAUUCGUCCGAUUCGGACGGCUCGUAUGUUGAUACCAUGCUUGCGACCUUUCGUCAGCAAACAUUAGUCAUGGCGCUUGCCGUGAAGGCGCAUGAAGACUAGAACCGAAAGAGGAGGCGAGGAUAGACCGUCAGGCAUUUGUGCAUUCCUCGGAAUCGCCAUCUUGGGAACGAGAUGUUGAUGCAAGACUAUUUUGUGGAGAAUCCUACAUAUCCUCUGCACCUCUUCCGGAGAAGGUACCGAAUGCGCCGAUCCCUCUUUGUGAAAAUUGUUCAAGCUUGCGAGGAUAAUUGCCGGUAUUUUACUCAAAGAAGGAAUGUCGCGGGCUUAAAGGGAUUUAGUGCAUAUCAAAAAAUCUCCGCAGCUAUGCGGGUGAUUGCAUAUGGCGUUACAGCUGACUAUGCCGAUGAGUAUCUUCGCAUUGGUGAAGAUACCACAAUUGAGUCUGUGCGUAGAUUUGUUAAAGUGAUCAUCCGUGUCUUUGGUCCUGAGUAUCUUCGGGCACCCAAUGAAGAUGACACAAAGAAAUUGAUGGCAUCUAAUGAGAGGAGAGGUUGGCUUGGCAUGCUAGGUAGCAUUGAUUGUAUGCAUUGGAAUUGGAAAAAUUGCCCCAAGGCUUGGCAAGGAAUGUAUUGUGGCAAGUCUCGUGAUGCAACAAUUGUGCUAGAGGUCGUAGCAUCCGAGGAUUUAUGGUUUGGCAUUGCUUUUUUGGUAUGCCAGGCACUCUCAAUGAUAUCAAUGUGUUGCAACGGUCUCAUUUGUUUGCUAGGCUUGCUAGUGUUGAUGCUCCUACUUGCAACUACACUAUCAAUGGGUAUGAAUACACAAAGGGGUACUAUCUUGCAGAUGGUAUAUACCCUCCUUGGUGCACAUUUGGCAAGAGAAUCAAAGAACCCAAAACAAAAAAACAAUGUGAAUUUGCAAAGGUGCAAGAGGUAGCACGCAAAGAUAUUGAAAGAGCAUUCGAUGUUUUGCAAUCUAGGUUUGCCAUUGUCCGUGGUCCUGCUCGUUUUUGGGAUAAGAAAACCUUGAAGAACAUCAUGACAUGUUGUGUUAUCCUGCACAAUAUGAUUCUUGAAGAUGAGAAAGGAUUGAACUUAGAAUUCUUUUAUGACAACGUGGGUAGCCGUGUCAAACCAGCUAGAGCCCAAACCGCAUUAGAGCUUUUCUUCAAACAUACAAGGAGAUUGAAAAUGCAGACACCCACUUUCAACUUCAGAAAGAUCUCAUUGAACAUCACUCGCAAAGGGUUGGACAGUGUAUUAUUUUUGUAUUCAUUUGUAUUUGUAUUCAUGACAAGUUUUGAAUAAUUAUUUGUAAUGCGGAUGAUUAUUGUAUUAUGUUUGAUUCGAAUAAUUCCGUUUGUUUUCGACUGUUGAAUUAUGUUGUAUUUAAUAUUUGCGGGUUGAUGAUAUGCGGGAAGCAGCGGCGCAAAGAGGACACCCGCAAAGCCGACCCGUAAAAAAGUAUAUUCCGUGAAUAUACUUUUUUACGGAUCCGUUUGGGGGUCUGCAUCUGUGCCAACCCGGGCCAGCCUGCAAAAAUUGUUUUACGCGAACUGCAAACGCGUUUUGCGGGCCGGCGGGAUGCGGGGUCUGCUAGAGUUGCUCUUAGCCCAGGCAGCGUGACUUGCGUGGCCGAGGCGUCCCAUCCCAUAUGCCUGGACAUACUUUUGCAUGAGCCUGGAACUAAUUGGAGCCACUAACUGCAAAGACCCACUAUUUAAAAAAUCUAUCUAUACCUAAUAAUAAAGCGGCUAUUGCUUCCGUCGGAAAACCCACCGCGGCAUUUUUAUAAAAAAGCCCCUGUAAUUUUUGUUAUUCAACCCGCGCUCCAUCAUUUAUCAGCAAUGCAAAAGGAAAAAACGAUUCGCUGCAAAAAUUCUACCCGUACGCAUCGCCUCCUCCCAUCGAUCCUGGGCCACCCUGGCAUGUGCCCAGGUCGCCGCCACACCACUCGCCGCCGCGGCCGACCUCAACCGCCACCGCUACCGGUCUCAACCCACCCGCCUCCGCGGCCAUACCUCUCCCCGCUCACUUCCCCUGUUGCGGCGCUCGAGCGCAUCGCGUCCACCCUGGUCCACCCUGGCAUGUGCCCAGGCCGUUGCCACACCACUCGUCGUCGCGCCCGGCCUCAACCACCACUGUUGUCGAUCUCAACCCACCCGCCUCCGCGGCCGUACCUGUGCCCUCUUGAUGCCCCCGUUUCGGCGCUCCAGCACACCUUCUGGAUCAAAUCAACGCGACAGCUACACUGACUAGGAAUAAUGCGUCUGCUCGAUGCAGAACGGCGGCGGCGCGCGGAUAAGGCGCGGCGGAGAGAAGUACUUGCAGGUGGAGGCGGGCCUGCAUGGCUCACACAGGGAACUCCGAGGUUAUGGCGCGGCAACAACGACUCCUUAUGGCCAGAUAGAGGGGCCUAACCCUUGCUCCCCUCAUCGUAUCCCCUCCUCCGGCAGGAACUCAUCAUCUGGUGAGAUCCCCUCCCCAUGCCUCCAAUCGUGUGCCAAGCACCGACAAGAAAUUUUCUUUUGUGGGGAUUUGUUUGCUGAUGAAUGAAUGUAUUGAAUGUAAGAUUGUAUUGUUGUAGAGACAGAAAAUGGAACACCACCUUCAGUUUGUCAUCUGAUCCCACAUUCUCUACCGCAUGAGUGAAAUAAGAUAACAGUACAUUGAUCAAUUCACGUAGCCUCUUUGUUUUGCUUUGUUUGUCCCGCUCAAUUUCUUAUCAUGGUGGAAUUAACAAUGGACGGGUUGAUUUCUCAACAAAAUAGGAUAGGACUGACUACAUUAGUUAGUUAGCUUCUUAUUUUAAUAAAUCAAAAUAAUUAUAAAAAGAUUAAAAACGUGUGGUAUUUUUUUCUCCCGUUGCAACGCACGGGCCCUUUUGCUAGUAAACACUAAACGACGGAGCAUCCUGCUUAGACAGGAACUAAAUGCCCACCUACCAGACUAGCAUGGCCAGGCCGAAUUUUCAGUCAUCCCACGCGUUAUCCAGGCACCAGUUUUUCUCACGCAGACCGCCCAGGCCUUCAACCAAACACGCUCUAAGUCUGUCUAAACAAUACUAACCGAACUAAAACAUAUAAACUAAAAAUAUGUUGGCUAUACCUUGCAUCUAGAGAUGUUCAAAGCAUAGCUGUACUGGAUGUAAAAGAAGUAUAGAUGCAUACUCCAAAUCCUCAGAGUCUGAGCAAAACGUGGUGUACUCGAAGAUGAAUUAGACCGAAUGAUUGACGCCAUCAAAGCUGGGCAUUGCCUCCAUUUGCACAGGAACUGCUUCCAUUCGCGCGUGAGGAAAUAUAUGCGAACUGUGGUGGGUGGUCUGCUAUAGGGGGUUGAUGGAGUUUAUAUAUUUAACAUUGUGUUCAGUUUGAAAUAUAAUUUUUGGAGAGUUAAUAUUGCCUUCCAAAUGAUAAAUGUAAUUUAAUUAAAGCUAUUGUUUGAUUCCAAGUAUAAAUUACUUUCAAUAGGAUAUGUCUUCCAUUAAUUGUUUGUCCACCUGAUUUAUAUCUUUUGACCCAAUUAAUAAUAUCUUCCCAAUCCCAUAAUAUGGACGUGUGACGACAUGCCUUUUCCUAUCGCUUUGUACGAUGAUGAUGACGUAGAAAUUUAUUAAAGGAAAUUUAUUUUCUUUUCCUUCUCCAUGUGGUCAUCUCUCUCAUGGAUAUGGGAUUGAAUCCUUAUACGUACAAGCAUCUUAUCUUUCUAUAUCCCAACCAAAAGAUAUCUUGCAGAACGAAAAUGGUUUCCAUUUGACCAGCAAAAUCAUACUUACCAUUUGAUCAAUCUUCGGCAACAUAAUUAAUAUUGUUCAUUUCUUUUUAGUAACCCAAUAAAUUCAGGUCUCGCUAUAAUGAAGGCCAAGGCCAGUCUUCCAAGUGUUCGCAUUAUUUUUAGUAUCCCAAUACAUUCGGAUCUCCAUAUAAUAAAGGCGAGCCUCCCAAUCCUUCAGUGGUCACAAAAUAUAGAUAUUUCCCCUGAAUGCACCCGUGUCAUCUGUCUCAUGCGUGUAUAAGAAAAGUUUUUUUUAACUCUCACUAAUAUAAUAUAUAUACAAACAUACAUAUAUAUAUAAUGUGUCUAUUUUGGCGAAAAAUUAAACUUUGUGUUGGAUUGAGUGCAAGAGCAAGACAGUAAAUUUCUAGGAACAUAAGUUGAAAUCAUUGUGUGAUUUUACAUUCUUUUUGGCACAUUAUUAAUACUAAAAUGAAAUUAAAUUAAAUUUUCAAUGUUCGUGUGUCAAUUUGAUGCCAAUGAUGUCUUGCUGUUGUUGAAUAUAUAAUGAAAUGUUGUUGUAGUCAGCCUUUUCUUAUGCCACUAUGUUUUCUCUGAAGUAGAGUUUCUACAUUGGCUGACCAACCAUUUGCUAUUGACAUGCAUGUUUAAAAAUAAUUGAUACACCUUAACUGCAACAUCUUUAGGAUGUUGAUGCCAUAUGUAGAGUCAAGUAGUAAUAUCGACUAUAGAUUAAGGGGAGUCUUUUGAACUAUUAUUUCGAGAUACAAGUUAUUUUACCUGAGAUUGAUUUGUGAAAAACGCAAGUUGGUCUGGAUAAAUAAGAGAUAAAUAAAAUUAUAAUCACAUUUCAUUAUUCCUUAUGUAUAAUUUGACUUUGAACGAUUACAGCAUAAAUGUUGUCAAGGACCGAUGAAACGCCUAACAAUCUAACAUAUUAAUAUUAUAAAUUAUCUAAUAAUAUUGGACACAUCUUCAUGCUUGGUCUUUUGAAGGCGGUGGUGGCUUGCUGUCGCAGACUUUGAUAUGCUUAAAAACCAUCUCCCUCAACUGAGUAAUCUGCUCCAGUGAUAACCCACCAGUAUAGUGGAUGGCAACAGUUUUCGAGGGUAGAGUAUUCAACUCAAAUUUAUUGAUUCGACUCAAGGGGAGGCAAAGAAUAUUCACGAGUAUUAGCAGAUGAGUUGUCAAUUCAACCACACCUGAAAGACUUAAUAUCUGCAGCAAAGUAUUUAGUAGUAAAGUAGUAUGGAAGUAACUGUAACGGUGGCAAACGUGACAGUAGCAGUUUUGUAGUGAUUGUAACAUUAGCAACAGAAAAAGUAACUUGGCAAAGAUUAAUAUAUGGAAAGCUCGUAGGCAAUGGAUCAGUGAUGGAUAAUUAUGUCGUAUGGCAUUCAUCAUGCAACAGUCAUAACAUAGGGUGAUACAAGACUAGCUCCAAUUCAUCAAUGUAAUGUAGGCAUGUAUUGCAUAUAUAGUCAUACGUGCUUAUGGAAAAGAACUUGCAUGACAUCGUUUGUCCUACCCUCCCGUGGCAGCGGGGUCCUAAUGGAAACUAAGGGAUAUUAAGGGCUCCUUUCAAUAGAGAACCGGACCAAAGCAUUAGCACUUAGUGAAUACAUGAACUCCUCAAACUACGAUAAUCACCGGAAAGAAUCCGAGUUAUUGUCACCCUGGGGGAUGUGGAUCAUAACUCGUAAUAGGUGUCUACAACUUGCAAGAUAGGAUCAAGAACACAUAUAUAUUCAUGAAAACAUAAUAGUUUCAGAUCUGAAAUCAUGGCACUCGGGCUCUAGUGACAAGCAUUAAGCAUAGCAAAGUCAUAGCAACAUCAAUCUUAGAACAUAGUGGAUACUAGGGAUCAAACCAUAACAAAACUAACUUGAUUACAUGGUAAAUAUCAUCCAAACCAUCACCGUCCAGCAAGCCUACAAUGGAAUUUCUCAUGAAUGGCGGAGAGCAUCAUGAAAUUGGUGAUGAAGGAUGGUUGGUGAUGACGACGACGUCGAUUUCCCCUCUCCGGAGCCCAAAUCAGACUCCACAUCUGCCCUCCCGAGGAAGAACAGGAGGUGGCGGCUGAUUCGUAUCGUAAACACGAUGAAUUCUCCUCCUUGAUUUUUCCUCCCGUAAUAGGAAUAUAUAGAAGUGGAAACGAGGUCGGAGGAGACACAGGGCCCCACAAGAUAGGGGGCGCGCCCUGCAGGCUUGUGGCCAGGUGGUGGCCCCUCUCCGGUUGAUUCUUUCGCCAAUAUUUUUUAUUAAUUCCAUAAAUAUUCUCCGUAAAUUUUCAGGUCAAUCUGAGAACUUUUAUUUCUGCACAAAAAUAACACCAAGGAAAUUCUGGUAUCCCGGUAGCCCUUUAUGAGACCGCAAAACAUAAAUGCAGAGCACCUCUGAAGAACAAGGACUGACUAGACAUUGUAAUUCAUGGUAAAAGAGAUCCAUUCAUACCCGUUCUCAAUAUCAAUUGAUAACAAAGCAUACAAAUGAUGGAGAUGCUCUCUAACUGGUGCCUUUUAUAAGAAGAGGAUGACUCAAUAGUAAAGUAAAAAUAGAUUGGCCCUUCGCACAGGGAAGCAUUGAUUUAUAGAGGUGCGAGAGCUCUAGCUUUCAAAACAAGGAUGAAUCAAAAUUUUGGGCGGUAUGCUUUCAUUGUCAACGUAACAACUAAGAGAUCUCAAUAUCUUCCAUGCUAGAUACAUUAUAGGCGGUUCCCAAACAGAAUAGUAAAGAUUUUACUCUCCCUCCACCAAUCGGUCACACUGCACGGCGGGUCAAAUCCAUGGGUACCGUCCAUACAAACAAAAAUCCCGAGGGAGUUUUGUUUUAUUAUACUUUGAUUUGACUUUUGAGCAUGGAACUGGGCAUCCCGAAUACCAGCCACAUUCUCGUGAAUGAUAGUGAAUCAACACAUAUCGUGAGAAUAACCCACCUAGCAUGGAAGAUACUGACAACCCCUAGUCACUACAUGAGCUAUUCAGGCAUACAAAAUAGGAUAUUUAUUUGAAGGUUUAGAGUAUGGCACAUGCAAAUUUACUUGGGAUGGCAGGUAAAUACCGCAUAUAGGUAGGUAUGGUGGACUCAUACGAAACAACUUUGGGUUUAUAGAAAUGGAUGCACAAGAAGUAUUCCUGCUUAGUACAAGUGGAGGCUAGCAAGAGACUGGGAAGCGACCAACUAGAGAGCAACAACAGUCAUAAACAUGCUUUGAUAUUAACCAACAUUGAAUGCAAGCAUGAGUAGGAUAUAAAUCACCAUGAACAUAAACAUCGUGGAGGCCAUGUUGGUUUUGUUUCAACUACAUGCGUGAACAUGUGCCAAGUCAAGCCACUCGAAUCAUUCGGAGGAGGAUACCAUUCUAUCAUACUACAUCAACCAUUUUAAUAUGCAUGUUGGCACUCAAGACAAACCAUUAUUCACUCCUAGCGAAUUAAGCAUGGCAUAAGAAACUAUAAUCUCUAAUUGUCAUUGCAAACAUGUUCAAUCCAUAACGAGCUGAAUCUAGAACGAUGAGCUAAUAAUAUUUACAAAAAACAAAAUAGGUCGAGUUCAUACCAACUUUUCUCCAUCUCCGUCACUUUAUCAUAUAUCGUCAUUAUUGCUUUUCACUUGCACGACCGAAUGGUGUGAAUAAUAAUAAUAAGAGUGCAUGUGCAUUGGACUAAGCUAAAUAUGCAAGCAAUAACUCAAAGGAGAAGGCAAGGUAAUAUGAGCUAUGUGAUAGAUAAAUGAUAAUGCAUAUGAGAGCCACUCAACAUGUCAUCGUGCUCUUCUCCUUAUGACCCAAAGAAGAAAGAACAACUAUUUACACGGGAAAGCCCCCAACAAGCAAAAGAAGAACGAGAAAUAUUUUCGGUUUUUAUUUUAACACUUCAAGUAAACAAACUAGAAGGUAAAGCUAGAAUUUUUUUUUGGAUUUCCUCAAGGUUAAUGAAACACACAAGAAGAAAACAAAAAUGAGAAAUAAACUACCAUGGAUGGUACAAUGAAAAAGUAUGAACACGGACAACUGGAAUGAGUGUGUGAACAUGAAUUUAAUGUUGGUGAGAAAUACGUACUCUUCCAAGCUUAGGCUUUUGUCCUAAGUUGGUCUAGGGCCAUGGCUGGCCCGGAUAAUAUCCAAAAUCAUAGUUGGGGUUGUACUGGGUUGCGUCGGCUGCCGCCUGAAUGACUUCAGCGCGGAGGCGAGCGGCUUUCGCCUCUCUCUCAUACUCGUUUGCCUCCUCUCUGGUUAUAAAGUAUCUCCGUUUUUCCAGAAAUUUAAAGAAGGCCGGAGCAGGAACGGUAAUAUGGACAACAUGUUGUUUACCAAAAAUUAGUCGGUACAGGAGGGGUUGUUCAUUUCUCUUAAGAAAUUGGUAGCGCACCAUAGCCUCAUAAUCAAGAAAAGCAAGUGGUAACCCUAUAUCACUCUCCCUUAUAGGUAUCCCAAGAUAAUUAGCUACACGGGUGGCAUAAAUUACACCAAAGAAAUCUCCAUCCUUAGCAUUUUUAUGUAGCCUCCUAGCAAUAAUAGCUCCCAAGUUAUAUCGUCUAUCACCCAUGACCGCACUCUUAAGAAUACUAAGGUCAGGCACUCAAAGGUGGCUAUGCUCAUGUUUACCGUUAAUACUUCUACCUAUGAAGAGAGCAAGAUAAUGUAUGGCAGGGAAGUGAAUGCUCCCCAAGGUAGCCUGUGUAAUAUUUCUAGUUUCUCCCAUAGUGAUGAUAGCAAGAAAAACAUUAUAUUCAGUUUUGUGAGGAUCACUAUGGCUACCCCAUUGUGGAAUUUUGCAUGCAUGGUUAAAAUCCUCUAGGUCCAUAGUAUAAGAUUCAUCAUAAAGAUUAAAUAGAACGGAAUGCUUAUUACACCUGGAUGAAAAUUCAAACCUCCGCACGAAGGAAUCAGUGAGUUGGUAAUAUUGCUGGCAUUUGUGUGAAACAAAAUCUUCAAGGCCAACAUUUUGUAUGUACACUUAAAAUUCUUCCUCGAAUCCGGCCUCGACCAUCAAUGGAUCCAACAACCAUUCACAAGGCCGCACUUGAGCCUCCCUUGGUGGUUCAAAGUCGGACACGUGUAUCACGAGUCUCAGGGUCUUCUUGCUCGAGGAACCACCUUGGUAUAUUCUCCUUAACAUUUUUCUUUCUUCGAAAAAUUUCAUUAACAUGAAAAGGGAUGUUGCCUUUGUUGUAAUCAAUAACAGCCCCUGCAGUAUUCAGAAAGGGUCUACCAAGGAUAAUCUACAAACUAUCGUCCUUGGGGAUAUCAAGAAUAACAAAGUACGUUAGGAUAGUACGUUUGCAACCACAACACGCACAUUCUCACAAAUACCAAUGGGUAAAGCAGUUGAUGUAUCUACCAUUUGCAGAGAAAUUUCAGUAGGUGUCAACUUAUUCAAAUCAAAUCUACGAUAUAAAGAGAAUGGCAUAACACUGACACCAGCUCCGAGGUCACAUAAAGCAGUUUUAACAUCAUUUCCUUCAAUAGAGCAUGGUAUAGUAGGUACUCCGGGAUCUCCUAGUUUCUUUGGUAUUCCACCCUUAAAAGUAUAAUUAGCAAGCAUGGUGGAAAUCUCAGCUUCCGGUAUCUUUCUUUUAUUUGUAACAAUAUCUUUCAUAUACUUAGCAUAAGGAGACAUUUUCAGAAUAUCAGUUAAGUGCAUACAUAAAAAAGAGAGGUCUCAUCAUUUCAACAAAGCGAUCAAAAUCCUCAUCAUCCUUCUUCUUGGAUGAUUUAGGAGGAAAGAGCAUGGGUUUCUGAACCCAUGGUUCUAUUUCUCUACCAUGCUUCCUAGCAAUAAAAUCUCUUUUAUCAUAUCUCUUAUUCCUAGGUUGUGGGUUAUCAAGAUCAAUAGCAGGUUCAAUCUCCACAUCAUUGUCAUUACUAGGUUGAGCAUCAACAUGAACAUCAUCAUUAAUAUUAUCACUAGGUUCAUGUUCAUUACAAAAUUGUGUCUCAGCAUCAGAAAUAGAGAUAUCUUUUGGGUUUUCAUCUGACUCUACAACAGGUUCACUAGCAUCAUGCAAAGUCCUAUCGUUAUUAUUUUUCCUUUUAUUAGAAGGACCAGGUGCAUCAAUAUUAACUCUUUGAGAGUCUUGCUCAAUUCUCUUAGGAUGGCCCUCAGGAUACAAAGGUUCCUCAGUCAUUCUACCACCUCUAGUCACAACUCUAAUAGAAUGAUCAUUGUUCUUACUAAUCAUCUCAUUGAGCAAAUCAUUUUGUGCGCCUUAAGUACUUGUUCUACUUGAGUAGUUACCAUGGAAGCAUGUUUACUAAUAACCCUAAGGUCAUUACCAAUUCUACUCAUGUAAUCACCCAAGCGAUCAAGCAUGUAAGCAUUAUGUUUAAUUGUCUACUAACAUAAGCAUUGAAUUUUUCUUGUUUAACAACAAAGUUAUCAAAUUCAUCCAAGCAUUGGCUAGCAGACUUAUUAUAAGGAAUAUCACCUUCAUCAAAUCUACGAAGAGAGUUUAACUCAACUAACUGUGUUGGGUUAUCAAGACCGUGUAUUUCUUCAAUAGAUGGUAGAUUCUUAACAUCUUCAGCUUCAAUACCUUUUUCUUUCAUAGAUUUCUUUGCCUCUUUCAUAUGUUCAUGACUGAGGAAUAGAAUACAUAUUUUCUUCAAAGUUGGUUUUGGAGGUGGUUCGGGAAUAGUCCAAUCAUUAUCAUUGCUUAAUAUAUUAUUCAAUAGUAGUUCAGCUUGUUCAAUAGUUCAUUCCGUGAAAACACAACUAGCACAACUAUCUAGGUGGUCCCUAGAAGCAAAGGUUAGUCCAUUAUAAAAGAUAUCAAGUAUUUCAUUUUUUUGAGAGGAUGAUCAUGCAAAGCAUUAAGUAACUUAAGAAGCCUCCCCCAAGCUUGUGGGAGUCUCUCUUCUUCAAUUUGCACAAAGUUAAAUAUUUCCUGCAAGGCAGCUUGUUUCUUAUGGGCAGGAAAAUAUUUUUCACAGAAGUAGUAAAUCAUAUCGUGGGGACGACGAACACAACGAGUAGUAAGAGAAUUAAACCAUAUCUUAGCAUCACCCUUUAAUGAGAACAGAAACAACUUCAGAAUAUAGUAAUAACGAAUUUUUUCCUCAUGAGUAAAUAGGGUGGCUAUAUCAUUCAAUUUAGUAAGGUGUGCCACAACAGUUUAAGAUUCAUAACCAUGGAAAGGAUCACAUUCUACCAAAGUAAUUAACUUAGAAUUGACAGAGAAUUCAUAAUCCUUAUCAGUAACAAAGAUAGGUGAAGUAGCAAACUUGGGAUCAUAUUGCAUUCUAGCAUUCAAAGAUUUCUCCUUCCACUUGCAUAGCAAUUUCUUAAGAUCAUCUCUAUCCUUACAAGCAAGAAAGUCCCUAGCUACUUCUCCUUCAAUAACAUAACCCUUAGGUAUAUUAGGAAAUUCAUAUCUAGGAGAGCUAGGUCUAGAAAGUGCAUCAUUGUGUUCAGUUUCAAUAAUUUCAUCAGAUUCAGAAAUAUCAUCAGUUUCAGCAUUCACUCUAGCAAUUUGUUCAUCAAGAAAUUCACAAAGUGGCACAAUAGUAUCAAGCAAAGUAUCACCAUAAGUAUCAUGCAUAACAGAAGUAGCAUCAUCAGUUACUUGCAGCAUAUUAGAUUCAGUAGCAGGUGGUGAUGUCACAAAUUUACUCAUAACAGAAGGUGAAUCAAGUGCAGAGCUAGAUGGCAGUUACUUAUCUGUCCUCGUAGUUGAGGGGUAGAUAUUGGUUUUAGCGUCUUUCAGAUUCUUCAAAGUAAUCAACAUAUAUAAAUUCCAAGUGACUCAGAGAAUAGAGUUAUGCUCCUCGGCAACAGUGCCAGAAAAAGGUCUUGAUAACCCACAAGUAUAGGGGAUCGCAACAGUUUUCGAGGGUAGAGUAUUCAACCCAAAUUUGUUGAUUCGACUCAAGGGGAGCCAAAGAAUAUUCUCGAGUAUUAGCAGCUGAGUUGUCAAUUCAACCACACCUGAAAGACUUAAUAUCUGCAGCAAAGUAUUUAGUAGAGAAGUAGUAUGGAAGUAAUGGUAACGGUGGCAAACGUGACAGUAGCAGUUUUGUAGUGAUUGUAACAAUAGCAACGGAAAAGUAACUUGGCAAAGAUCAAUAUGUGGAAAGCUCGUAGACAAUGGAUUAGUGAUGGAUAAUUAUGUCACGUGGCAUUCAUCAUGCAACAGUCAUAACAUAGGGUGACAUAGAACUAGCUCCAAUUCAUCAAUAUAAUGUAGGCAUGUAUUCCAUAUAUAGUCAUACAUGCUUAUGGAAAAGAACUUGCAUGACAUUGCUUGUCCUACCCUCCCGUGGCAGCAGGGUCCUAAUGGAAACUAAGGGAUAUUAAGGCCUCCUUUUAAUAGAGAACCGGAGCAAAGCAUUAGCACUUAGGGAAUACAUGAACUCCUCAAACUACGGUAAUCACCGGAAAGAAUCACAGUUAUUGUCACCCUGGGGGAUGCGGAUCAUAACUCGUAAUUGGUGUCUACAACUUGCAACAUAGGAUCAAGAACACAUAUAUAUAUAUUCAUGAAAACAUAAUAGGUGAAGAUCUGAAAUCAUGGCACUCAGGCCCUAGUGACAAGCAUUAAGCAUAGCAAAGUCAUAGGAACAUCAAUCUCAGAACAUAGUGGAUACUAGGGAUCAAACCCUAACAAAACUAACUCGAAUACAUGGUAAAUCUCAUCCAACCAUCACCCUCCAACAAGACUAUGAUGGAAUUACUCACAAACGGAGGAGAGCAUCAUGAAAUUGAUGACGAAGGAUGGUUAGUGAUGACGACAGCGUCAAUAUACCCUCCCCGGAGCCCAAAUAAUACUCGAGAUCUGCCCUCUCGAGGUAGAAUAGGAGGUGACGGCGGCUCCGUAUCGUAAAGUGCGAUGAACUCUCCUCCUUGAUUUUUUCCUCCCCGAAUAGGAAUAUAUAGGAAACGAGGUCGGAGGAGCCAUAGGGGCCCCAGAGGACAGGGGGGCGCGCCCUAGAGGCUUGUGGCUAGGUGGUGGCCCGUGUCGAGUUGAUUCUUUUGCCAAUAUUUUUUAUUAAUUCCAAAAAUAUUCUCCGUAAAUUUUCAGGUCAAUCCGAGAAAUUUUAUUUCUGCACAAAAAUAAUAUCAAGGCAAUUGUGAUAAAAACAACGUCAGUCCGGGUUAGUUGAAUUCAAAUCAUGCAAAUUAUAGUCCAAAACAAGGGCAAAAGAGUUUGGAAAAGUAGAUACGUUGGAGACGUAUCAUAGAGCAAAGAUUCCAGCAAUAACCUAUUAUACUGGACUGCCUCCAUCACGUCACACAUGAGUUCAUAAUAAACUGAAUGUUGUUAACUUAUUGAGAAAAUGUACCUUUAGGUGUGUAGGGACAUAAUUAUCCACAACUAUUCCACCAACUUGAUAGUUACUCAUACAUCUCUUCACCUACGAAGAAGGAAUUAUGAAUCCGACACCCCAUUAUUUCAAAUCUUCCUCGGAGAAAUCACUACAGAAUUACUUAGUACACGGUUUCAGAAGAACUAAUAGGUACAUUUUUGUAAAUUUCUCAAAGGGUCAUGGUCCUGUCCCUGCAAAAAUCUUGCAAGGUUUGCAAAAAAGCAGAAUAAUCAUUGUCGCUCAUGUAAGAGCAUGCGUGCAGUCAUGAGGUAAUCGAAUAUCAAGUUAGCAACCUCAACCAAACAGAAGGAGCAACCAUGAGAAUUUUUUCACCACCUUCAGUUUGGAAAGAAAAACAAUUGAUUUUUGUAGCAAGGAAAGUGCAAUCAUGUCCUUAAUCAUAUUUUGAUGUUUCACACAACUAACAAACAUGAAACUAAUCAUCUUAAUCGAGUGUAUCUCAGGUUUCGUUCCCAUGAGAGUUUCUGUAUGGAUCAUGACUAAUUUGUCCAUGAUGCUCAAGAAUGAAGAAACAAGACGAAGAGGUCUAUCAUUUUAUUUGUCUUUCUUGAGUAUAGGGACCCUGCACUAUUAAGAGGCGAUCACUGAGUCUCGACAGAAACUUGCUCAAAACUAUUAGAAAAUCCUCUUUCUAUCUUCCUGGUUGAUCUGCUCCUAUUCGGUCAUCCGGUGGUUCUCGGACGUCCAGACCCCAGAUGGCCGAUGCCGUCCAGAAUCCUGAGCUAGCCAACAGAUCUAGAAUGACGGACUUCCGGCCCCUCCGGUCGUCCGAGGACCUGGUGUCCGGGUACGGUAGGAAUUCCGUGGCCACCCAACAAAUCCAAAAUGUCGGACUUCUGACCAUUCCGGGCUACCGUGCCCCCGACGGCCGAUGCCCUUCGGAUGUUCGUGCGUUGUUCACUUGUUCACCUCAUGCUGACCUAAUAUCUUCUAUGUCUUCGGACGACCGACGUCCUCUGGACGAUCGUAUGCUGAUCAUCUCUCCACCAAAUAAUGCGGUAAUCAGAUGCAUUUUGCAUCUUCGGACGAUCGACCACUAUCGGACGUCCGACCCUUCGUGUGUGGCCGGACGACCGUGAACUGCCGAACGUCCGGCAACUGCACAACAUAAGUGGCUCCAAUGGUCACUUUCCUACCACCACUAUAUAUAGGCUUCCCCCACCUCGAGUGAGGGUAGUUGAACACAGGUGAAACACUCUAAGAAUAUAUUUUUCUCUCACUCCCAUUUGCUUACACCAAAUCCUAGAUCCCAAGAGCAUUUGUGAGCCCCUUUGAGUGUUGUUCCAAUCAAAAGAUGGAUCGUCUCCCUCUCCUCCUCUCAACCCAAGCUAUUUGUGAUUUGAGAAAGUUUUGAUCAGUCCCCGUGAUAUUUUUACUCUUGGAGGUUGGAGACUCCUAGGCGGUAGGAGUUCUUCGGAGAGGAAUCAAACCUCUGUGAUUUCCCCUCGAAAGUUUGUGGGGGUUUGGAAGCCAGCUCAAAGGCUUACCACUAGUGGUUGAGAAACACCUUCGUGGUGUUGUCUCAAGAAUAGAAUAGGGUGAGCCUUCGUGGCGUUGGUGUUCCUUCAUGGUAACACCCACCUCGCUAAAUGGUGAUGUAGAUUCCCUCCAAGGAAGUGAAGAUCGGGAUACAUCCUUGUCUCUCAGAGUUGCGGUUAUCCCUAACCUUAACUUCCUACUUGUUGCUAGUCUUUGAUUACUUACUUGUGCUUUAUUAUAUCCUACUUGUUGUCGUGCUUGGUUCACAAACCUUACCCUUCACCCUUGCAAUUGUUAGGCUCAUUUUCAUAAUCCGCAUUAUUGCCUAAAAUUGCUAUGUAACCGAUAAAAUUUGUAACUGUACCUAUACACCCCCCCCCCCUCUAGGUCCAUCUCGAUCCCUUUCAUUUGGUAUCAAAGCCUCGUGCUCAAUUCUUUUGGCUUAAUCGCCCUAGAGCGAGAUGAACCCCGAUGGGACUCCCGUAGUUGCAGAUCAAAUGGAGAAGGGCGCGACUUCCACGGAAGUCAAGUCCUUCACUUCUGAGGAUCUAGAACGGGCCCUUGCUAAGAAAAAGUAGGAGCAUGAUGCUUCUCUUGAGGCCUUGGUCCAAAUGAGACUAGCCACAUUAUCCACGAUGAUGGCAUCACCUCCAAGUGGUGGGGCCUCAAGGCCAAAUGUGCCCAGUUCUUCACCUCGCCAACAACCUCCUGGCAAUGACCAAACUAGUAUUCCAUAGCUUUAUGCUAGACCUCAAGUUGAGAAACCUAAGUACAAUCCUCGAGGAAAACCUCCUUUGCUUGAUGACAAUUCCGAUUUUGCUUUGUGGAGAGUUGGUAUGCAAGAUCAUCUUAGGUAUGCCAAUGAUCAAAUGUUGGACAUUCUGGAGCAUGGCUACCAUCGUGUCGACCCAAAGAGUCUCACUCCAAGAGAAACUUAUGACAAGCAUCUCAAUGACACUGCAAUCAUGUGCAUAAGAAAAGGAAUGAAUGAUAAGAAACGGAGACCUUACAUACACAUCACAAGCGCCAAGGAAUUAUGGGACAACAUUGUAAGGACCAAGACCGGUACCUCCACCCUCCGGCUUGCUCAGUAGGAAAUUGCCAAGGGGCAAUUACAGAAAUUUUGUAUGGAAAAGGGUGAAUCCCCCAAGCAGCUUCUAGAAUGGCUCAUGACUCUCACCACCGACAUUGAGUCCUGUGACUGUGACAAGACACAAGAUGGAUUCAACCUGACCAAGAGAUUUCUCGUGGACAAGCUACUUCAUGCCCUUGCUCCAUAUCAUCACCAAAUGGUGUGGGAUACAAGACAACAAUACAGGUUCAAGGAAAUGACUCUGUAUGACAUCAUAUCCACUUUCCAACUAUUCGAAGAGUCAAAGGCAAAUGCUACAAAACAUCUUGCCAUGCAUGGUACCUCAACGUCAAAGAUCAAUGUUGCCUUGAAGGCCAAGCAUGAAUGUGAGGAAGAGCAAAGUGAAUAAGAAGGCGAUGUUGAUUAUGAAGAUGGAGAUGAGAUUGACUACGAAGGGAUCCCAUCAUAUGAAGAUAUUGCCCUUUUUGUAAAGAAGUUUAGUGCAGGAAAAUUCAAGGGAAGAUUCUAGAAGAAGGAGGUGAGAAAAUGCUACAACUGUGAGGAAACCAACCACUUCUCCAUGAUUUCCCUUAUGAGAAGAGAGAAGAUAAACCAAGGUUUCCCAAGACCUUUGCAAAGAAGAAGUUGCCAUACCCUAUGGACUCCAAGCUCAAGAGGAGAGAUGGGAAAGCAAUGGUUGCACAUAAAGAAUCAGAUCCAGAAGAUGUUGGUGGGGUUGCCGGAGUAGCUCAAGAUUCACAAAACACCUUGAGGUUAGUCAACAAGAGUGGUGAUGUUGUCGCCUAAAACUAUAUGACAGACUACAAGGGAAACGCUCACAAGUGCUUGAUGGCAAAGGCUGUUAUAGAAUAUGGGUGCUACCUCUUGAGCUUGAGUUGGUUUUUCGCUUGAAGAGGAAAGGGUGAUGCAGCACGGUAGCAGUAAGUAUUUCCCUCAGUUUGAGAACCAAGGUAUCAUUCCAGUAGGAGAAUCAAGCCAAGUCUCCAAAGUACAUGCGCACAAACAGCAAACUUGCACCCAACGCUACAAAGGGGUUGUCAAUCCGUUCACGAUUGAUUGCAAGGUGAGAUCUGAAGGCGGAAAGUGCAACAAAGUAAAAGUGUAAGGCUAAAAAUAUGAUGUAAAGUAGACCCGGGGGCCACAGUGUUCACUAGAGGCUUCUCUCAUGAUAACAAAUAUUACGGUGGGUGAACGAAUUACUGUCGAGCAAUUGAUAGAAUCGCGCAAAGUCAUGACGAUAUCUAAGGCAAUGAUCAUACAUAUAGGCAUCACGUCUGAGACAGGUAGACCGAUACUUUCUGCAUAUACUACUAUUACUCCACACAACGACUGCUAUCCAGCAUGCAUCUAGUGUAUUGAGUUCAUAACAAACAGAGUAAUGCCUUAAGCAAGAUGACAUGAUGUAGAGGGAUAAAUUCAUGCAAUAGAUAUAAACCCCAUCUUUUUACCCUUGAUGGCAACAACACGAUACGUGCCUCGCUACCCCUUCUGUCACUGGGUGAGAUCACCGCACGGUAUGAACACAAAACCAAGCACUUCUCCCAUUGCAAGAACUGUAGAUCAAGUUGGCCAAACGAAACCCACAACUCGAAGAGAAUUACGAGGAUAUGAAAUCAUGCAUAUAAGAGACCAGAAGAAACUCAAAUAAGAUUCGUAGAUAAUCUGAUCAUAAAUCCACAAUUCAUCGGAUCUCGACAAACACACCGCAAAAGAGGAUUACAUCGGAUAGAUCUCCAUGAAGAUCAUGGAGAACUUUGUAUUGAAGAUCCAAGAGAGAGAAGAAGCCAUCUAGCUACUAGCUAUGGACCCGAAUGUCUAUGCUGAACUACUCACGCAUCAUCGGAGAAGCAAUGGUGUUGAUGGACAAGCCCUCCGUGUCCGAAUCCCCCCUCCGGCAGGGCACCAGAACGUGCCCUAGAUGGGAUCUUGCGGAGACAGAAGCUUGCGGCGGCGAAAAAGUAUUUUCGUGGCUCUCUCCCGUGGUUUCAGAUUUUUAGGGGAUUUAUAGGCGGGAGAACUAGGGCAGGGGAGCCACAGGGGGCCCACAAGCCUGCUAGGGCCCCCCUAGUCCGGGCCUGGGUGGCUUGUGACCUCCUCCGAGGUCCCGUGCCUUGGUUCUCAAGUUUCCCGCGUGUAUUCUGUUCCUGAAAAAAUCUUUUCGGAGGUUUUAUUCUGUUUGGACUCCGUUUAAUAUUCUCCUAUGAAAAAGCUCAAAAACACAGAAAAAACAGGAACUAGCACUUUGCACUGAGUUAAUAGGUUAGUCCCAAAAAAGAUAUAAAAUAGCAUAUUCAUGCAUACAAAACAUCCAAAGAUGACAAGAUAAUAGCAUGGAACCAUAAAAAAUUAUAGAUACAUUGGAGACGUGUCAAUGGGGAGGACCAAAACUCCCCUCACAAGGUUAAGGUAACUCCACGCUCAACUUCCUUCCGUCUAUUGUCUACUCCUUUAGAUGAGUAUAUUGAUGCGGAGGAUCACUAUGAUGAUGACGAUAUAGAUAAUCCUAUGAUUGCUAAAAUAAAUAAAUAAAUUCAUGUGCUCCCUUAAAGGAAAGAAGCUCACUAUGUUUUGUAUGCUUAUGGAAAUGGUGAGUAAACACACCAAUACCAUUAAGGAAGUCGAAACCCUCUUCACUGAGGAAAAGUAAAAGAACAAAAUCCUUGAGAGGAAAGUCCAAUAUGAGGAAGCACAAAAUGAUGAUCUAUGCUUAAAAAUUGGUGCAAACCUUGAUAAUCAUGCUACCAAUCUUGCCUCCUUGGAAAUGGGUGAGAACUCGUGCAAGGAGUUAAUGAAUGAUAAAAGUAAGCUUGUGAAAUCUCAUGCUUCUCUCUCUAAGGAUUGUGAGCUUUUAUCUGUGUCCCUCAAGUCUACAGAAGAGGAGCUCACUCUUCUUACAAAGAGCUUUGAGACACUCAAACUUACUUAUCUUGAAACUCUAGCCAAGGUUUACUCCUCGCCUAUUAUCAAUGUUGAUACUUGUACUACUAACUCUAGUGGUGACCUAGCAUAUAUUCUUGAGGAAAACCAUUUUCUAAGGGCACAACUAGAGAUAGGACUCAUGACAUGUGCUCGAGGGCAAAAUAAUCUUAAUGAGAUUUUGAGCCAACAAAAUGAGGUGUUUGCCAAGGAAGGGCUCGGGUCUGACCCAAGCACAAGCAAGAAAAAUAUGUCUCCCCUCAAGUGCACCACCCCUCUCAAAGAAACAUUUGUAAGAGAAGGGCACAAGGAGAAAGGUAAGGUUGUGAGUGGAAAGACCACUAGGGGCAUGCCCGCUCUCAACAAGCCAAAAGAUUUCAUGCCUCCAUCCUAUGUACUUCGUAAAACAAAGGAUGGAGAGGUUUAUGCUAAAUUUGUAGGUCCUCGUAAUGCAUUCCGGUUCUAUGCUAUUUGGGUCCCUAAGACCCUUGUGAGUAACUUGAGAGGUCCCAUUGUAAAAUGGGUGCCUCUAACCAAGUCAUAAAUUGUGUGUACGUUGCUUUCUCUGGUGGAGUCAAAUGGGUGAUCGAUAGUGGAUGCACAAACCAUAUGACUGGAGAUAGCAAAUUGCUUUUUGAUUUCAUGGAAGCUAUUCCACCAUUUAUGAGCAUUGUGUUUGGUGGAGGACCAAAAGGACAGGAACUCGGGUUGGGCAAGGUGGCGAUCACAAAUGACAUGUCUCUUGCAAAUGUCAUGCUUGUCCAAUCCCUUAAAUGCCAUUUGCUUUAUUUUCGCCAAUUAGCUUGUGUUGGUUAUGAUACACUAUUUGGACUAACGGAUGUGAAUGUCUUUAAGAGAGAUACUCUCGAAGUGGCUUUUGUUGGAGAGUUGGAUGGCAACCUUUACACGGUUGAUUUCUGGAAAGAUAGCACAUUCCAUGCAACUUGUCUAAUGGCCAAGGCCCAUAAGGGAUGGCCAUGGGAUCGUCGGCUAGCCCAUGUCGGCAUGAGUAAUCUUUAAAAUCUCUUAAAGGGUAAUCACAUCCUUGGACUAACCAAUGUCUCUUUUGAGAAAGAUCGUGUGUGUAGUGCAUGCAUAUCCGGGAAGCAACAUCACUCAAAAGCACCCACCCAAGAAUAUUGUAUCUACUUCAAGGCCUUUGGAGCUCCUUCAUGUGGAUCUUUUUGGGCCUCCGCCAUGGGAUAGUCUUGGUGGGAAAUAGUAUGGACUUGUCAUUGUUGAUGAUUAUUCAAGAUAUACAUGGGUGUUUUUCCUCAAGUCCAAGGACGAGACGAAGAUCACCUUCAUUGAUUUUGCCAAGCAAGCCCAACGCAAGUUUGACAAAGCAAUCUUGGCAAUAAGAAGUGACAAUGGCUCCGAGUUCAAGAACUACACCUUGGAAGAAUUUCUUAGUGAUGAAGGGAUUGAGAAUCUAUAUUCGCACCCUACAGUCCUCAACAAAGUGGUGUAGCCGAGAGGAAGAACCGUACACUUGUGGAAAUGGUGAGGUCCAUGUUGGACGAAUACAAGUCACCACAUAGUUUUUUGGCUGAGGCUGUCAACACAUCAUGCCAUGCAUCAAACCGGCUCUUCCUCCGCCCAAUAUGAGAUAAGACUCCAUAUGAGCUCCUAAUCUGGAUCAAGCCAAAUGUCAAGUACUUACGUGUAUUCGGGUGCAAGUGUUUCAUAAUCAACAAACGAGAACGGUUAAGAAAAUUUCAAUCCAAGACAACUAAGGGGAUAUUUGUUGGUUAUGGAUCAAACUCUCACGCCUAUAGAGUCUACAACAAAUCCAAUGGUUGUGUUGUAGAAACUUGUGACGUGAUGUUUGAUGAAUUUAACGGCUCCCAUGGGGAGCAAGUUGAUCUAAGUGAUGCAGUUGAAGAAGAUCCCUCUCAAGAUAUUUUGACCAUGGGUAUUGGUGCCCUUCUUCCAAUGGAACAAGAAACUCAUGAUGAUGAAGAAUAAGAAGGAAGUUUACCUCAUCCUCAAGUCGACUCAACACCCAUACCUCCACAAGAUCCUAGUGCUCAAACCAUGAAGUUGUUCAGGAUCAAGAAGGAGAACACGUCCCUCACCACGAUCACAUUCAAGAACAAGAUCAUCGUCAAGAGCUGAAGUUGAACCUCGUGAAACCCUGACCUCCAUCAUGCCACGAGCAUGUGCUUGAUGGUUCUGACUGGCUCCUUGCUGCCCAUCACCGCCUUAAUCGUCAACACGCCCCCGGUAUAUAGCUGCUCGGCGAAAGUAUAUAUAUAGCCUUUAGCUUCAGCAUGCAGUCGUAUGGAAGAUUGGCGGCUCGUGAACCUACAAAGGACACAUCAGUAUGUGAUAGUUUUUUGGGAGACCAGAUUAUUUCUUCAACAGGCAAUGGUUAAUGCUUACCAAAAUAGCGACAAUCAUGUUGGAAAUGUGCUUUUUUAAGCCGGAAAGCUCUUGCUCGGCGGCUUCCAAUUUUUCCUCAGCUUGCUCAGCACGCUUAAGGAUGGUGGCUUGGUCAGCCUUGGCUUUCUUCUCCAGUUUUUGAUGGUCAGCCAUCAUCCUCUCCAGCUCAGCCACAAUCAAGCGGUAUUUCCUCUCUGACUCAGAUUGUGCAUCUUGUUGUUCAGCCAGAUUCUUCCUUAAGUCGGUUAAAGCCGACUCAGUCUGGGUCAUAGACUCCUGCACAUAAAAUUUGGGGAGACAAGUUUCAACAUUAUUGCAAGCAAUACUCCUGACACUUGGGGGCUAAUGUAUGGUUUUAUUCAAAGUCAUACCGUAUUUGAGACCCGGCUCAUCUUUCAAAAGAUGACCCGGCCCUUGGGGGCUACAGGUUGAAAAUUUUAACUAUAUUCAAGACCCGGCUCAUCUUUCAAAAUAUGACCCGGCCCUUGGGGGCUACAGGUUGAAGAUUUUAACUAUAUUCAAGACCCGGAUCAUCUUUCAAAAGAUGACCCGGCCCUUGGGGGCUACAGGUUGAAGAUUUUAACUAUAUUCAAGACCCGGAUCAUCUUUCAAAAGAUGACCCGGCCCUUGGGGGCUACAGGUUGGAGAUUUUAACUAUAUUCAAGACCCGACUCAUCUUUCAAAAGAUGACCCGGCCCUUGGGGGCUACAGGUUGAAGAUUUUAACUAUAUUCAAGACCCGGAUCAUCUUUCAAAAGAUGACCCGGCCCUUGGGGGCUACAGGUUGAAGAUUUUAACUAUAUUCAAGACCCGGCUCAUCUUUCAAAAGAUGAGCCAGCCCUUGUAAGGCUAAUGGGUGGAAGAGAAUACAUAAGUAGACGUACCUCAUGCUUAACCUUCAUAAGAUGAAUCAAGCUUUUGUUCAUCUCAUAAUCCCUCUCUAGGUGACUUGCGAAGCCACAGCAAAGUUGGUCAAACUCCAGCCUCUCAUAAUGGGGGAGCUUGAAUUUACUGGUGUCUUGAUCAGGGGAAGGACGAGAUUCCUUGGAGGUAUGCUUGGACAGUAUCGCAACUGGAGGAGUCGAGUAGCCAAUACCGGUGACUACGACAUCAUCUGGAUCUUCAGUCGCCUUGAGAGGGCUUUGUGGGUUAACUUUGUCAGCGGUUUCCUUCAAAAUUACGGGCGAGUCAUCCCGGACAUCGGGAAUAUCGUCCACAGGAAUAUCAUGAGUCGCCGCUUGCUCCUCAUCAAUCUCUGGGACAAAGGUGCUCGUGCCUAAGGCUUCAGUUGUUUUAGGAGCAGAAGAUAAGUCGCCAGUUUUCCUUCUCUUCGCUUGUGCUCUGAGAAAAAGGCACCAAGAUUAAAAGCACAUAUCGUUGUUUACAAGAAAUUGGGAUUAACAAAGGGACUCACCCUUGCACACGAACCAUCGGCGGGAGAGCUGAUAUUGCUGAGUCACCAGAUGUAGGGGGAGAAGUCUGGUAGAAUAAAGGCUUAAAAGUUAAAGAAGUGGCGAGUCAUAUUUUACACAAGGAAGGGUAUGAUAAAACAAAAGUGUAACUCGCUAGUGCGCUUCCCACUGGUUGUCUUCUCAGGCAGUCCGGAGAUUAAGUCGCCAGAGUGACUACGGGUUUUGCGCUUGGGGGUAUAUCUUGCUUUCUUCAAAAGGAAAUCAGGGUCCAUAUAAGCAUAUGGGUGAGAUAUGGGCACUUUCCCACAGAUCCGUCUGGCUGGUCUAGGAGAAGGAGAAGGUGAGUCGGAAGAAAUAAAAAUUACCUCGACUGCAUCAUCUUGGCUCUCAUUGUCCUCGCCCUACACAUAAAGACGCAUGGUAUAAUCAUAAGUCGGAAUACACAUGUAAUGAGUGAGGGGGAAGUCUUACCUCUAAGUGUUAAUCGUCAGCUCGUGACUCAUCGACAACAGAUGAAUCUUUGGCGGCGGCUUUACCUUUGCUUGUUUUCUUCCUCUUCUUUGGUGGCGGCUUGGUGGUCUUUUGGGCGGUCACUUUGGGGCCGCUUCGCCAAAAUGGAUCACUUUUCUGAUGAAUAGAAGUGAAUUUCAAACCAAGAUCAUUGGUAAGUAUAAAGAAACGAAAGGCGGCUUGGAUUCUUACUGGCGGCACAGGGUUGGAGCGGCAGAAGGCCUUGAGCCCAAUCUUGGCACAUUCUUCCAAAGGCUCACCGAUUAGCUUCUUGAUGAUUCCAGCAAUUUCACUCUCUGAGAGUCUUUUGUGGUGGAAGCACUACGGAUGGUUUACCAUACCAUCAUAUUCAUACAUUAGCCCGUCUCGGCGACUCAAGGGAAGAAUAUUCCACUCCACCCAGCAGCGGAACAGAUCAAUCUCGAUGAGCCUGUUGUUGGUCAAAGACUAACUCGGAGGAAAUGGGGAUAAAUUCCGACUCUUCCUCUUCUGUGAGCUUCUCGGGCAGUUUGAUGUCCAUAGGAAGGCGAUCUACUCUGAAACCCGAGAGUGGGUUUUCGCCAGGUGCAGAGGUGUCCCGGCAAUAAAACCAUGACUCGGCCCAGCCCUUGGGAUGGUUGGGCAGAAUGACUGAUGGAAAUCCACACUCGCGAUGUCUUUGAGUAUUGACUCCUCCAAGUUCAUGGUUGGGACCGUUGGGAAACUCGGUCUGGCGAUUCAAAUGGAAGAAGUUCCAAAAUAAAGGAACUAUGGGCUCUCUCAGCAAGUAUACUUCACAAAAGACCUGUAACUGGCAAAGGUUGCUGAUGGAGUUGGGUCCCAGGUCUUGAGGAUGAACGUUAAGGAAAUGCAAGACGUCUCGAAAAAACUUUGACUCGGGCGGUUUAAAACCUCGUUCACGGUAAUCGGUAAAGAUGACUACUUCUCCUGCAGCGGGAUUGGGAAUCAACUCGCCCGGGGCGGUUCUCCAACCAAUGGUUUCCUUGUUGUCAAGAAGACCCGCCUUAACAAACUUCUCGAGAGCAUCAUCAUCAAUUUUUGUUGGUAACCAAUUGCACUUUGAAAUAGCCAUGACUACAAAAGAGAGGGGAACGAGGCGAUUCAGCAAAAACUAUGAAGUAUUCUAACUCGCCAGUAUGGGUCUACAUGUGACAGCCCGAGACCAACGCCCCAGAAGAUUCUCUUUAUUUCCGUUUCCGUCGUGUGGUUAUUUUAUUUUGUGGCCUCGUCAUUUAGUUUGCAUCAUCGCAUCAUGCAUGGCAUCUUGCAUCGUCUGUCACGUGUGGUGUUUUNNNNNNNNNNNNNNNNNNNNNNNNNNNNNNNNNNNNNNNNNNNNNNNNNNNNNNNNNNNNNNNNNNNNNNNNNNNNNNNNNNNNNNNNNNNNNNNNNNNNNNNNNNNNNNNNNNNNNNNNNNNNNNNNNNNNNNNNNNNNNNNNNNNNNNNNNNNNNNNNNNNNNNNNNNNNNNNNNNNNNNNNNNNNNNNNNNNNNNNNNNNNNNNNNNNNNNNNNNNNNNNNNNNNNNNNNNNNNNNNNNNNNNNNNNNNNNNNNNNNNNNNNNNNNNNNNNNNNNNNNNNNNNNNNNNNNNNNNNNNNNNNNNNNNNNNNNNNNNNNNNNNNNNNNNNNNNNNNNNNNNNNNNNNNNNNNNNNNNNNNNNNNNNNNNNNNNNNNNNNNNNNNNNNNNNNNNNNNNNNNNNNNNNNNNNNNNNNNNNNNNNNNNNNNNNNNNNNNNNNNNNNNNNNNNNNNNNNNNNNNNNNNNNNNNNNNNNNNNNNNNNNNNNNNNNNNNNNNNNNNNNNNNNNNNNNNNNNNNNNNNNNNNNNNNNNNNNNNNNNNNNNNNNNNNNNNNNNNNNNNNNNNNNNNNNNNNNNNNNNNNNNNNNNNNNNNNNNNNNNNNNNNNNNNNNNNNNNNNNNNNNNNNNNNNNNNNNNNNNNNNNNNNNNNNNNNNNNNNNNNNNNNNNNNNNNNNNNNNNNNNNNNNNNNNNNNNNNNNNNNNNNNNNNNNNNNNNNNNNNNNNNNNNNNNNNNNNNNNNNNNNNNNNNNNNNNNNNNNNNNNNNNNNNNNNNNNNNNNNNNNNNNNNNNNNNNNNNNNNNNNNNNNNNNNNNNNNNNNNNNNNNNNNNNNNNNNNNNNNNNNNNNNNNNNNNNNNNNNNNNNNNNNNNNNNNNNNNNNNNNNNNNNNNNNNNNNNNNNNNNNNNNNNNNNNNNNNNNNNNNNNNNNNNNNNNNNNNNNNNNNNNNNNNNNNNNNNNNNNNNNNNNNNNNNNNNNNNNNNNNNNNNNNNNNNNNNNNNNNNNNNNNNNNNNNNNNNNNNNNNNUCGUUGCUCGUUGCUUGCUUGUGUUGCUGCUGCCUGAUGCUUUGCUAGUUGUUGUGUAGCUAGUCGAUGCUUGCCUGCUAGUGUUGCUGUUCCGGUUGCCUGCUAGUUGCUAUGCUAGCUGCUGGAGUUUGUUGCUUGCUGUUGCCCUAUUGCCGAUGCAUCGUGCCGCUGCCUGUGCAUGCUUGCCUGCCUGUGCUGUUGUUGUUUGCCUUGGUGGCUUUGCUAGAUGCAACUAGGUGUAGUUGCUAGGCCAGGUUAUUGUUGCUAGUGCUAGUUGUCACUUUGCUAGUUGAAGUUGUUGAUGUGUCGCGUGCCGUCGCCGCGUGCAACAUCCCCGCCUGCCAUGGUUCGUCGACAAGUUUGCCGUGAACAUCGUCGCCCGCGUCGACCCCGGGAACGUGUUCGACUACCGAUGUGAACACCGUAACCGACGCCGCAGACCGUGAACCACGGCACCGAGCGAACGACUACCUUCGACGAGACCCGACGACCACGACUUCCACGACGUCCGCUACGAACCGAUCCGCUUCGAAUCGCACGCUUCGAAGGUAUACCGAUGAGACGUGUCGUGUAACGAACGAAUGUGAUGUAUGAGUUGUAUCGUGUGUUGCACCGUAUAUGUUGCCCGUUGCACGUUGUCCCUCUUAUGUUGUGCCCCGACACAUGGGAACCCGGUAACCGGGAUCACCCCAUCUUUAUUUAUCGUUCCCACACGCGUUCCCAGUACGUUGGCACGAUAUCUCGACGAGUUAUUGGGAUAGGAACGUUGUCGUGGCAUCGUUUCCGUCUUGCCACCAUGGUUCCCUCUCGCUCACCGUGGCGACACCUGUUUCUUUCUCUUCUUGCUCGUGAUGUUUGAACUCGCAUGCAUGGCGCAUUCAUGGCAUAAUAUAUUGUGUUGCAUGUCUCUUGUGCCGUAGCUCCGUUCUAAGUCUCGUGUGUUAACCGUCUAGGAUGCCACGUAGAACCGUCGCUUCACCCCUUGCCAUGUUAACAACAAUUAAAUAUUGCCGUGUAAAUAAACGGGAGUGAAUUAAAUAAUUAAGCGUGAAGUUUCGUCGAUAUGUAACUCGUUGCAUAUCGAGCUUCAUUUAAAGCGUUCUGUGAGAUCNNNNNNNNNNNNNNNNNNNNNNNNNNNNNNNNNNNNNNNNNNNNNNNNNNNNNNNNNNNNNNNNNNNNNNNNNNNNNNNNNNNNNNNNNNNNNCGAACUGAUCAUGCAUCAUACUAGGUUGUGCAUCAUGUUGUGCAUCGUGUGGUGAAUAUCUAUGUUGAUGUUUGUUACCGGUUUGCUCCGUCUCGAUAGAGUUCCGCAAGCGUCUCAGAAUGUGAGGACCCGUUCGACUACGAUGGUUCGCCGACUUCUUGGAGUUGUUCUUCUUCCAAGCGGGAUCUGAGGCAAGAUGACCAUUUCCCCAGAUACCAUUACUAUCAUUGCCAUGCUAGUUUUAUCGCUUCUAUCGAUUAUGUCUCGUUGCCUACCACAUGUUAAAUAUCAACCUCUCAACAAUGCCAUGAAACCUUCAACCUAUUCAACCUAGCAAACCACUGAUUGGCUAUGUUACUGCUUGCUUAACCCUGUUGAUAGCGUUGCUAGUUGCAGGUGCAGAUGCUUCCAUGUGAAAGCAUGGGUUCCUUGUUAUAUCACCAUUUUAAAUGCUAUUUAAUUUAAUGGACCUAUAUACUUGGUAAAAGGUGGAAGGCUCGGCCUUUCUAGCCUGGUGUUUUGUUCCACCUUUGCCCCCUUAGUUUUCGGCUACCGGUGUUAUGUUCCAUAAACGAGCGCUCCUAACACGAUCGAGGUUGUUAGGGGGACCCCCUUGAUAAUUCGUUCUAGAUAAAAGCUGGUCUGGCAAGGCCCAACUUUGGUACUACAUUUGCCUAAUAACUAAUGAAUUGCAUAGGGAGUAAUUAACCCGAGGAUAAUUUAAUCAACCCCCGGGCCAGUGCUCCUCAUGAGUGUUGGCCCCACGUGAGCGAUGUCCAGCGCCCCUGUGGUCACCCGGAGGUUUAGCGAUCCCGACGUCUAGCUCAUCCGUCGUGUCGUGAGAACGAGGUACGCGACUCCUACCGGGAUCGUUGACACGUCAGGCGGCCUUGCUGGAUUAGUUUUACCUUUGACGAAAUAUCUUGUGCAUCGGGAUUCUGGUGAUGCUUUGGGUAAUCUCAGAGUUGAGGUUUUGCACUAGGGAAUCCGACGAGAUCGCGAGCUUCGUGAUUGAGGAUUUCUAUGCGUCUUGUGGUAAUUUGUGAUGGACUAGUUGGAGCACCCCUGCAGGGUUAAAUCUUGUCGGAAAGCCGUGCCCGCGGUUAUGUGGCAAAGUGGAAACUUUGUUUAACACUGGUUCUAGAUAACUUGAAGUUAACUUAAUUAAAACAUGCCAACUGUGUGCGUAACCGUGACUGUCUCUUUCAUGAGUUCUUUCUCCGAUCGAGGACACGGUGGGGUUAUGUCUGACGUAGGUAGGUGUUCAGGAUCAUUCAUUUGAUCAUCAGUAGUCACAUCCGUUAUGCGUAGAUCUUCCCCCUCUUAUUUCUUGUACUCGUAAGUUAGCCACCAAAUAUAUGCUUAGCCACUGCUGCAACCUCACUACUUAACCAUGCCUCACCCAGUAAGCUUUGCUAGUCUUGAUACCUUUGGAAAUGAGAUUGCUGAGUCCCUUGUGGCUCACAGAUUACUACAACACCAGUUGCAGGUACACGUAAAGGUUACUCGACGCGAAUGCAUUGAUUGUUCAUUUGGAGUUGCUUCUUCUUCUUCUUCAUCGAUCUAGGAUGGGUUCCAGGCCGGCAUCCUGGGAUAGCAAGGAUGGACGUCGUUCUUCUUUUCUCGUUUGUUUUCGUCCGUAGUCGGACCCUCCUCUUCUUCAUGAUGAUUAUGUACUGUACUGCUGUGACACUGAUGUAGCUUGUGGUGAGUGUAAGCCAACUCUCUCUAUAUAUAUAUAUCUUCAUUUUAGUACAUGUACUUGUAACGAUAUCCAUUCUUGCGACACGACGAGAUGCGCUUCUAUCCCUUACGGGGCCUUCGUGCCAAAUUGAGGAUAGGGUCGCAUCUUGGGCGUGACAAGUUGGUAUCAGAGCAGUACCGACCUAGCAGCCCCCUUGAUUGAUCGAACUUGGCCGAGUCGAGUCUAGUGAAAAACUGCUUUGAGUCUAGUUAUAUAUCGGAGAGUAGGAUUCUUUUUCUCCUCUUCUAUGCUCUGGUGAGGAAUCUUGACGUAAUAUUUUAAUUCUACUCCUGUUCUCACUCAAAAAAAAAUUAGGAUCACGUGAAUAUUUUUGGGAUCUAUAUGAUGCUGAUGUGACGGAGUUCUGUCUUGGUGCCUCCUAUCUGCUUUGAGUUUCAGGGGAGUUGAGCUCCAGGGGAUUCUUGAGCACAUCGUUAUCAUUCAGAUUUAUUAGUAUCUCAGAACGAAGGAUGUUCGUAAUUGCUUCAAUACUAGUAGUGGCGAGAUAACCCCAAUGUCCCCAGUACUGGUGCAGAUUGUUCGAGAGUACUGCCAUACUUUGUAUCGUUGUGAUCACGAGGGUCUGUUGUAGAUGAAGGUCCGAGAUUCUGGUUGUGUGUUGACGGAUGUGAUACAGGUGACGGGUUAGUAUUGGAGUUGUGUGAUUAUUACUCCUUGUAUCCGUGUACCAGCUUGCAUGACCAUAUAUUUCGGGAAUUCUUAGGUGGGAAUUCAAGUAGUUACUUAUAGGACGAUCUUCCAACAAAUUCGUGUUGCUUCGAUGUCAAGUGGUGAUUUCAGAUCUUUCCUAAGUGGUGUUCUCAUAUUUUUUAUGAGAGUACUAAUUCUGUUUCUCAAAUCAUAUUGUCAUGUCAAUUCCUUUUCAACCGGAGUCAUCGUAUCAAUUCUUUUCAACCGGUGUGCUUAUCUGCAACUGAAUUCAAUCUUCUCCAGUUUUUGCAGAUCAUUCUCUCAAUUCUUUCUGGAGUUCGUCUCAUCUGUCUCAAGUUGUCUUUGUUUUCCCCGCCCUCCCACNNNNNNNNNNNNNNNNNNNNNNNNNNNNNNNNNNNNNNNNNNNNNNNNNNNNNNNNNNNNNNNNNNNUUCUCAGUGAUUCAAUUUUUAUCCAAGAGUUUUCUUAUCUUUGUGCUUCCGCUGUCUGUUCUUUUCUCUCUUACCCGGUGAUUCAUUGUGAAUAUUCUCAGAAGUUCUAGUUCAUCAUUCCUUCAACCUGGUUAUCUUUUCCGGUGAAUUCAAUUCAGUUAUCCGUGUUCAUCAUAUCCUUGUCAUCCUUUAAAUUCUCUCUUGUGUUAGAAAUUCUUAUAUAGUCUUCUGUUGGCAUUUAUCUCUAUUCUAUCCGGAGUGUUGAAGAUAUCUCAGAGUUUCUUGUUUCAGAUCUUUAAUUAUUUCGAGGUUUCAACCUCAUCUACUUUCUUUUGUACCGGUGCAAUCUCUCUAUCUAUUCAAUUGUUUCAAUGGUGGUUUCUUUGAGUGGGCCCAUAACCCACAUGUUCUUUCCCGGGAUCUUAUCUGGCUUUUGUAAUCUUUCCCGGAGAUCGCUCAUUCUUUCAACUAUGAUGUAAGUAUGAUUUCCAUUAGUCAUAUUUAAUUCUUCAAGGUAUAUUCGAAUUAAUUCUUAUAUUUGGCUCAACCUUGCAUUAUUCUUUAUUCGGGAGUGUCUCAUUAAUUCUUGGUGGUGUUCUCCUCCUCAUUCUCAGCUUGCUAUCCGAAGGAGUGUUUCUCUCUAUCUUGGUUCAUUCUUUUGAAGAUUCAUCAUUUCAGCUUUGUGUCAUAAUCUUAAUUGUUGUCAAUCGUGGGUAUUCCUUUCUUGCUAUCCGGUGCUUUUCUGAGUUGUUUUCAGUUCUCGAUCCUCCGAAGGCCAUCAUUUUAGAAGAUUCUUCAUUCUCAGCUUUCAGUUUUCAUCCUCAAUUCUUCUCCAUUGGUGUCUCUUCGUCGUCUCUCGUUUCUGGUGUCUUGUUAAAUUUUCCUCUUAGGUGGCUCAUGAUCUCUUCAUUCUCAUGUAUCUCCAUUAAUUCGUGGUGUUCCCAUUCAAUUGUGAAUUCUUACCGGUGCUUCAUUCAUUUGUGCCUCAAAUGGUGCUUAUCUCUCUGCCUCUUCAAGAUUCUUUCAAGAAUAAGUGCUACGCUAAAUCCGUUGCUUGUCAUCAAUUAAACUUGAUGAAGGAUUAGCAUCACAUAAUUCUUAUUCUUGUUCAUAGUAAUGUGAAUUCUUCUUUCGGAGUGGCUCAUGAUAUCAAUUCCUUUCUCUCAAGUGUUCUUAUCUUUUCUUUUCCGGAGUUCCAAGUUUUCUCAAGUAUCUCUUUGUGAAGCUUCAUCUAAAUCAUUGCAAGGUCAUAAUCUUAUUCUUUUCUACCUUCAUAUCUUUGCAUCAUUCAUUUGUAUAUGGAGGUCCUUCUUGGUGGUUCGUCAAGAUUUCAUUCAUUCUGAAGUGUUCUUCAAGAUUCCUGUUGGAAUACCUCAAGUAUUCUUUCUCUUCCAUUUUCAGUGCAUUUGUUCUCCUUUAUCCUUUGAUGUGGUAUUAUAGCCUUCUUGUUAGUGUAGGAGCCUCGAAGAGAUUUCCUUUCAAGUAUGAGAUAAUUAAACCCACCAAUUCUAUGGUCAUGAGAUAUUUGCAACCCAUGAUUUAUUUAUUGAGAUAUCUUGGUUUGGAUUGCACCUAAAGCUUUUCCUAUGGAUUGUUGCUAUCAUGGUGCUUGUCAUUAAUCCAAGUUCUCAAUGUACCCUCUUGGUGUAAGAAGUUUUGAUAUCUUUGCUUUCUUCUAUCCUUGUUUCCGUUAGUGGUUGGUUGUCACCUCAUAGAUGUUGAGAUGAUUUUCAUAAGCCCACUUCUAUCUUGUUCUUUUCGUUGUUGGUUUUCUAACUAGUAAGUCAAUUCUCUGUCCAGAGGCUCUUCAAUUCUAUUGUGAUGGUAGUUGUCAUUCUUUUCUUCGUUCUCUUCUUCCGCUUGAGCUAGUUCAUAUUCUCUUGUUCCGGAGGCACUGUGAUGUUGCUCUUGGGUCUAUUAUGUUGUUCUAUCAAGAUGAUGGUGUUCCCUUGUUCUAUUUAGUUGUUUGUUAUGUAUAUUGUAUAAAACUCUCUUCUUAUCGAAUUUUUUGUCCCAUUUUCCUACCGAAGUGCUGCCGAAAUUUUCCGUGAAUUCUUGCUUGUUUCUCAUAUAAUUCCUCAUCUCUUUGUAACCUUCAAGGAUCGUUGGUUUCAUUUGUUUGUCAAGAAGCGACUAAGUUUUUUACCUCUUGCUCUUUCUCAUCCUCUCCCCCCUUUCAUUCUUGGAUCUCGGGGCGAGAUCCUCUUGUAGUGUAGGAGAUUUGUGACAGCCCGAGACCGACGCCCCAGAAGAUUCCCCUUUAUUUCCGUUUCCGUCGUGUGGUUAUUUUAUUUUGUGGCCUCAUCAUUUAGUUUGCAUCGUCGCAUCAUGCAUGGCAUCUUGCAUCGUCUGUCACGUGUGGUGUUUUGAGUGUUGUGCUUCGAGUGAUUACCGAGUCGUAGUGCGAUAGAAACUCCCCCUCUCUCCCCUCUUAUUUCAUUUUUUUUGUGGUUUUGCUAAAGUUCCGUUUUAACCCCUUUUAAAAAAAACGUCUUCUUUUAAAAAUCCUUUAAUCAAAUGUGGGGGCAACCCUUGGGUUUUCUCUUAUUUCCUCUUUUGUUUCAUUUCAAACUAGAGUUGCAUUUUUAUUUAUAAAAGGGGUUUGAAUUUUAUUCUUUUGUAAACGGGUUUUAAUUUUUAAUUCUUCAAAAGGUUUUAUUUUAGUUCUUUUAAAANNNNNNNNNNNNNNNNNNNNNNNNNNNNNNNNNNNNNNNNNNNNNNNNNNNNNNNNNNNNNNNNNNNNNNNNNNNNNNNNNNNNNNNNNNNNNNNNNNNNNNNNNNNNNNNNNNNNNNNNNNNNNNNNNNNNNNNNNNNNNNNNNNNNNNNNNNNNNNNNNNNNNNNNNNNNNNNNNNNNNNNNNNNNNNNNNNNNNNNNNNNNNNNNNNNNNNNNNNNNNNNNNNNNNNNNNNNNNNNNNNNNNNNNNNNNNNNNNNNNNNNNNNNNNNNNNNNNNNNNNNNNNNNNNNNNNNNNNNNNNNNNNNNNNNNNNNNNNNNNNNNNNNNNNNNNNNNNNNNNNNNNNNNNNNNNNNNNNNNNNNNNNNNNNNNNNNNNNNNNNNNNNNNNNNNNNNNNNNNNNNNNNNNNNNNNNNNNNNNNNNNNNNNNNNNNNNNNNNNNNNNNNNNNNNNNNNNNNNNNNNNNNNNNNNNNNNNNNNNNNNNNNNNNNNNNNNNNNNNNNNNNNNNNNNNNNNNNNNNNNNNNNNNNNNNNNNNNNNNNNNNNNNNNNNNNNNNNNNNNNNNNNNNNNNNNNNNNNNNNNNNNNNNNNNNNNNNNNNNNNNNNNNNNNUCGUUGCUCGUUGCUUGCUUGUGUUGCUGCUGCCUGAUGCUUUGCUAGUUGUUGUGUAGCUAGCCGAUGCUUGCCUGCUAGUGUUGCUAUUCCAGCUGCCUGCUAGUUGCUAUGCUAGCUGCUGUAGUUUGUUGCUUGUUGUUGCCCUGUUGCCGAUGCAUCGUGCCGCUGCCUGUGCAUGCUUGCCUGCCUGUGCUGUUGUUGUUUGCCUUGGUGGCUUUGCUAGAUGCAACUAGGUGUAGUUGCUAGGCCAGGUUAUUGUUGCUAGUGCUAGUUGUCGCUUUGCUAGUUGAAGUUGCUGAUGUGUUGCGUGCCGUCGCCGCGUGCAACAUCCCCGCCUGCCGUGGUUCGUCGACAACUUUGCCGUGAACAUCGUCGCCCGCGUCCACCCCGGGAACGUGUUCGACUACCGAUGUGAAGACCAUAACCGACGCCGAAGACCGUGAACCACGACGCCGAGCGAACGACUACCGUCGACGAGACCCGACGACCACGACUUCCACGACGUCCGCUACGAACCGAUCCGCUUCGAAUCGCACGCUUGGAAGGUAUACCGAUGAGACGUGUCGUGUAACGAACGAAUGUGAUGUAUGAGUUGUAUCGUGUGUUGCACCGUAUAUGUUGCCCGUUGCACGUUGUCCCUCUUAUAUUGUGCCCCGACACAUGGGAACCCGGUAACCGGGAUCACCCCAUCUUUAUUUACCGUUCCCGCAUGCGUUCCUAGUACGUUUGCACGAUAUCUCGACGAGUUAUCGGGAUAGGAACGUUGUCGUGGCAUCAUUUCCGUCUUGCCGCCAUGGUUCCCUCUCGCUCGCCGUGGGGACACCAGUUUCUUUCUCUUCUCACCCAUGAUGUUUGAACUCGCAUGCAUGGCGCAUUCAUGGCAUAAUAUAUUGUGUUGCAAGUCUCUUGUGUUGUAGCUCCGUUCUAAGUCCCGUGUGUUAACCGUCUAGGAUGCCACAUAGAACCGUCGCUUCACCCCUUGCCACGUUAACAACAAUUAAAUAUUGCCUUGUAAAUAAAUGGGAGUGAAUUAAAUAAUUAAGCGUGAAGUUUCGUCGAUAUGUAACUCGUUGCAUAUCGAGCUUCACUUAAUGUGUAGAGUUUGUGUGAGGUGAAUUGCCAUGCCAUCCCUUGCAUCGUUGAACUGAUCAUGCAUCAUAGUAGGUUGUGCAUCAUGCUGUGCAUUGUGUGGUGAAUAUUUAUGUUGAUGUUUGUUUCCGGUUUGCUCCGUCUCGAUAGAGUUCCGCAAGCAUGUCGGAUUGUGAGGACCCGUUCGACUACGAUGGUUCGCCGACUUCUUGGAGUUGUUCUUCUUCCUAGCGGGAUUUGAGGCAAGAUGACCAUUUCCCCAGAUACCAUUACUAUCAUUGCCAUGCUAGUUUUAUCGCUUCUAUCAAUUAUGUCUUGUUGCCUACCACCUGUUAAAUAUCAGCCUCUCAACAAUGCCAUGAAACCUUCAACCUAGCAAACCACUGAUUGGCUAUGUUACUGCUUGCUUAACCCUGUUGAUAGCGUUGCUAGUUGCACGUGCAGAUGCUUCCAUGUGAAAGCAUGAGUUCCUCGUUAUAUCACCAUUUUAAAUGCUAUUUAAUUUAAUGGACCUAUAUACUUGGUAAAAGGUGGAAGGCUCGGCCUUUCUAGCCUGGUGUUUUGUUCCACCUUUGCCCCCUUAGUUUUUGGCUACCGGUGUUAUCUUCCAUAAACGAGCGCUCCUAACACGAUCGGGGUUGUUAUGGGGACCCCCUUGAUAAUUCAUUUUAGAUUAAAGUUGGUCUGGCAACGCCCAACUUUGGUACUACAUUUGCCUAAGAACUAAUGAAUUGCAUAGGGAGUAAUUAACCCGAGGAUAAUUUAAUCAACCCCCGGGCCAGUGCUCCUCAUGAGUGUUGGCCCCACCUGAGCGAUGUCCAGUGCCCCUCUGGUCACCCGGAGGUUUAGCGAUCCCGACGUCUAGCUCAUCCGUCGUGUCCUGAGAACGAGGUACGCGACUCCUAUCGGGAUCGUCGACAUGACGGGCGGCCUUGCUAGAUUAGUUUUACCUUUGACGAAAUAUCUUGUGCAUCGGGAUUCCGGUGAUGCUUUGGGUAAUCCCAGAGUUGAGGUUUUCCACUAGGGAAUCCGACGAGAUCGCGAGCUUCGUGAUUGAGGAUUUCUAUGCGUCUUGUGGUAAUUUGUGAUGGACUAGUUGGAGCACCCCUGCAGGGUUAAAUCUUUUCGAAAAGUUGUGCCCGCGGUUAUGUGGCAACGUGGAAACUUUGUUUAACACUGGUUCUAGAUAACUUGAAGUUAACUUAAUUAAAACAUGCCAACUGUGUGCGUAAGCGUUAUUGUCUCUUUCGUGAGUUCUUUCUCCGAUCGAGGACAUGGUGGGGUUAUGCCUGACGUAGGUAGGUGUUCAGGAUCAUUCAUUUGAUCAUCAGUAGUCACGUCCGUUAUGCGUAGAUCUUCCCCCUCUUAUUUCUUGUACUCGUAAGUUAGCCACCAAAUAUAUGCUUAGCCACUGCUGCAACCUCACUACUUAACCAUACCUCACCCAGUAAGCUUUGCUAGUAUUGAUACCUUUGGAAAUGAGAUUGCUGAGUCCCUUGUGGCUCACAGAUUACUACAACACCAGUUGCAGGUACAUGUAAAGGUCACUCGACGCGAGCGUGUUGAUUGUUCAUUUGGAGUUGCUUCUUCUUCUUCUUCUUCAUCGAUCUAUGAUGGGUUCCAGGCCAGCAGCCUGGGAUAGCAAGGAUGGACGUCGUUCUUCUUUUCUCAUUUGUUUUCGUCCGUAGUCGGACCCUGCUCUUCUUCAUGAUGAUUAUGUACUGUACUGCUAUGACUCUGAUGUAGCUUGUGGCGAGUGUAAGCCAACUCUAUAUAUAUAUGUACUGAUGUGACUCUGAUGUAGCUUGUGGCGAGUGUAAGCCAAUUCUAUUUUUAUCUCAUCUUUUCAGUACAUGUACUUGUAACGAUAUCCAUUCUUGCGACACGACGAGAUGCGCUUCUAUCCCUGACGAGGCCUUCGUGCCAAAUUGAGGAUAGGGUCGCAUCUUGGGCGUGACACUACGGUAUGAUCAAAAAGGAUUUGGUGACUCGCCAAUGGGUGACAUACAUCAUAACCCGCUAUUCGGGCGAUUCAUGGAAGUAUAUUUGAAGUAUUGUAACUCGCUCUUCAAUUGGAAAGGAAGGGGGCAUAGCUAUGGUGAUAAAUUUAAGUCGCUAUGGAAGCUGGACCUAAACGGCGACUCUCAAGGGUCCUUUUUCCUUAGGGAUGUUCUCAGGAGACGAACAAACAUGUUUCUAAAAACAAGCAGUAAACUAUGGAUCUACGAGUGGAUCAAAAUAAAGGAAUACUGCUCAGAAAAAUGGUGAAAGGCUAUGAGCAUAAGGCAGUGACGGUAUUGGAUCCACGGCGUGAAGGCUUAAGAUAACAAAAGGACACGAUAAAGUGGCCAUGUUUUGCUACUGCCUAAGUCUAUUACGAAGAUAUAAAGCGGAUCUAGAGCAGGAAAGAACGUUUGUCGCGUCAUGGAGCUAGCUCGCGGGAACAAUGGCCAUGGCAUUCUCGUCUUAACCCUAAUAAGGGAAUGUGUGUACCUGAGGAAAGGAGAUCGGUGCCGGGGACGAAAGCGGAGGACUUCGUGCUUCUUGGCGCCCGGAAGACCACGGUCGACGGAGGAGCUCCACGAGCCGAUGACGACGCCGGUGUGCUGGCGCGGGAAGAGGAAGAGCGCGAUGAAGACAAGGGAAGAGAUGGAGGUAGGUGACAGUCCCCCCCCAUUUCUCGUGCGGUUAUUUAAAGGGCCGGAAUGGGAAUCGAGGCUGUGAAGGCGGAGAUCGAGGCGACAAGUCAGAAACUGCGAUAAUGGCGCCUAGAUUUUCGGGAUAAGUGAUUAUGGAGCAAAAGAUCCGUUGGAUGGUUGCGGUGUUAAAAACCCCGGAAUUAAGGGGAUAAGGUGAUGUCAUCAAAGAUUACACGGCGGGUCAGAUAAAAUUACAACGAGUGGCGAAUUAUUGUUCGUCGAAAGAUAGAAAUGGUAAGAGUCGCCCCAAAUUGGUGAAGGUUUAUUCACAUGAAUUAAUUCAAGACAAUCUGGGGCCUAAUGUUGGGGAUAUUACCUGCGGAUAACCCGCCCUUAGUGGGCCAGGUCAUCAAAGGGGCGACUUACCAUUCAACGCGUGUCUCGUGGCCCAGAAGCUGGAUGGCGGUUCAAGAGGUCGUGCGGAUGGAAGAUUACCAAGGGAGUUCCCAAUCGUUGAGAGCACGGCGACUUAGAGAUAGGGAAAGCCACAAGGAGUAGCAUGGCAGGACUUUGUAAACCCUAGGGCCUCAACCUGUAUAUAAAGGCGAGUCCCGGGGAAAGGUUAAGCGAGUUAGAGAGAAUCGAGAGCUAGGUCAGGUGAGUUAUGCCCUCCUUGUAAUUGAAAUCACCAUUAAUCCACACAAAGCAGGACGUAGGCUUUUACCUCCUCACGAGGGGCCGAACAUGGGUAAAUCUGAGUCUCGCUUUUGCUUACCCCCUUCUAGUCACCACCAAGGUGCGACGGCUCCAUCUUUAAGUCCUUUCACGAGGACAUCUGCCGUGACAAAACCACGACAAGUACCGAGCAGAGAUUUCUCCCAUUAACUUGUGAUGAGCAUCUGGGAUUGCUAUUUAGUUUGAAUGCUGAUAGCCGUUUCGGUAAAAUCCAUAUCGGUGUGCUUCAGGCACGCAAACAACGUAUCCCUAAGGGUGUUCGGACAUCAUCUGUCUCUGCUAAUAGCGAGCGUUCUCGCACUCCUUGUAGGCCGAGACCAAGUAAACCUAGUGGUUCUGAAAGCCACAACAUGCCGGCUGCCGCUAAUUCUGCCACUUCUCCUCUUCCUUCUGCACCUGAUGUAGAAGUAGAUGCGGAGCCUGACGAGGAAGUGCCUCGACAUGAUGAUGAGGAUGAGAUUCUAUUCCCUGAACUGGUAGAUAGAGUCAGGCAAGAGGCAAUGGAAGAUGAAUAUGCAGAGGAGCCUAGCAGACGUGCUAGAUUUGAUGACACUGAUGAUGAAGAGAGGGAGGAGAACAUCGACUCCUUAGUUUUACAAGAAUAUGAUGGUGAGUACAUGCCAACAAUUGAGUGGAAUACGGAGAAUCCUGACCUUACUCCAGGAACCGUAUUCGAUUCGAUGGUGGACUGUCGUAAUGCAGUGACUACAUAUUGCAUUAUCACUGAAAACUCUUAUGAGGUUGAUAGGAGUGAGCCAGGAAGAUUCACUGUUCAUUGCCCUUAUGAUAGGUGUAGGUGGAGGUUGCAUGCAUCCACUAUGCUAAAGAGCAAAUUGAUUCAGGUAUUACAACUCAAUAUUAAUUGUACUGUUUAUUAAUUGUAUUUGACAUCAUUUUUCAUUUUGUUUGAGAUAAAAAGCAACCCACACGGGCACACUUGCCCACAUGGAGGGGGAGGGGAAAGGACAAAUCUAAGCUUGUAAAGACUAGGUGGGUGUCAGAUGCAAUAUUGGAUUGGGUGAGGGAAACACCAACAAUUGGUCCAACAACACUCCAUGGGAAGCUAUUUGAUAAGUACAAGAUUAAUGUACAAUACAUGAAGAUUUUCUAUGCUAAGGAAACGGUUCUUGAUAGGAUUAAUGGUCCAUGGAAUGAGAGUUCUUAGUUGCUUUACACCUUCAAAGCUGAAGUGCAAACUAGUCCAGGUAGUGUUGUAGAGAUUGACAAGCAUACAGUUAAGUACAAAAUAAAAGGGAAGACAAUGGAGAAGGAGUGCUUUAGGAGGACUUUUGUUUGUUUCAAGGCUUGCUGGAAGGGGUUUCUGAAUGGUUGUAGGCCCUAUGUGGCUGUCGGUGCGAAGGCCCUAUGUGGCUGUCGGUGCGACUGCUUUGAAUGGAAGAUGGAGAGGACAGCUAGCAGCAGCUUGUGCAGUUGAUGGACACAACUGGCUAUUCCCAGUUGUUAGAGCAUAUAUCUCCAUAUGUGGUUUUGGUAAUUGAUGACAAUUCCUAUGUACUAAUGGUUGCCUUAAGUUACAUUUAUAGGAUUUGUGCAUAGGCACUUCUUGAAGUCCAUCUGUUGGGUUCAAGGAGUUUAUAUGAUGACCAAGAUGGUAUUCAAGGUAUUAUCCAAAGAAUGGUCAUAGAGACACAAGGUUGAUCAAGAUCUCAGACAAAGAGUAAAUCAAGAUGAUCGACACACAAAGCGUACAAGAUGUACCGAGAGGGAUCAAGUGAUCCCAUGGUAUGGUAAGCAUUGUCCAUUACGUGUUUGUGUACUAACCCAUGGUCUUUGUGAGACUCCUAUGUGGGGGUUAGGUGUGUUUCCAUUGGGCUUGCGUCAAAAGGAAGAUCUCAUACAACCCAUGAAGGAUGACGUCAAGUUGUGAUCGUCAUCAAGAUUGCGGUGUGCAAGUUCAAGUGGAUCAGCACGAAGAUAUCAUGCUUGAAGCUUGUCGUCCAUUGUGGUGGCAAUGGACUUGUGAAGAUAUGCUGAAGAGUGGAUCACCCAUAGUGAGUAAGGGGGAGCAAUCAAUUAGUCUUCAUCAAGCCAACGCAAUCAAGAAAGGCGGUCCAUCUUAAGGAAGCCAAGAUCAUCAUCAUCUAGCUCAAGAGGUCGAGGUGCAAGGUAUAGGUUUGCCCUUGAUAGGUUUUCUGUUUAGGAUAGAAUGUUGUAUUGUCAAGGGGGGCUCUCAAGUGAUUAGCUUGAUCGUAUCGUUCAUUGAGAGCUCAAACCAUUUGCAUCCUUGCAUCAUACUUCUUGGUUCUUAUUUCGUGUUUCUCUUUGUGAGUUUUAGAGCUUAUGGUCAUCUUCAUGACAAGCUCGAGUUCAUCCAAAAUGGAGUCCAUAUGCAACUACUAUGAUGUUAUUGAUGUUGGAGUUUUUGCCGGUUCUUCAUUCAUAGAGGUCUCACAUCUCUAGAUCAUUGGCAUUUUCAUAUCAGCUUGGGUUUGCUCGAUUCGGAGCUCGUAUGCGAAAGUUAUGGUUGUUUCAGUGGCGAGCGGUAGUACCGCUGGACCUAGCGGUAGUACCGCUAGAGCUCGCGGUAGUACCGCUGGCCCUAGCGGUAGUACCAUUAGAGCUGGCGGUAGUACCGCUGGCCCAGCGAUAGUACUGCCUCUGGUCAGCGGUAGUACCGCUCCAGGACUUUUAGUACCGUCAUCUUUGCGGUUGUAGUGCGUCGGACUUUUUGCGAAGACUUUCUUGGCGAUGGUUGGCCCGGUAGUAUCUUUGCGCUACCAUGGGCUCAGCGGUAGUACCGCUACAGCCAGCGGUAGUACCGCCGGAGGGUCAGCGGUAGUACCGCUCGAGCCAGCGGUAGUACCGCUGGGCUCGGGGUGUAAGUGGGGGUAACAGUCUGAUUCCUUCCCCCACUAUAUAAAGGGGGUCUUAUUCCCCUUGGUCUUAUCUAUCCGUUGAGCUCUUGUUCUACCUCCAUUGUUGACAUUCUUAGAGCUUGCUUACUCUCAAUCCCUCCAAUGAUUCUUGCUUGUUCUUGCGGGAAAAGAGAGAGGAGAUCUAGAUCCACAUCUCCACCAAUCACUUUCUCCUCUAUGUGAGGGGAACCCCUUGGAUCUAGAUCUUGGAGUUCUUUGUGAGCUCCUUGUUCUUCCUCUCAUAUUUCUCCAUAGCUUUUGUUGUUGUGGAGGGAUUUGAGUGUGAGGGACUUGACCAGUUCGUGUGUUCUUGCCAUUGCAUUAGUUGCAUCGGUUUGAUUUCUCCACGGUGAUACGUGGAAGUGAGAAGUUGAGAAGCUUAUUACCCUUUGGUACUUAGUACCCUAGAGAUUGUUCUUCGUGGAUGCUUUGGCGUCCUAGAAGCUUGGUGGUGUCUUGGAUCUCAAUCAUUGUGGUGUAAAGCUCCGGGCAAGCGUCAGGCUCUCCAAUUAGGUUGUGGAGAUUGCCCCGAGCAAUUUGUAAGGGUAUCGGUGACCGCCCCCAAGGUUUGCCAUUUGUACGGGUUCGGUGACCGCCCUCAAGGGUCCCUUAGUGGAAUCACGGCAUCUUGCAUUGUGCGAGAGCAUGAGGAGAUUACGGUGGCCUUAGUGGCAUCUUGGGGAGCAUUGUGCCUCCACACCGCUCCAAUGGAGAUUAGCAUUCGCAAGGGUGUGAACUUCGGGAUACAUCAUCGUCUCCCCGCGCCUCGGUUAUCUCUUACCCAAACCCUUUACUUAUGCACUUUACUUUGUGAUAGCCAUAUUGUUCAUUGUCAUAUAUCUUGUUAUCACUUAGUUGUUUAUCUUGCUUAGCAUAAGUUGUUGGUGCAACAAGAGGAACUCAAGACCCAACUUCUCCAAGACACUAAGUAUGCUUAUCAUGAGCACAUGGCUCUUGCGUCAAGGCAAUUCUGGGGCAACAAGAGGAACUCAAAACCCAACUUCUCCAAGAACAACUCAAGUGGGUUCAAAUCCAAGCAACGUGUGAGGACAUGUUAUAACUGCAGUAAUGUGAGUCACUUCGUGGCAGAAUGUCCCUAUGAGAAGAGGGAAGACAACGGGGGCAAGCUCAUUCGCAAAGACAAAACCAAGUCAUUCCCAAACAAGAACAACUUUGUCAAGAAACCCCACCCAAAGGGUAUGGUGGCACUUGAAGAGUACCCCUCCGAUGAUGAUGACGAUGACGAUAUGGUGGCAACUGCGACUGACGCCAUUGCCACCCCUUCUCCCAAGAAUGUGUCUCUCUUCAAUGCCCCCAACGAUAACCACAUCGCCAAGUGCCUCGUGGCCAAAGGUAUCGAUCAGGUAACACCCAGCAUUAAGACCAACAUCACUACUGCUCCUUCAUUGUUGAAUUGUGUUGAUGAUAGUGAUAUUGUGGAACUUGAGCAUGAUCUUGAAAAAUUUCUAUGUACGAUCAAAGGAGAACCCAAGAAGCAAUUUGUUGCUCUUUUGGAACAACUAGGUGAGGCUAAUGACCUCAUCGAGCCUCAUGAGGAGACCAUCUCCGAGCUGCAAGGACAUAGUCGUGACUAUGCCAAUGAGAUUGCUGAAUUAUCUAUUGCACUAGAAAAGGAGCGCACUCUUUGUUUGGCUCUUAAGGAUUCAUACUGUUAUAAAUUAAUUAGGAAAGGGUGUCCAACCCCGAAAAGUCAUGUCUAUUCUAUCUCUCUAUUGCCAACAGGCACCUGUUCUGGAGGGAUGCCUCCGAACAGGCACCUCUUCUUCGCACCUCUUCCAGAUGUAUAUAAACUUGAGAAUCAAUAGAAAUCAGUGAUGAUCGUCCAUUACUUUCAUUCAAUCUCGUUUUACUCUAACACGUUAUCAGCACGCUCUGCAUCUGAGCGAUUUCGAGAUCGAGAAGAACAAAAUAUCGGCGACUGGAUGCGGCCUUCGCGCCGCAGGACACAGCCGCCUGCGCCGCGUCGAGCGCCCAUUCGCCCGGCCGCCUCCCUUUGCCGCGUCCCAUGCCCGGCCGCCGCCCAGGCCGCACCACGCCCUGCGCGAGGCCGUGGCCGUGCCCGCGCCUGGCCNNNNNNNNNNNNNNNNNNNNNNNNNNNNNNNNNNNNNNNNNNNNNNNNNNNNNNNNNNNNGGCCCCGGCACCGCUCGCCAGAGUCCGCCCGCGCCUGGCCGCAGAGCCCUUGCCCGCACCCUCCCGCGCCUGGCCGUGGCAGCCUCGCCGGAGCCCGCCCGCGCCUGGCCGCGGCAGCGCCACGCCCGUGACCUCUCAACCUCUCCGGCCGAUGCCCAACGGUGCCACGCCUGUGGCCGCCCAUCCGCGCCGACCGCCGGAUUCUCCGCGCAACAACGCCCCAGAAGCAGCCCCGACCAUCAAGCAGUGUACGAUUCCCCGCGAACAUGGCGCUUCAUCUCCAGCGCGCAUCCUAGUGCGGCCCGUCGGCUCGCAUCAGAUGUGCUAGCCCGGCCAUCGGCCGCGUCGAGCACACCGCGACACAAGGCGACCUUGGAUGUAUGGCAUGGCGGGGUGGACACCAACGGCCGUGCCCGCAUCUGCGGCCUUCCUCGGCACAACCGUCUACGACGGCGGUGCUUUCACAGUGCAACGACGCCCGCUACCAAUAAGGGUCGUCGGCCUGGUUCCGCCCAUCCAACGCGCAGCACGACGAGUUCAUCGAGCGCGUGGCACGCUACAGCACGUAGCGCGAUGGCGGGGCCUUGCCCUCCCGGCUGACAGGACGGCCGGCAAGGCGGCGCAGCGCCCCGAGGUCGCGGACCUCCAUUGGGAGGCAGCGCAGUGCCCCAAGCAGCGUCCAGCGGACGACAACGGCUAAUGGCCGGCACCCAGCGUGAAGACAACCCAUGGGGAAGCACGACGGCCUCCAAUCGGAGACGUGGUGUUCCUUCUAAAUUCUCCAAGAUGGGGAUUUCUUCUGCACGCAGCCAAAGCGAACCGAAUCUCGUUCGUGGUCGUGGCUGUACAGAGAAUGACGAGAGCAUCUUAUCUCUUCGUAUACUUCACAUUUUAGCACUUCUCGUUACCCUUAAUGGCAUAUAAGUUCUAUAACUAGCAUAUAGGCCCACAGGCUUUAUGUUUUUACGCAAUUAGUACUACUUCAACACAAGCCAUCAGGCUUAUUGCUAUUUCAGAUUUUGGUGAAUACCUUGUAGUAUCAUAUUGAUUGAGUCCCAAGGCAUUAAGCCUAUAUUAUUGGAUGCGUCAAUCAUUCCAUCUAGAAUGGACCCAAGAUACUAACAUUACUUACAAUAAGUGCGACAAUCAUGUUUUGCAAUUGAUUUUCUUGCUCUUGCAAAUCUUGACGUAAAUUCAAAAUAUAGAUUACGCAAUGUCAUACUUAGUAUGACUACAUCGAUAUGUAUUUAUGAAUCACAGGUAUUGGUGGCAUCUACUGCAUAAUUCGCAGACUAUCCAUUAUUACUGCAAGGUCUACAUCAUGUCACUUCGACAAAUGAUUACCUUCAUAGUUAUUUUCUAAAAAAAUAGAUAACACAAGGUAAUAGAAUGAUGAACAUCUAGUGACAAUAGUCAGACUAUGUUUUCUAUUAUUGCAAGAUCUACACCAUAUUGGUGAUUAUCUUCAAACUGUUAUUCUAUAUCAAUUGAGGUCUACACAUAUAAGGCAUCAGCAAAACAAGAACAUGCUCCUCUGAAGCAUUUAUUGUUGUUGUUCACUAAAAUGAUUUACUAUCAUAGUAAAUUCAUGCAUGAUUAUUGCAUGUUGAAUGGUAUUAUCUACCAAUAUCAAUUAUUCAAUCCUCUUUUUGCUUGAAUAUGUCAUAGGGAACUACAUAAAUAUUUGCAUUUACUUGUGAUUACCUUCUAUUACAUUGGUAAAAUACAUGGCAAUGAAUCCUACGACAAUAUUUCUAAUUAUAGUGUCGUCCAUCCAUCAUGAUGGACCACAUAAUUUAUGACAAUGAUUAAGUGUCUCAGCACUUUCGCAAGGUCCACAGGAUAUCGUGGUUAUAAUUUCGUAGUGACUAACCAAUGUUAAGCAUGCAAGUCUAUAUGUUUUGGCAGUGACUCUAAAGUCACACACUUCCUCAAGAAUGAAGUCCAAAACAUUAGCAAUAAUUUAAUCACAUGUGUUAUAUUGAAGGAUACACCCAGGUUCACCAAGGAUCACCUUGACCAUGAUUGUUCUCAAACAAAUCAUUUAUUUAUAGAUGUCACUUACUCCUAGAAGUAAAUUAAAUAAAUGCAUUAGCAUUUUUAAGUAACACAUGGCUCACAUUUCCAAAUACAGUAAGUACAUGUUAGGUGAGAUUAUUUAUUGUAAUAUGAUUUACGACAUCAGUCGUUGUAUCCACCCGAGAUAUUAUUGCUACUAUAACCUCACCUUCGGAAUAUGUGUCAUGGCUAUUCUCUUAAUAGCUAAGUAUGAUCAUAUGCAUUUCAUCUCUCACCAACUUCACUUAGUUCUCAAACUAAGUACAUAAUGGAUGAAUAUUUAUUCACCUUGAAUAUUUCCCUUAAAAGAAACAUGCUGCCCCGAGCACAUUUGGAAUGAUCACCCAAUAAUUUUUCAAGACCUCAAGUCUAUCGCAACUUACAAUUUUGGUAAUUAUAAAAUCAACUUGAAGUUGAGAUCUCAUGAUCUGACAUUUUCAUAUGCAGAUCAGGUUGAAAAGCCUUUGAUACACUUCACAUCUCCUUAUGAUGGUAUUACCAUUUUCAUGAUAAAGAAACAUGUUAUUUCUUAAACUCAUCAUAUUCACCCAACGGGUGCUAUACCAUUAUUUCAAAUAUUUGCUAGUAUUGAUUAGCAAGUCACAUUUCACAAAAUAGAACCAUGAGGAAUUCAAAGUAAAGUGGAGGCUAAAGACAAUCGAUGUCAGGAUUACCUUUUAAUUGGGAAUUGAUCAUUUUCAAAUGAUCACAAAGACAACUCUCAAGUUUGUCAAAUGUGUGGUUACAUAAAUAUCGUACAUAUGAUUACCAAACCCUCAAACAUAUGGUCAAACCACACCAUGAAUUUAUUAAAAGGCAAAUAAGUUUAUGGGGAUAUUUGAAAAUUUGCAAACAUACGACCAGAAUCUAUUCUGGUAAAUGAUGUUCUCGAAUCUUCAUCAGAAGGAGAACCAAAAAUGUAGUGCAAUAAAAGAAUGGUCAAUUCGUUUGCACCUAUGAUAUGUUUGCAUUAUUCAAUUUUUUUCCAGUAAUAUGGGAGACCUCAUGUAAUAUCCCGAUUAUUCCCAAAAUAUUGUUUACCUAUAGUUGUAGUACUACAUGUAGUAUAAUGUCCAACAUCCUAUUUCUUGGACAUCAUGUUUGAUAAAUUUUGAAUGUAUGAAUCAAUUCAUACUCAGUUUUGUUGCGUACACAAUAAUUUUCUAAAUCUUACAAAAUAUUUGGUUUUAAGCCUUACAAUCCAGGUUUGGGGUUGUUUAGAAAAUUAUUGACAAUUCUAUUGGUCACAACUUAACAAGUUGCAAAAUUUCUUAGAUCAUCAGAUUUUAUGUGCACCACAUGUGCCAUAAGGAAAAUUAAUUUAAGGAACUCUCACCUUACAAUUCUAAAUGAGCCAACUCAUUUUUCCUUGAACACAUUCAGAAGAUAUGUGCAUUCUCAACCAUUGUGUGGCAUUUUAUAGAUACUUUAUGGUACUCGUGGAAACAUUUAUAAAAUGAUUUCUAGUGUGUCUCUUGUCACACAAACCAUGAAUGAUAUAACUAAAUCAAUUGCUCAAAUUCUCAAAGUAAGAGCAAGUUAUCCUAAACAAGGGAUAAAUCCAUUCGAAUGGACAACUUUGUUGAACUCAUUUCACAAGAAAUAUCUGAUUAUAUAUAAUAUUUUAUGUACAUACCCAAAAUGGUUUAGUUCAAUAUCUUAUCAAAGAUAGUGAAAUUAAUAAUAUGACCAAACUUAUAGAAUCAUGAUUUACUAGCCUCAUGCUAGACAAAUACGGCAUUACACACCGUAAGUAUGAUAUAAACCAUACCAACUGCAUAGCAUACUACUUUCCCCUUUUUAGUAAUUACGUGGAAAUCAACAAAGUAUUUCCUAUCUACGAUAAUUCGGUUACAUACCGAUAUCACCACUCCAGCAUACAUCAAUGGGCUCUCACAGAAAAUUAGGGAUCUAAGUGAGGAAUGACAAUUUAUCUGUCAAUCAAAAUUAUUCAUAGCUCGUAUGCUGAUUGCAUCAGCAAUAAGAACAUUUCUGGCAUUAGGGGGAGAUAAGUACCACAAAGAAUGCCAAGAAAUAAAUUAGGAAUGUUAUUCACAUUCAGUCCUUAUAUCCACGUACUCAAAGAAUCUGAACAAGAAGUUUAGAAUCACAUAUUUGCAACACAUUGCAAAUCUGCCACAUACAUUUACUGAUGACAAAGGUGUCACUCAAUUUUAUAUUCCUGCAGUAAAGUGUCAGAAAGAGUGGAGGUACCUGAUAAACCACUCUUCUCCCGAAAUGAGAGCAAGAGGGGGAGAAAUCUGACCACACGAGAUAUAAUCUCGCAUAUGCUUCCGCGGAAAUAGAGGAAAUCAAAUCCUCAACCAGUAAAUGUAAUUCAACAUCAAGUUGAAAGACACCUCACUGGAUGCUCAUCAUCCAAAGCCUGACAUAAAUGUGCACAAAUGUUUUCGUGACGGGACAUCGAAACACCUUGACUCCAUUGUUGUAGGAAAUCACAAGGAGUCAAAAGGAUUAAAUACAUUUCCACAAAUUUCAUUGAUUCCUUCAGAAUCAUAUAACAUAAGUCUACAUUUGUCGACGUAUAUUUCUUCUGAAAAUUGCUAAAACCUUUUGGGCCCUGAACCAAAAUCCAUGGUAGAGUGCCUCUUGUACUCAUAUUGGUUCACAUAAAAGGAAGCAAGUAAUGAAGAAUAGCACUCGCUCUACAAACGAGUGGUAUUUACCACAGUAAUACCUACUCCUCAUAAGUAUCUUCCAUAUGGAAUACUAAAAACUUCUCAUUCAUAGACAAAGUCAAUGAGGUGGUGAGAAAGCGAGUCUUGUAGCAAAAGGGUUCACGCAGAGACCUGACAUCAAAGUAUGAUGUAACAUACCUUCUUGGUAUGAGUGGAACUAUGUUUCGAUAAUAAAUACCAUUGGCAGUACAAAUAAUAUUAUCCAUAUAGUUAAUGGAUGAAGUGACUACAUACUCAUAUGGGUUACUCAUUUCGGAAAUUUAUAAUGAAGUACCUCAAGGGCUUACAAUUCCGAAUCCAAAAUAAAUCGCAACAUAUAUGUGUAAAAUUUCAGAAGUAACUCUAUGGCUUGAAGUAGUCGGAAAUCAUAUGGUACUACCGACUAAAUGAGUUCCUUCUUCAAAGGAUUACUCAAAGGAUGAUAAAUUGUUUAUGUGUUAAUAAAGGUAUCCCAAAUUUGAAUUCCUUAUAUCACCUCAGUGUAUAUCGAUGAUUUCAUCAUCAAUGUCUCUACAAGACCUAAACAUACACAAAAUCAUCUCAAGACAGAAAAUUUGGAUUUAACCAAAUUUAGCUUAAGUUUACAACUUGAGCAUUCUCUCAAGAAUACAUAUCAGUCUACAUAUAUUCAAACAUAUACGAGAAGUUCAAUUUGGAUAUAUCAUAUCAACAAAAGACAUGUAUGGUCAUACUACCUUUGAUAAGGUACAAAUCCAUUCAUACCUAGGGGUGAUAAUGAAGUGAUACUAGGACCUGAAGUUCAGUAUAUCACUAAUGUCAAAGCACUCAUAUACUUGCAAACUACGUCAGGCCUGACACUAUAUUUGCUAUCUUUAUUCAGAGUGCAACCCCCAACAAAAGGUAUAUGGUUGAUAUAAGUAAUAUCAUCUUAUAUCUAAAGAUUACAGUAAAUCUUGGAUAUUUCCAUCAGGAAAUAGAAGAUAUGACCAUGAUAUGAUGUAAUGAUAUUGGCUCUUUAUUUGAUCCCAACGAUGCCAUAUCAAUGACUGAAUUUGCAGGAAUAGCCUUCACAUGGAAGUCAUAUAAAUGGAUUUUAGUGGUUAUUUCAAGUUAUCAUUCUAACAUAAUUGUUUUAUCUAAAGGCAUUGCAAAAUAUGCAUAACUUAGUAGAAUGGUUAAUCACACUCAAAAUCAUGUGGUUGAGAUUCAUCAGAAUCACAUAACUUGAUUUAUCAAGAUACUUCCACUUGUGUUACUCAAUACCUAUAGGUUAUAUGAAGAGCAAUAUCAUAAAUCACAUUGCUAGGAAAUUACUUAGCCUCACGGAUUAUAGAAAAGUGAGGAAAUAAUUUGCAAACAAACUACUGUUAUAAUCCAACAGAUUAUACACAAUCUCAUGUUCAUGUCAAUGGAAUUGGUAUGAGACAUCCUUCAUAUUUGCAAAGUUCAGGGGGAGUAAUGUCCCAAACUAUAACCUAUUAACAAUCAUCAGAUUGCAUAUAUUGUACUCUUUUUCCCUUGAUGAGUUUUCCCUAUUGGUUUCUCAUAAAAGGUUUUUACCGAGACAAUAUAAACACAAGUGUCUUUAUAUGCUAUAUCAUUUUCUCCUUCUAUUUUUCCCAUUGGGUUUUAAAGGAGUUUUCAAUGGCAUGUACGAUUGCACUCUUUUCCCUUAUGAGUUUUCUCUCAAAGUUUCUCAUAAUGGUUUUUAGUGAGGCAAUAUCUUCUCAAAGAUCACAUGUCAUACUUUCUAUUUUCCCUACCAGGGUUUUUAAAGGAAGUACUCAAGACAUAUUAAUUGUUCUCUAAACUUAUCAAUGAGUUUUCUCCUUCUUCAAAGGUUUUUCUCAUAUGAGUUAUCAAGAGACAAUAAUCAUCAUAUGUUGCAUCAUUUUCUCCUUAUUUUUCACACUGGGUUUAAAGGAAUUUUAGCAACAUAUCUACUCUAUUCUCCUCAUAUUUUUCCCACAGGGUUUUUGGGGGAGACUCUCAAGAUUAUCUAAGAUUUCUCAAGAUGGAAGAUCUAUAUAUGCAAGACGCUUUCAACAAUGAAGCAUUCAAGGAACGGUGUUGUACAAGGGGGAGUGUUAUAAAUUAAUUAGGAAAGGGUGUUCAACCCCGAAAAGUCAUGUCUAUUCUAUCUCUCUAUUGCCAACACGCACCUGUUCUGGAGGGAUGCCUCCGAACAGGCACCUCUUCUUCGCACCUCUUCCAGAUGUAUAUAAACUUGAGAAUCAAUAGAAAUCAGUGAUGAUCGUCCAUUACUUUCAUUCAAUCUCGUUUUACUCUAACACAUACAACGAUGACUACGCUAAAUUGCAAAAGGAACUAGAUCAUGCUAUUGUUCUUACUCGUGUGCUUAAGUCUGAAAAGGCUACACUUGGGGUUGGCCAUGACAGACUCAAAGUGGAGUUUGACACACUUGACAAGGCCCACAAGGUCUUGAAAGGUACUCAUUUCCCCCUGAAAGGGUCUCAUGAUCAACUCCAAGCAAAGCUUACCAAGCAGAUCUCUACUUGUCCUCCUUUCGUUAUAAUUGAUAAUGCUUGUACAACUAACCCUUGUUGUGAGCAUGUCCAUCUUGUGGAGGAAAAUUCCAAGUUGAAGGAUCAACUUGAGGAGGGCCUUGUGUCAUGCAUCCAAGGCGAGAAGAACCUGAACGACCUCUUGAGCAAUCAAAAGGGUGUUGUAGGAAAGGAGGGACUUGGACUUACAUCCAAGUCAAAAAGAAAAGGGAAGAACAGGAACAAACGAUCCCCUACCCUCAUGGACAUCUUUGUCAAAGAGGGCGAAGGGACUCAGGAGGAGAACGGGAACAAGGUGGAGAAUGGUAGAGUCAAGAAGGGCAAAACCAUUCCUACCAACACAGCCGGCAAACUCAAUCCAUCCUAUGUUUUAUGUCGUGCUGGUGAUGGGCAUUUUAAGCCAGAUUUGUUGGUUCUUACUAUGAGUCCACUGAAUGGGCUAUUUGGGUUCAUAAGACCCUUGUCUCUAACAUUAAAGGACCCAUUCAAAAAUGGGUACCUAAAACCAAGCCUUGAUCUAUUGCAGGAGCUUGCUUCCGGUGGGGUGUCAUGGUUGCUCGAUAGUGGAGCAACGAAUCAUAUGAACGGAAGCAAGGACCUAGUGGUGGAUGUGCAUCCUUCCCCAUCUAUGCCCACCCAUGUCCAAUUCGUCGAUGCAUCAUCGUCAAAGGUAUUGGGAUUUGGUAAGGUGGUCAUCUCUCAAGACUUAUCUAUUGAGAAGGUCAUGCUUGUUGAGUCCCUUGCUUACAAUUUACUUUUGGUUCGUCAACUUGCAAUUAUGGGCUUUUCCACAUUAUUUAAUCUUGAUAUCGUGGUCCUUUUGUGGAGCAAGACUCUUAAAGUAGCCUAUGUUGGAUAUGUCGAAAAUGGUCUCUAUGUGGUGAACUUUUCAAAGCAACCCACUAAAACUGCAACUUGUCUAAUGGCUAAAGUUGAUGUGGGCUGGCUUUGGCAUCGCCGACUAGCUCAUGUCAAUAUGAGAUGUUUGCAAAGUCUCCUCAAAGGGGGCCAUAUUCGUGGACUAACAAAUGUGAGUUUUGCCAGAGAUCAUGCUUGUAGUGCCUGCAUUGAAGGGAAGAUUCAUGAAACUGCUCAUCGUCCAACGACUCUCAUUUACACUAAGAGGCCAUUGGAGCUCCUUCAUAUGGAUCUCUUCGGUCCUCCAUCAUUUGAUAGUCUUGGGGGCAGAAAGUACUGCUUGGUGAUUUUUGAUGACUACUCAAGAUACACUUGGGUAUAUUUCUUCAAGAGGAAGAGUGAGACUCAACAAACUGUCAUCAACUUUGCUAAUGAAGCUCAACGUCAACAUGAAGCAAAGAUUUUGAUGAUUAGAAGUGACAACGGCACCGAGUUCAAGAACUACACCUUGGAUGAGUUUCUAGGUGAUGAGGGAAUAAAACAUCAAUAUUCAGCACCAUACACCCCUCAACAAAAUGGUGUGGCAGAAAGGAAGAAUCAGACGUUGACGGACGCGGCAAGAACAAUGAUGGCGGAAUUCAAAUCUCCAUAUAACUUUUGGGCCGAAGCCAUCAACACAGCAUGUCAUGCAUCCAAUCGGCUCUAUAUCCGCAAAGGCUUGAACAAGACCCCAUAUGAGAUUCUCAUCGUAAACAAACCCAAUCUCAAGUACUUCCAGGUAUUCAGGUGUAAGUGUUUCAUUCUCAAGAAAGGUGCACGUUUAGCUAAAUUUGAUUCUAGAGCUCAAGAGGGCAUCUUUGUUGGUUAUGCUACAAACUCUCAUGCUUACUGUGUCCUCAACAAGUCCACCGGGCUCAUUGAGGAAACGUGUAACGUGGAGUUUGACGAAAAUAAUGGCUCCCAAGUGGAGCAAAAUGGUCUGUGUGAUGUAGGUGAUGAAAUUCCUCCUGAAGCCAUAAGAAGAAUGGGUAAUGGUCAAAUACUCCCCAUUGAGGAACCCCUUGUGGCCGAAGGAGAAGGACAAUGCUCUACUCAAGUGGAGCCAUCAUCCUCACAAGCCCCACACGCUUCCGAUGAACAAAGAGAAAACCCUCAACCAGUUGAACAAGUUCAAGGACAAGAUCAAUUGCUCAAAGAUGGUGAUGUGCCCCAUGAUGUCCAAGUGCUUACACAAGGUACCGAAUCUGGUCAAGAUCAAGAUCAAGUGCAACUACAAGAUCCAAACCAAAUAGAGGCACAAGAUCAAGAUCAAGAGCAACCACAAGAUCAAGGACAAACCAGUGAGCCUCCUCAAGUCAAAAAUCAAUUUGAUCAGGAUGUUGUCUCUCAAUUUCCUUCUGCAGCACCUAAGAGGGCUACUCGUGCCAGGGGAGGAUCAAAAUGCAAGUCCAAGCAAAGUAAUCAAGUCGCUGCUCCCUAGCUAUCAAAUGAAGAACUCUUGGAGUGUCGCGCAGCCAAGAUUGCAAACAAGCUCAGAGUCAAGUCACAUAUUAUGAAGAAUGUGCUUGGUAGUUUGAAAAGGGGAGUAUCCACUCGUCAACAAAUUUGGAAUUAUUGUGAGCAUCACACGUUUGUUUCGUAUUGUGAACCUCAACAGGUACAGGAAGCGCUCGAUGAUGAGGAUUGGCUUAUGGCCAUGCAUGAAGAACUCAACAACUUUGAGCGUAAUCAAGUCUGGAAUUUAGUGCCAAGACCGAAGGAGGAACAUAAUAUCAUCGGGACCAAAUGGAUCUUCAAAAACAAGCAAUAUGCCAAUGGGAUUGUGGUUCGAAACAAGGCAAGAUUGGUGGAUCAAGGCUACUCCCAAGUCGAGGGUAUCGACUACGGUGAAACCUUUGCCCCUGUUGCUCGUCUAGAAUCUAUUCGCAUGCUGCUUGCAUUUGCUUCUCAUCAUAAUUUCGAAUUACAACAAAUGGAUGUAAAAAGUGCUUUUCUUAAUGGUCCUUUAAAUGAGUUGGUCUAUGUCAAACAACCCCCGGGGUUCGAACAUCCCAAGCUCCACAAUCAUGUGUACAAACUUAAUAAGGCACUCUAUGACCUUAAACAAGCCCCACGUGCGUGGUAUGAGUACCUUACUGAGUUGUUACAAGAUCGUGGGUUUGAAAUUGGGAAGAUAGAUCCCACUCUUUUUACCAAGAAGGUCAAAGGGGAUUUGUUCAUAUGCCAACUAAAUGUUGAUGAUAUCAUUUUUGCUUCCCCUAACGAAUCUUUCAAUGAAGAAUUUGUUGCACUAAUGACCAAGAAAUUUGAGAUGCCUAUGAUGGGUGAGUUGAAGUUCUUCCUCGGGUUCGAGAUUAAACAAGGAUUAGAAGGGACCUUCAUCAAACAAGCUAAGUACACUCAAGACAUGCUCAAGAGGUUCGAGCUAGAGGAUGUCAAGCCGGUCAAGUUUCCCAUGCAAACAAGAUGCAAGCUGGACAGUGAUCCCAAUGGUAAAGUAGUGGAUCAAAAGGUAUAUCGCUCCAUGAUUGGAUCCCUUCUUUACCUUUGUGCAUCUAGACCGGAUAUCAUGUUGAGUGUAGGGAUUUGUGCACGGUUUCAAUCUGCACCAGAAGAAAGCCAUUAUAUGGCCGUUAAGCGAAUCUUUGGAUAUUUGGCUCAUAUCCCCAAACUUUGGUCUAUGGAAUCCCAAAGGAGCAAACUUCAACCUAGUGGGCUAUUCUGACUCAGAUUGGGCGGGAGACUGUGUGGAGAGGAAGUCAACUUCUGGAGGAUGUCAAUUCCUUGGUCGUUCAUUGGUAAGUUGGUCUUCAAAGAAGCACAAAUGUGUCUCACUAUCUUCCAUCGAAGCUGAGUAUGUGGUAGCUGCAAGUUGUUGUGCACAGUUGCUAUGGAUGAGGCAAACUUUAAAGUAUUAUGGUGUCACUUGUGACAAAGUGCCUCUUCUAUGUGACAAUCAAAGUGCUAUCAAGAUUUCCCUCAAUCUGGUGCAACAUAGCAAGACCAAGCACAUUGAUAUUCGCCAUCACUUCAUUCGUGAACAUAUCAAGCGAGGUGAUAUUGAGGUUCACUUCAUCAACACUGAAGAGCAACUUGCACAUAUUUUCACUAAGCCCCUAGAUGAAGCAAGGUUCCGGGAGUUAAGGCAUGAGCUAAAUAUCAUUGAUUCAAGUAAUGUGGAUUGAAACUAGGCACUUUGCACCUCACUUUGCAUUAUAUCUUGUUCUAGGUGUAGGCAUGGACAUAGGGGGAGUGUUGUUCUCUCAAUGAACUUUCCCUCCCCCCAUUAUGCAUAAAUCGAUCAAGUCUUUCACUUUGGCCAUUAUUAAAUGGCACUUGUGCUUCAAAGACGAGCGUUGGUCAUGAACCCAAGGAUAAUUCUUCGCGGUGUCAUACCUUUGUCUCAAACAUAGGUGGCUUCGGCCACCGCCCCACCUUUCUCUCGUGUUGAAGAAAGGAUACAAAAUGACUAGUUAGUAUAUCUUGCUGGUGUUAUCUUUUUUCACUGACUAGUCAUUGCCCACAUCAUAAGUCCUAAGUCUCUUUGUGCUUUCUGGAGUGGUACUACCGCCAGGGGUAGCGGUACUACCGCCAGGACCCCCAGCGGUACUACCGCCAGGGGGAGCGGUACUACCACAAGGACCCCAGCGGUACUACCGCUAGGGGGAGCGGUACUACCGCCAGGACCCGAGCCUAUCGUGGCUUGACUAGGGCUUUUUAGGGCUGUCUCAAGGGGAGCAGUACUACCGCGAGGAUGGCGGUACUACCGCUAUGACCCCAGCGGUACUACCGCCAGGGGGAGCGGUACUACCGCUAUGGCGCAGCGGUACUACCGCUGCGCCCGUACCCCUUGGACUAUAUAAAGGGAGGGGAGCCGUUUUUCUUGCCCCACUUCUUCUUCUUCGUGGCUCUCUCGCCCUCUACACCGAAUCCCCCCAGUUUAGAUCUCUCUGUGCGGAGCCUCUCCUCUCUUUUUAGUUGGAGGAUUUGCUCCCCUCCUCCUUCCUUCGUCAAGUGCCAUGGAACCCGGUAAAGCUCCUCCCCUUCUUCUCUUGGUUGGUGUGUUUGUUUCUAGGGUUAGGAGCUUGUUGAUUUGGAUCCAUGGAUAUGCUUUGUGCUUAGUUUUUGGAUGGAACAAGGGAGAAACCUUAGGGGAUUUUAGGUCUAAUGUUCUUCAUUGCAAAUAUUUUGGCAUGCCCUAGUUCUCCAUGUUUUAGAUCUAGUAGCCAUUAUCAUACAUCUCAUGGAUUUGACCUAAACUUGGAUCCCAUUGACUAGACUUGUCUCCAUCUAGAUGAUCUAGAGUUCCACAUGUUUUCGGGCUAUGGUGAUUCUUGUGAUAAGUUUAUUUGUUAGGCGUGGAUCUCUUGAAACGAUUCUAUUAAUUUUUAGUUGGUUCAAAUCUGUCCAGAUCUGAAAGUCAAUCCCUAGCGGUACUACCGCUCCACUCGGGCGGUACUACCGCUAAGGAGGUAGCGGUACUACUCCCAGCCUGGCGGUACUACCGCUAAGGGCCAGCGGUACUACCGCUAGCUUCGCGGUACUACCGCUAUGACCCCAGCGGUACUACCGCCAGGGCGAGUGGUACUACCGCCAGGAGGGCAUUUUUUUCAUUUCCCUUGGCAAUGUGUGUUUCUUCUUAUGAUUUUUGAACAUUGCCAUGACUCCUUUUGUCGCUCUUUUUGUGUGUGUGUCUUGUGUGUCACAGGUGGUUCUCGUCGCUCGAAUCCUGCACGUAACACCCAAUCAAAGCAGUACCGCAAUCAAGAGGCUCCAUAAGGUUUCACAACUUCCAUUCUAACCCCUAAAAAGAAGUCUUUCAAGAAGGUUGCCACCAAGUCCAAAGGGCUCAAUGUCCACACUAUGCCUCCUAAGGACUUUGCACACUCCGUACCCGUGAUCUCUAUGGUGAUGAAAAGGUUCAGCUCAUGGGCGUCGAUCAUGUUUGGUCACGGGAACAGGCAAUGAUCUUUCAUGACAUCAUCAUGCCCUUCAAGAAGAUUUAUGUCCUAGUGCAGUGGAUCGACCUCGCUCACCUUCGGCGGCAUCAGGACUACUUUGGCGAGGCUCUCUCCUUGGUUGACUGAUACGUCUCCAACGUAUCUAUAAUUUUUUAUGGUUUCAUGCUAUUAUCUUAUCAAACUUUGGAAGUUUUGCAUGCCUUUUAUAUAUUUUUUGGACUAACUUAUUGACUCAAUGCCAAGUGCCAGUUCCUGUUUUUUUCCAUGUUUUUGACCCCUUUCAGAGGAGAUUUUGAAACGGAGUCCAAACGGAAGAAAAUCCCCGAAAAGAUUUUUUUCAUAACGUAAGAAGAUCGGGAAGCUUGGGAGCCAAGGCAGGGGAGCCUCAGGGGCGCCACAAGCCCCCACCCCACGGCCACGGGGGUAGGCCGCGGCCCAUAGUCUUGUGGGCCCCCUGGGCACCCUUUGCCCUAGGGGUUGAGCCUAUAUAUUCCCUAAAAAUCCCAAAAAAAUCACGAGAUCAUCGAAAUCACUUUUCCGCCGCCGCAAGCUUUUGUCUCCGCAAGAUCCCAUCUGGGCACGUUCUGGUGCCCUGCCGGAGGUGGGAUUCAGACACGGAGGGCUUCUUCAUCAAUACCAUGACCUCUCCGAUGAUGCAUGAGUAGUUCACCAUAGACCUACGGGUCCAUACUUAGUAUCUAUAUGGCUUCUUCUCUCUAUUGGAUCUUCAAUACAAAGUUCUCCAUGAUCUUCAUGGAGAUCUAUCCGAUGUAAUCUUAUUUUGCGGUGUGUUUGUCGAGAUCCGACGAAUUGUGGAUUUAUGAUCAGAUUAUCUAUAAAUCUUAUUUGAGUUUCUUCUGAUCUCUCUUAUGCAUGAUUUCAUAUCCUUGUAAUUCUCUUCGAGUUGUGGGUUUUGUUUGGCCAACUAGAUCUAUUAUUCUUGCAAUGGGAGAAGUGCUUGGUUUUGGGUUCAUACCGUGCGGUGACCUCACCCAGUGACAGAAGGGGUAACGAGGCACGCAUCAUGUUGUUGCCACCAGGGGUAAAAAGAUGGGGUUUUCAUCAUUGGUUUGAGAUUUUCCCUCUACAUCAUGUCAUCUUGCUUAAGGCGUUACUCUGUUCGUCAUGAACUCAAUACACUAGAUGCAUGCUAGAUAGCGGUCGAUGUGUGGAGUAAUAGUAGUAGAUGCAGAAAGUAUCGGUCUACUUGUCUCGGACGUGAUGCCUAUAUGUAUGAUCAUUACCUUAGAUAUCGUCAUGAAUUUGCGCGGUUUUAUCAAUUGCUCGACAGUAAUUUGUUUACCCAUCGUGAUAUUUCCUAUUUUGAGAGAAGCCUCUAGUGAACACUAUGGCCCCCGGGUCUACUCCACACCAUAUUUUCGGCCUUACACUUUUUACUUCGUUGCACUUUCCGCCUUCAGAUCUCACUUUGCAAACAAUCUUGAAGGGAUUGACAACCCCUUUGAAGCGUUGGGUGCAAGCUCUUUUGUGUUUGCGCAGGUACUAUGGACUUGACGAGACCCUCCUUCUGGAUCGAUACCUUGGUUCUCAAACUAAGGGAAAUACUUACUGCUCGUGUGCUGCAUCACCCUUUCCUCUUCAAGGGAAAAACCAACGCAAGCCCAGUCUCCGUCAACGUGUCAAUUUUUGGCAGUGCUGUUUGAGAACUAGCAUUGACAAGCUUGGCAUUACGGAUAUCAUCACCAUUCUCUUCGAGUUGUGGGUUUUGUUUGGCCAACUAGAUCUAUUAUUCUUGCAAUGGGAGAAGUGCUUGGUUUUGGGUUCAUACCGUGCGGUGACCUCACCCAGUGACAGAAGGGGUAACGAGGCACGCAUCAUGUUGUUGCCACCAGGGGUAAAAAGAUGGGGUUUUCAUCAUUGGUUUGAGAUUUUCCCUCUACAUCAUGUCAUCUUGCUUAAGGCGUUACUCUGUUCGUCAUGAACUCAAUACACUAGAUGCAUGCUAGAUAGCGGUCGAUGUGUGGAGUAAUAGUAGUAGAUGCAGAAAGUAUCGGUCUACUUGUCUCGGACGUGAUGCCUAUAUGUAUGAUCAUUACCUUAGAUAUCGUCAUGAAUUUGCGCGGUUUUAUCAAUUGCUCGACAGUAAUUUGUUUACCCAUCGUGAUAUUUGCUAUUUUGAGAGAAGCCUCUAGUGAACACUAUGGCCCCCGGGUCUACUCCACACCAUAUUUUCAGCCUUACACUUUAUACUUCGUUGCACUUUCCGCCUUCAGAUCUCACUUUGCAAACAAUCUUGAAGGGAUUGACAACCCCUUUGAAGCGUUGGGUGCAAGCUCUUUUGUGUUUGCGCAGGUACUAUGGACUUGACGAGACCCUCCUUCUGGAUCGAUACCUUGGUUCUCAAACUAAGGGAAAUACUUACUGCUCGUGUGCUGCAUCACCCUUUCCUCUUCAAGGGAAAAACCAACGCAAGCCCAGUCUCCGUCAAUGCAUCAAUUUUUGGCGAUGUCGCUUGAGAAGUAGCAGAAGGAUUUCUGGCGCCGUUGCCACGGAGGAAGAUCAAGUCAAGAACUCAUCCAAGUAGGUGUCGCAAACUCAUCUCUUGCAUUUACUUUGUUUUCCAGUUGCCUCUCGUUUUCCUCUCCCCCACUUCACCAAUUUGCCUUUUUUGUUUGCCUUUUUCGUUCGUCUUUUCGUUCGCCCUUUUUCUCCCCUGCUCUUUGUUUGCUUGUGCGCCUGCUUGCUUGCCGAAGUCACCAUGAACGAAAACACCAAACUUUGUGACUUCUCGAAUACUAAUAAUAAUGAUUUUAUUAGAACUCCGAUUGCUCCCGCCACUAGUGAAAAGACCUCGAUGACGCCUAGAGGGGGGUGAAUAGGCUAUCUAAAAACUUCUUCGGAUUUGGCUUGAACCUAAUGCGGAAAUAAACUAAACGAGGCACGCAUCAUGUUGUUGCCACCAGGGGUAAAAAGAUGGGGUUUUCAUCAUUGGUUUGAGAUUUUCCCUCUACAUCAUGUCAUCUUGCUUAAGGCGUUACUCUGUUCGUCAUGAACUCAAUACACUAGAAAGCGUUCUGUAGAUCGGAAGNNNNNNNNNNNNNNNNNNNNNNNNNNNNNNNNNNNNNNNNNNNNNNNNNNNNNNNNNNNNNNNNNNNNNNNNNNNNNNNNNNNNNNNNNNNNNNNNNNNNNNNNNNNNNNNNNNNNNNNNNNNNNNNNNNNNNNNNNNNNNNNNNNNNNNNNNNNNNNNNNNNNNNNNNNNNNNNNNNNNNNNNNNNNNNNNNNNNNNNNNNNNNNNNNNNNNNNNNNNNNNNNNNNNNNNNNNNNNNNNNNNNNNNNNNNNNNNNNNNNNNNNNNNNNNNNNNNNNNNNNNNNNNNNNNNNNNNNNNNNNNNNNNNNNNNNNNNNNNNNNNNNNNNNNNNNNNNNNNNNNNNNNNNNNNNNNNNNNNNNNNNNNNNNNNNNNNNNNNNNNNNNNNNNNNNNNNNNNNNNNNNNNNNNNNNNNNNNNNNNNNNNNNNNNNNNNNNNNNNNNNNNNNNNNNNNNNNNNNNNNNNNNNNNNNNNNNNNNNNNNNNNNNNNNNNNNNNNNNNNNNNNNNNNNNNNNNNNNNNNNNNNNNNNNNNNNNNNNNNNNNNNNNNNNNNNNNNNNNNNNNNNNNNNNNNNNNNNNNNNNNNNNNNNNNNNNNNNNNNNNNNNNNNNNNNNNNNNNNNNNNNNNNNNNNNNNNNNNNNNNNNNNNNNNNNNNNNNNNNNNNNNNNNNNNNNNNNNNNNNNNNNNNNNNNNNNNNNNNNNNNNNNNNNNNNNNNNNNNNNNNNNNNNNNNNNNNNNNNNNNNNNNNNNNNNNNNNNNNNNNNNNNNNNNNNNNNNNNNNNNNNNNNNNNNNNNNNNNNNNNNNNNNNNNNNNNNNNNNNNNNNNNNNNNNNNNNNNNNNNNNNNNNNNNNNNNNNNNNNNNNNNNNNNNNNNNNNNNNNNNNNNNNNNNNNNNNNNNNNNNNNNNNNNNNNNNNNNNNNNNNNNNNNNNNNNNNNNNNNNNNNNNNNNNNNNNNNNNNNNNNNNNNNNNNNNNNNNNNNNNNNNNNNNNNNNNNNNNNNNNNNNNNNNNNNNNNNNNNNNNNNNNNNNNNNNNNNNNNNNNNNNNNNNNNNNNNNNNNNNNNNNNNNNNNNNNNNNNNNNNNNNNNNNNNNNNNNNNNNNNNNNNNNNNNNNNNNNNNNNNNNNNNNNNNNNNNNNNNNNNNNNNNNNNNNNNNNNNNNNNNNNNNNNNNNNNNNNNNNNNNNNNNNNNNNNNNNNNNNNNNNNNNNNNNNNNNNNNNNNNNNNNNNNNNNNNNNNNNNNNNNNNNNNNNNNNNNNNNNNNNNNNNNNNNNNNNNNNNNNNNNNNNNNNNNNNNNNNNNNNNNNNNNNNNNNNNNNNNNNNNNNNNNNNNNNNNNNNNNNNNNNNNNNNNNNNNNNNNNNNNNNNNNNNNNNNNNNNNNNNNNNNNNNNNNNNNNNNNNNNNNNNNNNNNNNNNNNNNNNNNNNNNNNNNNNNNNNNNNNNNNNNNNNNNNNNNNNNNNNNNNNNNNNNNNNNNNNNNNNNNNNNNNNNNNNNNNNNNNNNNNNNNNNNNNNNNNNNNNNNNNNNNNNNNNNNNNNNNNNNNNNNNNNNNNNNNNNNNNNNNNNNNNNNNNNNNNNNNNNNNNNNNNNNNNNNNNNNNNNNNNNNNNNNNNNNNNNNNNNNNNNNNNNNNNNNNNNNNNNNNNNNNNNNNNNNNNNNNNNNNNNNNNNNNNNNNNNNNNNNNNNNNNNNNNNNNNNNNNNNNNNNNNNNNNNNNNNNNNNNNNNNNNNNNNNNNNNNNNNNNNNNNNNNNNNNNNNNNNNNNNNNNNNNNNNNNNNNNNNNNNNNNNNNNNNNNNNNNNNNNNNNNNNNNNNNNNNNNNNNNNNNNNNNNNNNNNNNNNNNNNNNNNNNNNNNNNNNNNNNNNNNNNNNNNNNNNNNAUACCUUUGAGUUAGCCCUUUCACCUGAGCUUGAUGUUAUUGUUCCUUCUUGGCUCAAGUUGAAAGCAAGACAUGAUGAAGUCUUCAAGUAGUUUUCCCAUACACAAUGCGGAAAGCCUAGCUUAUGUAUUUAUCUUCAUUUGUCCACCAUGUGAACAUCCACAAGAAUCAAGCAUGUAGUGCUCAAGAAUGCUUAUCUUGAUCUUGUCCUGUCCACCAUGUGAACAUCCACAAGAAUCAAGCAUGUAGUGCUCAGGAAUGCUUAUCUUGAUCUUGUCCUUGUUAGCUCAUGAGAUUGUCCUUAUCAACACAUGAUCAUUGACAAUAGUUUCAAUGAUAUAUUCGUGUUGAUCCACUUGAACUUGCACACCACAAUCUUGAUGACGAUCACCACUUGACGUCAUCCUUCAUGGGUUGUAUGAGAUCUUCCUUUUGACGCAAGCCCAAUGGAAACACACCUAACCCCCACAUAGGAGUCUCACAAAGACCAUGGGUUAGUACACAAACACGUAAUGGACAAUGCUUACCAUACCAUGGGAUCACUUGAUCCCUCUCGGUACAUCUUAUACGCUUUGUGUGUUGAUCAUCUUGAUUUACUCUUAGUCUGAGAUCUUGAUCAACCUAGUUUUUAUAUGACCAUUCUUUGGAUAAUACCUUGAAUAACAUCUUGGUCAUCAUAUAAACUCCUUGAACCCAACAGAUGGGCUUCAAGAAGUGCCUAUGGACAAAUCCUAUAAAUAUAACAUAAGGCAACCAUUAGUCCAUCAGAAUUGUCAUCAAUUACCAAAACCACAUAUGGAGAUAUAUGCUCUAACAAUCUCCCCCAUUUUGGUAAUUGAAGACAACCACUUCAAGAGAAUUUAUGUAAAGAAAUAAGCAUAACCAAGCGCACACAUGUAAAUGCUUACGCAAUAAAAGCAAAACCCUCUAAACAUAUCCAAAGUAAACUCUCUAAACUUCUCCCCCAUUGGCAUCGAUUGCCAAAAUGGACGAAAAGUUUAGAAAGCCAAUAUAGUAGGUGGUCCUCCAAAAAGUGUGUACUUCUCAGCAAAUGAGUGCAGAAAAAAAACACAAAUACAAUGAUAAGUAGUUGGAGGAAAACAAACUAUAUUGAGGACCCAAAGAUUGCAAAUAAAAGGACCGUAUGCCACAAAGACAUACACAGAUAGAGGCAAGCAAUCAAAAGAUUCCAGAUGGAACAAACAAUCAUAUGGUCCUUCGAACCAUGUGAAUAAAAGAUAUUAUGAUAAAGGCAACAUAGUGUUUUAUCAAAAACUAGAGAAGCUCCCCAUGAUUUGUGCACUAAUAUGAGAUUUUUGUAUUUGACACAGGUGCACAAAAUAGGAUCGUUGCUCCCCCAGAAUUUAUAAAACACACAACGAGUGCAAGGGGAUAGAUGAGACACUAAGCACAUAAAUUGCACAAAACAAAUGGUUGAGCAACAUGUAAUAGAAGCAACUUAAGAAUAGGAUCAAACAAAGUAAUGUGUAUGAGUCAUGGCAAAGCACUUGAGAAGACUAAGAUAAGGAUGAGCAUUACUCAUCAACAUAGUCUUGAUGAAAUGAGAUACAAAGUGCAAGACAUAUCAUUCCCACACACACAUACUAGAAAAUGGGUUCACAAGCUUACUAAUAAACAAAAUAAGAACCAACGCUUGUGACAACCCAUUGUGAAGAUAGGAAGUAAGAACCUUGUCAAGAGGAGGGAUACUAAUUGAGAAUGGCAAAACCCUCAUCAAGACAAGCAUGAGGAAAAAAAUAAUCUUCACGGCCAACGAGUGCAUGAAGAAGUAGGAAAAUAAGAUACGCACUCAAAACAAAUCCUUUCACGAAACCAUCAAAAACUGAAAAAGGAGAUGUAACGAUGGACGUGAAAGAAAAAGAGGAUAUCAAUUAGAGAUGUAACUUCUCUUAUGUGUAAAAGAUUCUAAGUAGAAGACAAUCAUGAUGAUAUAUAUCCAUAAAGAAGGAUAUACACACAAAAUGGUUACAAUAAGGAACAAACUAGAUAUCCAAAAAGGAAGUCAUAAAUAUAUCAAUGAGAUCUUCUGCUUGGAAGCAUAGCACAUGGCCUAAUAUUUUCUUAUUGUAUAAUAUGAACUUCCAACAUACGAACAUCAAAGACAUCCCAACUAGCAGUAAGACAUCAUCGUUCGGAUGCUUUGAGAAAGCAAACAAGUACUACGAGAACAAAUCAAGAGAUUCAUGCCAUGAUGCAACCUGGAAAAGAAAAGACAGGUUGGGUCCUUUGCAAGGAAAGAAUGCAUGAAGUGGAUACUUGUUACCGAGACAACAUUGGAUUGAUGUAGUAUAUAGUUGUUCUUUGAUCAUCCUAACUUGGCUCCAAUAAUCAUAUGGUCUCAACAUCUUCCUUAUAGGUGAGCUGAGCAUCCAAUGCAUCUCCAGUUGUUCCUAGAACAACAAAAACAAACAAAAUGGUGCCCAAACUCAUUGGGACCAAAGAGUUAGAAAACCAGCAAUACAUAUGACAAACUCCACACACAUAUGUGCAUAUAGAUAUGAAUUUGAAUUUCAUGCACACCUUAGGCAAUUUAUGACAGGGUGGAGUUUCCCUUAUAUAUUGGGUCAAAGGAGGAAAGCAAGCAAAAGAAGUUGUAUAUAGUAGCUAGAUAUGCAUGCUCAAGACUCUCAAGAAUCAACUCAACACAAAGUUGAUAAGUCAUCAAGUAUCAAGUGAUAAUAAGAUCCUAAAACAAAAGAACUAUCACUUGAAAGAUAUCAAUUAAAAGAUACAUCAAGGAAUGAGAUAUCCAUUGACACAUGCCAAAUAGAAGGCAACAAGAAACCAAUUGAAGGAAAACAAACACAAGGUAUCUAGUUUCUAAGAGAGAGCUAGGUUCCAACAAACAAAGCCCUCUACAAAUUUUCAUGAUGGCACAAAGCAUCAUAAAGAGCAAGACUUGCCUCCCAUCAACACACACUUGAUGGGGAUCAAAUGGUUUUAUGAUGGGUGAAUAAAGAGAGUGUUUUUAAAGAGAAUAGGAUAGCUCCCCCAAGGGACGUGCAUUAUAUAGAAUUUGCAUUUGAAUACAAAACGCACACGAUGGGAUCAUCAUUUUCUCUAUAUCUAUAACCACACUAGACAUGUUAAAAAUAGAUUCAUAAGGGACAAGAAAGACAAACGAAACACAAAAUCCAAUGUAAAGAUGAUUAUCAAUUCCAAUCACAUGAUGGGAAUACCAAUUGUCAAGGACAAGAAGUAUUUUUGAAAUGAUACUCAUUGGUAGAUCACAAAUAUAUCCAAGAUCAUCUUUACCCAUAAAACGCAAGCAAAUGACACUUGUAGAGCUAACAUGCAACCUAGGAACAAGAUAGUUUACAAUAUCAACGCUAUGUGGCAAUACGUCAAAUGUACACAUUUUCUAGGUUUGUAAUAUGCACAUAGCAUAUUACUCCCCCAUAAUGUGAUAAACCAAUAACAUUAACAAGUGGCAAAUUAAAACCAACAAGAGAUACUUAAUGGACCAUAUAGAAUUUGAAUUUCACAUGAGUAAGACAUACCACAUAGACACUAGAUAAUCUUGAAGCAUAAAAACUAAGUGGUAUUCCCCAUGUAUACACAUUUAUAGGAUUGUGAGGUGUGCAAAGCACAUCACUCCCCCACAAUGGGAUAAUCCAUUAAACUCUCACAAGAGCCAACAAAAAUACAGACAAGAUGCAAAUAGGCUCAAUACAAGACUCACAUGUACAUGAUGUGCAAACCAACAUACACAUACUCGAUUACUCAAGAUAAGCAAGUUGGAAGCACAACAUAUACAAACGCAUGCAAGGUACAAAACCACAACAUGCAAAGGGGCAAGCACCUAACAAUGUAAAUAGUUUAAGUAUAAGUUACCGUAAGGAGGCACAUUGGAUAUAAGAUAGAAACUCGAUAAUCCAAAUGACUUGGCUUGAGAUAAUAUGAAUGAUGAACACCCCUUAAUUCUUCAUUAUGUAUCCAAGUCUCUAAUGUCCUCCAUAGUCACCUAUUGAUCAAGUUUGAGCUUGUUGGUUCCCAACUACGUUGGGUCCUAAGAGGUUAAUCACAAUAGGCUUGGCAACCCAAAUGGUUCUUUUCUUGACACCAUUUUGAGUACCAACAAACUUGGCAAACACAUUGCCAACCUUAUCCUUCCCAAGGGAAUAGAUAUCAUCAAUAGUGAUUGGGUUGGAUAAGUUACCUCUUGUGCAAGACGAAGCGACGUGACCCUUCUCACGACAUAAGUAGCAACACCUACCCUUUGCUUUCUUCCCAGUUGAUUUCUCACCUCGGGGAGUGUUGGCUUGGGUCUUAUUGAGAAGAGGCAUUCCUUAAACUUGUAGUUGAAUAUGUGAUUGAGUUUGUGGCCGCUUCCCUUGUUGCUUGUGACUUUGAGACCUCGUCUUCAGAGGGCAAGAUCUAACAUGGUGCCCUUUAAGUUUGCACUUGAAGCAAAUGAUUUUGGCCAAAUUCUUGACUUGUUCUAGGCCCCUCUUGUUCUUGUUUGCGUUUACUCCAAACUCAUUUUUGUCAUUCGGAGAUGUUUGCUCACACAGGACGUUGUUGAGUGUGGGCAUCCCUUCAUGACACUGUUCCAAGUCUUUCUUCAAGGAAGUGACUUGGGCCUUGAGCUCUUUGGUUUCCUCUGCACGGUUAGUAUCAAUGCAAGUACUAGAGGAAGUGUAAGCUUCAAUGUUAGAGCAACAAGGCAAGGAAAGUAAUUCAGCACACGAGGUAGCAACAUUAUGAGUAGACGAAUUACGAGGACUAGCACAUGGAAAUAUAGUACUUUGACUAGAAGUAGUGCCAUUGUCCACAUGAGGCUCGCUUGAUGUUACCUUGGUGAUGAUAGCCUCAUGAGCUAACUUUUGCACAUUAUGGGAUGUUAGAAGAUCGGCAUGAGAGCUUGUGAGCAUUACAUGGUUUUCUUCCAACUUCCCAUAAUUGCUAGUUAGUAAAUCAAGUUGAGCACGUAGCUCAACAUUCUCCAUCAAUGUUGAUACUUCAAAUGAGGUAGAGUUAGAUGUACAAGUAUCAUCAACAAUAUGAGAGGAGUAAGUAGCAAACAGAGACUUCUCAUGAGUAGAUUGAAGCUCCUCAUAGAUCUUAGAGGUUUUGAUGAGCUCUCCCUUGACAUUAUUGCAUUCAAGGAGAAGGACCUCAAAAUCCUUUUUAAGUUUAUCAUGAGCAACUUCAAUCUCUCCUUUUGAAGAUCUUAAGUCUCUACAUGCUUGAUGACUCUUCUCAAGUUCAUGUUCAAGUUGUUCACUUUUAGCUUGUUCAUGAUUAAGUGAAUCAUUACAAUUUUCAAAGUAAGCAAGAACAUCUUGGAAUCUUUGAAGAGCGUUAUUUUUAGCUUUAUGAAGAAUUUUACUGAUCACAUAGAUAUUUUCAGUCAAGUCAUCAUCAUCAUCCUCAUCGCAAAUAUCAUCGUUAUUGCACAGGGAAGAUGAUACCUCAUUAUUACCUCUUGCCAUGAGGCACAUGUGAACUGGAGGAGUUGAUGAUGAUUCUUUUGGUGAAUCAGAUUCUUCAUUAGUCAAAAGUACUUCAUAUUUCUUGAUAUCCCCUAAAUGAUUAGUCAUAGAGGAACUAGGGAGAAACAAGAUAUUUUGAUCAAGAGGACACGAGGAAGCAGGCAUAUCACCACAGACAUUUGUCGAGGAAUCUUUAGGUGAAAUGCAUGACCUAUCAGCACAAUAAUUUACACUAUGUGUGGUGCUAGAUAUGCUCGUGUCCAUAGAGGCUAUGACAUUUUCAUCAACAUAUAUUUCUUCACUCACCAUGUCAUUACCUUGUGAGAUUGAAGAUGCUGAGGUGUGCAAGCAAUCGGAUAUGGAAGUAGUGGUGGACUCUUUAAGAUCGAAAAGAGUGAAGAGCUCAUGCACCAACUCCUUCAUCAUAAUACCAUCUUCAUCAAGAUUGGACCCACCAUAUAUGUAUUCAAGUUUAGUCCAAACUUCAUGAGCUGACUUGCAAGUCGAGAUAGACUUAAACACUUUAGGACUUAUGGUUCGAUGAAUGGCAAGAAAGGCCUCACAAUCAAGAUACAUUUCAUUAGUAGAUGAAGAUGCAUCAUCAUUUUUGUCGGCAAUCCCUACAAGAACAAUUCGUAAAGUAUUUGGGCCCAUGGCCCGAAAGUGAUGAAGCAUACGAAUUCUCCAUAGGGUAUAAUUUGUGCCAUCAAAGUCAAAGAUGCCAUUGUGCACUAAUCCAAUAGUCAACAUCGAUACUCUCUAGGUCGUGAAACCUAAUUAAAGAGAGACCUUGCUCUGAUACCAAUUGAAAAGACCUCGAUGACGCCUAGAGGGGGGUGAAUAGGCUAUUUAAAAACUUCUUCGGAUUUGGCUUGAACCUAAUGCGGAAAUAAACUAAGAGGGUACUUGUCAAGCACAAAUCCUAAAUGCACUAGGCACUGCAACGUGUAUCAACAACACGAUCUACCAAGAUGGACACAAUACAAUUAGUAACAAGCACAAGUAAGUUACACAAACUUACUUGAGCUAUAUCACACGACAAGUAGGUGAACAACACAAGAUACUAGAUCACACUAUAUCAACACGAUAUAUCAAGGGCUGUAAGUAUGAACGUGUGGAUAUAGAGGGUAUGCUUGAAUGAUUAAUCUUGUACAAGAAAUAGGAAACACAAUAUAAUGAGCACAACCAAUAUGCAAUGUAUGUAUGCUCAAAUAACACAAGUAAACCACAAGUAAGGAGUUAGGGUUAAGGAUAACCAAGGUCACUGAGACGAAGAUGUAUCCCGAUGUUCACUUCCUUGGAGGGAAGCUAGUCACCGUUAGAGAGGUGGAUGUUACCACGAAGGCACACCAACGCCACGAAGUCUCACCCUAUUCUCCCUUUGAGAUAACACCACGAAGGCGUUUCUCAACCACUAGUGGUAAGCCUUUGAGGUGGCUUCCAAACCCUCACAAACUUUUCCGGGGGAAAUCACACGAAUUGAUUCCUCUCCGAAGAACUCCUACCGCCUAGGAGUCUCCAACCUCCAAGAGUAACAAGAUCACGGGGAAUGCUCAAAACUUGCUCAAAUCACAAAUAGCUUUGGUUGAGAGAAGGAGAGGAAGACGAUCUAUCUUUUGAUUGGAGCAACUCUCAAAGGGGCUCACAAAUGCUCUUGGGAUCUAAGAUUUGGAGUGAGCAAAUGUGUGUGAGGUGGAAAUGUGUUCUUAUGAGGAUAAGGCUCUGUUGGGCUACCCUCUCAUGAAGUGGGAGGGGGUUAUUUAUAGUGUGGAGUGAAAUCCAGCCGUUGGAGGUACUUUAAGACACACAGGGUCCGUACGUCCGACAGUUGUCGGAAGUCCGGGCGUCCGCGAGGGGUCGGACGUUCGACGGCGGUCGGUCGUCCGAGGCCUGAAGAUAUCACUGAAAAUACUGGGGACACUUUAAGUUACACAGGGUCCGGACGUCCGACAGUUGUCGGAAGUCCGGGCGUCCACGAGGGGUCAGACGUCCGACAGGGGUCGGACGUCCGAGGCCUGUAGAUACGACUGAAACUAUUUUGAAUUAAACAGUGACCGGACGUCCGAAGGGGACCGGAAAUCCGAGUUAUACAACUCAAAUUCUACUGGUGGUAGGUUCCGGAUUUCCGAUGGGGGUCGGACGUCCGGCCCUCGGACGUCCGGAGGGAGCCGGAAAUCCGAGUUAUAGAGCUCAUGUUCUUCUGGUGCAAGGCUCCGAAUUUCCGAGGCAGUCGGUCGUCCGACCCUCGGACGUCCGGAGGAAGCCGAAUGUCCAAGGCAUUGGUUCUGUUUUCAGAUAACAGCAAAGCAGCGGAGAUGUGGUGUGAGCAGAAAGUGAAGUUGUAGUUUGAGCAAGUUCAUCGCAAAACCUGUGAUCCCCUCUUAAUAGUGCGGGAUCCCUAAGGACUCAAGAAUCAUAAAAGAGUACUGAUGAUCCAUACUUGAGUGUAUACUUUUAUUCACUGAUCAUCACUCCGCACCAUUAACGUCAAAGGAACUCAUACCUUUGAGUUAGCCCUUUCACCUGAGCUUGAUGUUGUUGUUCCUUCUUGGCUCAAGUUGAAAGCAAGACAUGAUGAAGUCUUCAAGUAGUUUUCCCAUACACAAUGCGGAAAGCCUAGCUUAUGUAUUUAUCUUCAUUUGUCCACCAUGUGAACAUCCACAAGAAUCAAGCAUGUAGUGCUCAAGAAUGCUUAUCUUGAUCUUGUCCUGUCCACCAUGUGAACAUCCACAAGAAUCAAGCAUGUAGUGCUCAAGAAUGCUUAUCUUGAUCUUGUCCUGUCCACCAUGUGAACAUCCACAAGAAUCAAGCAUGUAGUGCUCAAGAAUGCUUAUCUUGAUCUUGUCCUGUCCACCAUGUGAACAUCCACAAGAAUCAAGCAUGUAGUGCUCAGGAAUGCUUAUCUUGAUCUUGUCCUUGUUAGCACAUGAGAUUGUCCUUAUCAACACAUGAUCAUUGACAAUAGUUUCAAUGAUAUAUUCGUGUUGAUCCACUUGAACUUGCACACCACAAUCUUGAUGACGAUCACCACUUGACGUCAUCCUUCAUGGGUUGUAUGAGAUCUUCCUUUUGACGCAAGCCCAAUGGAAACACACCUAACCCCCACAUAGGAGUCUCACAAAGACCAUGGGUUAGUACACAAACACGUAAUGGACAAUGCUUACCAUACCAUGGGAUCACUUGAUCCCUCUCGGUACAUCUUAUACGCUUUGUGUGUUGAUCAUCUUGAUUUACUCUUAGUCUGAGAUCUUGAUCAACCUAGUUUUUAUAUGACCAUUCUUUGGAUAAUACCUUGAAUAACAUCUUGGUCAUCAUAUAAACUCCUUGAACCCAACAGAUGGGCUUCAAGAAGUGCCUAUGGACAAAUCCUAUAAAUAUAACAUAAGGCAACCAUUAGUCCAUCAGAAUUGUCAUCAAUUACCAAAACCACAUAUGGAGAUAUAUGCUCUAACAACUAGUGCGGAGUCAUACGAAAUCAAUGCCGCUUUGCUGAAUCUUGUUAUGAAAGAGCAAUUCUCUGGCCUUCCUAGUGAAGAUGUCGCAUCCCAUCUCAAUACCUUCACUGAGCUUUGCGAUAUGCAAAAUAAGAAAGAUGUGGAUAAUGACGUGAUUAAAUUGAAGCUUUUUUCCUUUCUCGUUGCGAGAUCGCGCAAAAACUUGGUUUUCUUCUUUGCCCAAAAAUAGUAUCGAUUCUUGGGAUAAGUGCAAAGAUGCUUAUAUAUCCAAGUAUUUUCCGUCGGCUAAGAUCGUCUCUCUCCGUAAUGAUAUCAUGAAUUUCAAGCAACUUGAUCAUGAACAUGUUGCACAAUCUUGGGAGAGAAUGAAAUUAAUGAUUAGAAAUUGUCCCGCUGAUGGCUUGAGCCUUUGGAUGAUUACUCAGAUCUUUUACGCUGGCUUGAAGUUCGCUUCUAGAAAUAUCUUGGACUCCGCCUCAGGUGGAACGUUCAUGGAAAUCAUGUUAGGAGAAGCCACAAAGCUCUUAGACAACAUCAUGACGAACUACUCUCAGUGGCACACUGAAAGGUCACCUACUAGUAAGAAGGUACACGCUAUAUAGGAAAUUAACUCGUUGAGUGCUAAGAUGGACGAGUUAAUGAAUUUGUUUGCUAGUAUAAGUGCUCCUUUGGAUCCUAAUGAUAUGACUUUGUCUUCUUUGAUUGAGAGUAGCAACGCUAGCUUGGACGUUAAUUUUAUUGGUAGGAAUAACUUUGGCAACAACAAUGCUUUUAGAGGAAACUAUGUUCCUAUGCCUUUCCUAGUAACUCCUCUAAUAAUUUUGGCAACUCCUACAACAAUACUCAUGGAAAUUACAAUAGAUUACCCCCUGAUCUAGAGAGUAAUAUCAAAGAGUUCAUCAACUCUCAAAAGAUUUUCAAUGCGUCCAUAGAGGAAAAGCUACUCAAAAUUGACGAUUUGGCUAAGAGCGUUGAUAGAAUGUCUAGUGAUGCUGAUGCUUUGAAUGUUAGAUGUGCUCCUCCCAAAAUCAACAUGGAUGAAACUUUGACAGCUAUGCGUGUUUCCAUGAUUGAGAUCCAAGAAAGAACCGCCAAAAUUCGUGCUAGACAUGAAUGGCUUAGAAAGGCGUGUUCUCGUGAUGAGAAUCACGAAGAUCUUAAAGUGCUUGGUGUGACUCCCAUUGGAUCUUUGUUUUCUUGUGUCAAACCUAAUUAUUAUGGGGCUGGAUAUGAAUCCAUUUUGGUUGAAAAGUGCCCCAAUGAUUCAGAGUCCAUCUAUCUUGAUGCUAAAAGCAUUGAAAGUGGAGUAGAAGAGGUUAAAACUUUGAGUAGUAAUGAAAUUACUACCGUGGAUUUCAAGGAAUUCAAUUAUGAUAGUUUCUCCUUGAUUGAAUGCAUUUAUUUGAUGCAAUCCAUAUUAAACUCUCCACACGCUUAUAGCCAAAACAAGGCCUUUACUGAUCAUAUCGUCGAAGCUAUGAUAAAAUCUCUUGAAGAGAAACUUGAAUUGGAAGUCUCUAUCCGUAGAAAGCUUCAUGAUGAGUGGGAACCUACCAUCAAAAUCAAAAUAAAAAAACUAUGAGUGCAAUGCUUUGUGUCAUUUGGGUGCUAGUGUUUCUACGAUUCCAAAGUCUUUAUGUGAUGUUAUGGGUUUUAAUGAGAUUGAAGAGUGUUCUCUUAAUUUGCAUCUUGCUGAUUCUACUAUCAAGAAACCCAUGGGAAGGAUCAAUGAUGUUCUUAUUAUUGCAAAUAGGAAGUAUGUACCCGUGGAUUUCAUUGUGCUUGACAUUGAUUGCAAUCCUACUUGCCCUAUUAUUCUUGGUAGACCUUUCCUAAGGACUAUCGGUGCUAUCAUCGAUAUGAAGGAAGGGAAUAUUAGAUUUCAAUUUCCUUUAAGGAAGGGCAUGGAACACUUUCCAAGAAAGAAAAUAAGAUUGCCUUAUGAAUCCAUGAUGAGGGCCACUUAUGGUUUGAGCACCAAAGACGACGAUACGUGAUUCAAUCGCUUUUAUGCCUAGCUAAGGGCGUUAAACAAUAGCGCUUGUUGGGAGGCAACCCAAUGAAUUUAUAUUUUUUUCUUUCUGUUUUUUUGCAUCCACACCAUCAUAAUUCUGUUGUGAUUGUGUUUUUUUUGUGUUUCUUUUUGUGUUUGAGCCAAGCAAAACCUUUAUGACUAGUCUUGGUAAUGGUUGUUUGAUCCUGCUGGAAAAAAGAAAGAAAUGUUUCGCUCACGAGAUGAUUUUUCAUUUUUAUUCAGAAAGAGCUUUUGAGUUGAUUCUUUUUGCUGCUGGUUGAUAUGAUUUUUACCCAGGCCGUCGUAAUUUCUCAAUUUUUUUGAGAUACCACAAGUAUACGAAGUAUACAAAUUGCUACAGACUCGUCUUUUUUUGACAGAUUUUGUUUUUGUUGAGUUGGUUGCUUGUUUUGAUGAAACUAUGGUUAGUAUCGGGGGGUACUGGCCAUGGAAAAGUGAGAAUACAAUAGCCCAACACCAAUAUAGAUGGAAUUCAAGUUUGCUACAGUACCAAAAGAAGUGGUAGUUUGUUUUCUUGUACUAAUGUUAUCACGAGUUUCUGUUUAAGUUUUGUGUUGUGAAGUUUUCAUGUUUUGGGUGAUGUUCUCAUGGACGAUGAGAUAAGGAGUGGAAAGAGCUCACGCUUGGGGAUGCCCAAGACAUCCCAACCCAAAUUCAAGGACACCAAAAAGCCUAAGCUUGGGGAUGCCCCGGGAAGGCAUCCCCUCUUUCGUCUUCAAUCCAUCGGUAACAUUACUUGGAGCUAUAUUUUUAUUCACCACAUGAUAUGUGUUUUGCUUGGAGUGUCUUGUAUCGUAGGAGUCUUUUCUUUUUGUUGUGUCACAAUCAUCCUUGAUGCACACAUUUUUGAGAUAGAGAUACAUUCACUCAUCGUGAUUUUGCUAGAAUGCUCAUAGUGCUUCACUUAUAUCUUUUGAGCUAGAUACUUUUGCUCUUGUGCUUCACUUAUAUCUUUUAGAGCACGGCGGUGCGUGAUUUGGUAGUUGGCUUAUGCUAUGAAAGUAGUCCCAAAUGUGAUAGGUACCCAAAGAGGAUGCAAAAAAACCUCCAUCUUCAUGUGCAUUGAGUAGAAAGAGAAGUUUUGAUUCCUCUCAAUUAGUUUUGAGACGUGGAUUUGGUAAUAUUAAGAGCUAUGUUAGUAGGGUGUUGUGAAUCUAGAAAUACUUGUGUCGAAGUUAGUGAUUCCCGUAGCAUGCACGUAUGGUGAACCGCUAUGUUAGGAAGUCGGAGCAUAAUUGAUCUAUUGGUUGUCAUCCUUUGUGUUGAGGUCGGGAUCGCGCGAUGGUUAACACCUACCAACCCUUCCCCUAGGAGUAUGCGUUUAGCACUUUGUUUUGAUUACUAAUAAAAAUUUCGCAACAAGUAUGUGAGUUCUUCAUGACUAAUGUGAGUCCAUGGUAUAGAUGCACUUUCACCUUCCACCAUUGCUAGCCUCUUUAGUGCCGCGCAAUUCUCGCCGGUACACAAACCCACCAUAUGCUUUCCUCAAAACAGCCACCAUACCUACCUACUAUGGCAUUUUCAUAGCCAUUCCGAGAUAUAUUGCCAUGCAACUCCCAUCGUUUCGUCUCAUGACUUGUGCCGUCACUCUCAUAUUGCCAUUGCAUGAUCGUAAGAUAGCUAGCGAGAUGUUUUCAACGUCAUACGCCAUGCUAGAUCGUUGCACAUCCCGGUAUACUGUCGGAGGCAUUUCCUUUAGAGUCAUCAUCAUUUUGAGCUGUGAGUAAAUAAAAGUGUGAUGAUCAUCAUUAUUAGAGCAUUGUCCCAUGUGAGAAAAUAAAAUAAAAAAGGAGGACAAAGAGCCCAAAAAUAAAAAAGAGAAAAGAGAAAAAAAAGAGGCCUAAGAGCCCAAAUGAAAAAAGGAGAGAAAAAGAGAGAAGGGACAAUGCUACUAUCUUUUUCCACACUUGUGCUUCAUAAUAGCACCAUGUUCUUCAUGAUUUAGAGCUUCUUGCUUCGUCACCACCAUAUGCUAGUGGGAAUCUUCAUUAUAUAACUUGGCUUGUAUAUUCCAAUGAUGGGCUUCCUCAAAAUUGCCCUAGGUCUUCGUGAGCAAGCAAGUUGGAUGCACACCCACUAGUUUUCCUUUUGAGCUUUGACAUAGUUAUAGCUCUAGUGCAUCUCUUGUAUGGCAAUCCCUACUCAUUCACAUUGAUAUCUACUAAUGGGCAUCUCCAUAGCCCUUUGAUAUGCCGAGUCAAUGUGACCAUCUCCUCCUUUUUGUCUCACAACCACCACCACACUCUAUUCCACUUAUAGUGUUAUAUCCAUGGCUCGCGCUCAUGUAUUGCGUGAUAGUUAUAAAAAGUUUGAGAAAGUAAGAGUGCGAAAACAAUUACUUGUCCAAUACCGGGGUUGUGCAUGAUUAACAUUAGUUGUGUGAGGAUGAUGGAGCAUAGCCAGACUAUAUGAUUUUGUAGGAUAACUUUCCUUGGCCUUGUUAUUUUAAAAGUUCAUGAUUACCUUGCUAGUUCGCUUGAAGUAUUAUUGUUUUCAUGUCAAUAGCAAACUAUUGUUUUGAAUCUUACGGAUUUGAACAUUCUUGUCAUGUGAAAGAAGUUGCAAAGGACAACUAUGCUAGGUAGCAUUCCACGUCAAAAAUUCAUUUUUAUCACUUCCCUACUCGAGGACGAGCAGGAGUUAAGCUUGGGGAUGCUUGAUACGUCUCCAACGUAUCUAUAAUUUUUUAUGGUUUCAUGCUAUUAUCUUGUCAAACUUUGGAUGUUUUGCAUGCCUUUUAUAUAUUUUUGGGACUAACUUAUUGACUCAAUGCCAAGUGCCAGUUCCUGGUUUUUUUUCAUGUUUUUGACCCCUUUCAGAGGAGAUUUUGAAACGGAGUCCAAACGGAAGAAAAUCCCCGAAAAGAUUUUUUCUCGUAACGGAAGAAUAUCGGGAAGCUUGGGAGCCAAGGCAGGGGAGCCUCAGGGGCCCCACAAGCCCCCACCCCGCGGCCACGGGGUAGGCCGCGGCCCAUAGGCUUGUGGGCCCCCUGGGCGCCCUAUGCCCUAGGGGUUGCGCCUAUAUAUUCCCUAAAAAUCCCAAAAAAUCAGGAGAUCAUCGAAAUCACUUUUCCAUCGCCGCAAGCUUCUGUCUCCGCAAGAUCCCAUCUGGGCACAUUUUGGUGCCCUGCCGGAGGGGGGAUUCGGACACGGAGGGCUUCUUCAUGAACACCAUGACCUCUCCGAUGAUGCGUGAGUAGUUCACCAUAGACCUACAGGGCCAUAGUUAGUAUCUAGAUGGCUUCUUCACUCUCUUGGAUCUUCAAUACAAAGUUCUCCAUGAUCUUCAUGGAGAUCUAUCUGAUGAAAUCUUCUUUUGUGGUCUGUUUGUCGAGAUCCGAUGAAUUGUGGAUUUAUGAUUAAAUUAUCUAUGAAUCUUAUUUGAGUUUCUUCUGAUCUCUCUUAUGCAUGAUUUCAUAUCCUUGUAUUUCUCUUCGAGUUGUGGGUUUUGUUUGGCCAACUAGAUCUAUGAUUCUUGCAAUGGGAGAAGUGCUUGGUUUUGGGUUCAUACCGUGCGGUGACCUCACCCAGUGACAGAAGGGGUAGCGAGGCACGCAUCGUGUUGUUGCCAUCAAGGGUAAAAAGAUGGGGUUUUCAUCAUUGGUUUGAGAUUAUCCCUCUACAUCAUGUCAUCUUGCUUAAGGCGUUACUCUGUUCGUCAUGAACUCAAUACACUAGAUGCAUGCUGGACAGCGGUCGAUAUGUGGAGUAAUAGUAGUAGAUGCAGAAAGUAUCGGUCUACUUGUCUCGGACGUGAUGCCUAUAUGUAUGAUCAUUACCUUAGAUAUCGUCAUGAAUUUGCGUGGUUUUAUCAAUUGCUCGACAGUAAUUUGUUUACCCAUCGUGAUAUUUGCUAUUUUGAGAGAAGCCUCUAGUGAACACUAUGGCCCCCGGGUCUACUCCACACCAUAUUUUCAGCCUUACACUUUUUACUUCGUUGCACUUUCCGCCUUCAGAUCUCACUUUGCAAACAAUCUUGAAGGGAUUGACAACCCCUUUGAAGCGUUGGGUGCAAGCUCUUUUGUGUUUGCGCAGGUACUCUAGACUUGAAGAGACCCUCCUUCUGGAUCGAUACAUUGGUUCUCAAACUGAGGGAAAUACUUAUUGCUCCUGUGCUGCAUCACCCUUUCCUCUUCAAGGGAAAAACCAACGCAAGCCCAGUCUCCGUCAACGUGUCAAUUUUUGGCAGUGCUGUUUGAGAACUAGCAUUGACAAGCUUGGCAUUACGGAUAUCAUCACCUUCAGAAAGGACUUCGAUCGAGAUGUUGUGGCCCAGUUUUAUGUCACCGUUCACUUCCAACCUAAUUACGAGCGCACCAUGACCUGGAUGACAGGUAGUCAGAAGCUGACUGGUACAUGGGCGGAGUUCAUGCAGCUCCUAAACGUCGACUUGUAGGGGCAAGAAACUAUUCUUGGGCUGCGUCCUCAUGAUCCAGCUUCGUCUACUUCCACCCCUAAGGACAGGCUGCAACAUCUUUACAUCAAAAAAGGUGUGCUCCCCACGCAUCUAGCUAUCAUGCAUCGGAUCUUCCGCAACACCCUAUUCCCUCGUAUUGGCAACAAGGACGAGGUGCAUAGACAUCUGGCUGAGAUGCUUCUGCUGUGUGAGGAGGCAAGGAAUAAGGACACUGCGCCUCUCAACAUAUCUGAUGUGAUGUUCCAUGAGCUCUGGAAUUGCAUCAUGAACCGUAAGGUUCCCAUCUACGGGCCUUACAUGUUCGCCUUUAUUCAGAAGAAGUGGAAAGAUACCUAUCUGGUAGAGCCCCUCCCUGUUGAAGCUUACUAUUUUGUGCAUGAUCCUAUCAAGCUGCGUCUCAAGGACAAAUGGGCCAACACCUCAACUUCCUCUCAGCCCAUGGAUACUGACACAGAUAUUGCUGCUGGAGGAGGACCUGCUUCGCAUACCCGCUCUUCUGCUAUGCUAUCUUGGGCUAUGAAGCUGAAGGAUCAGAUGAAGACUCUCUUUUGUAUGCACGCCAAGGGGCGGUAUCAGUCUCAUGUGGCCCAGAAGGAGAACCGUCAGAGGCACAAGCGUGUCUUAAGGACACUUGAUGUGGCAAUCUCAAGCGGCUCAGAGGACGACAUCACUCCAGAGACUGACUGGAUGAGGGCUCAAGGUUACAAGUGGAAUGGGUGUGAUGCUGAGGAGGAGUCUUCUGACGAGGACAUUGAGGAGGAGCAGGACGAGCAGGAUCUGUAUGCCAUGGAUGAGUCUGAGGAUGAGGAGUGACCACCUGUGUCUUAGGUGUGCCCCUUUUUGGUGUCUUGGUGCCAAAGGGGGAGAGAGUCUAGGAAUUGGAUUUGCUUGCUUUAUCUUUAUCGUGUUUGCUUUGAACUUGGUUUGAUCGUAUUUGUUAUCUUUACUAUGUGUGAUGUGAGACUUGUUUUUAUUGUGAGACCUAUUUUAAUCAUAUGUUGUGAGUCAUAUGCUCUUAAAUUAUCUCUAUUAAAUUAUCUUUAUGAUCACAUGCUUUCUACUUUGCAAAUCCGGUAUUGUCAUCAAUCCACCAAAAAGGGGGAGAUUGUUAGGGCAUAUUUAUGCCUAAGUAAUUUUUGUGAUUGAUGACAGUACCUUAAUGGACUAAUCGUGUGCAUUGAGCAUUUCAGAUAAUACAUGACAAAGGCACAAGACGAUUUGGCACCCUCCGUGGAAUAGAAGCACGUUGUCUUCUACGAUUCUCUUUGGUGGUUUUUGAGUCGCAGGAACGCCGUACUAUUAAGAGGGGAUCCGUAUUGGGAAGGUUUGGGUGGAAUCCUGUUUUCCCAUGAUGUCGUGCAUGUUGUUGUCUAGUGCCUCGACCGCCUAUCGCUUAGUCAUGGUGGCCUCGUCCCAUAGUAUCAACGAGGCCAUCCUUAGCAGCAUUGCGGUCCCGCUCUGCUUGGCAAAGCUGCAUGAGGCACCAUCAUCGCAACUCAAUGGGAUCUUGAACCUCGAGUGGGCAGUCCUUCCUCCAUACAUGGUAGAAGCGGCGACGCCAGACAUUGUGGUAGCGAUAGCGAUGUUGCACUUGCUCCGAACCUCAUGGGCCAUCAACAAGGAAUACAUCUCCAUCACUGUGGUCAACUGCUCCUAGUAUCUCGUUGUAUGCAACACUGUGCUCCAAGUUUAGCGACAAUGCCAAUUUUGUGUCGUUCACAUCAAACUCGAUGGUGGAUUCCUCUAUCACCUCUCUGGCCUCGCCCCUGGUUGGGUCGAACGCAUUGUCAAUGCUCGGAAGANNNNNNNNNNNNNNNNNNNNNNNNNGGAAGAGCGAAAUCAACUAUGUCUUUACCCAUAAACUACAACAUACCCCUAAUGUCCAACAACACCAUCUGCUCCACCUCAUUCGGACAUGCGUGUAAUCGAUGAUAGUCAUCAUACAUAGACUCGAGGGGCCUAUCCCAUAAACCAUGCACAUCACAUGGCUCACAAUGCACCAAGAUUGUUACGAACAACCUCCUGAGCGAACACGACAUCGCCCACUCUUGUACCUCAGUAAGACAAUUGUCGAGCGUGUUGUGUGCCUCCAUGAGUCCCAACCUCUCAGCGGCCUCUUGAAAGCUCCCACAUAGCCUGCCAUCCACGGUGAGUAGGUCCUCGAAGGAUGUCUUUCCUGAAACAUGGUUUAGCAGGACGCGCACAUAGUAUAGCUCACCCUCAGUAGGAUUGGCAGACACAAUUCGGCCUAUUUGAUAACGCUCCGCCCAUGGCCUCCAAUACUUCUUACCCUUCUGCCAUGUGAAGCUUCCAGGAAAAUCCUUGUACAAUAUAUUCCUAGCCCACUGGUAGUCUUGGUUAGCCUUGAAAUACUUCGUCAACAUGGAUUUUGAAGCAUUCUCAGAGGCGACGACAUUGGUCAAGUCUUCUUGCUCAUUGAAUGCCACCCUAUGCAUAUUCGGGAGAUGAAGAGGCAAUUUUAGUAUAGACGGGGAGUUGGCCCAUAGGGGGGAACCAAAUAUCCUCCACAUCGCCUUCGGUGGAGUAACCCACCUCGCGUCGACGUAUCUUUUGAUCUCAUCAAUGUUACCAUUUGUGUCGGGUUGUUCAAUGAUGAAUGAAGCCCUAUCGUGGCCCUUGUAUAUGUACUUGUAAAGGUACUUGACGGCCUUUAGGCUGGAGCUGACCUCAACAUUGAUGUGACAAUUCAACAUCCAUAGAAGGUAAGGGUUAUAAUACACAACCCAUCUGUUCUCCAACAUUUUGCCCCGAACCUUAGCCCUUUGACCGUCGUCUCUGUGCCGAUAAACUGGCUAUGAGUGCUUGCCAUGUACCAUGUUUUCAUUGAACGGCCGAGGGUAUCUGCACUUGCACUCGUUCUGUUGCAUGCAGACAUUACUGGGGUUGAGAGCACCGCAAGGUCCGUGCAUCAUAUGUUUGACGACAAAGGUAUAGAGUUCCGGAUACUUUUGCUUCUCUGGGAGCUCGGCGGAAAUGACACGGUCAUACUGCUUUGGAACAACAAGCUUAUAUGUCAAAUCCAUGAUCAACAAAAAGUGUACGUGGGGGAGGCCCCUCUUGUGGAACUCGACUACAUAUACAUAUGCAGCAACAACACCCAGGAUAUGCUUCUUUAACAACAUAUCUUUCAUAGCCUCUAGCUUGCCAUGAAACACGCGAGCCACAAGAUCAGGUCAGUCAUGUGAUGUGUGACCAUGAAACAAUUCAUUUGAUAUCUCUUCCAAUUUAGGGUUGUGCGUCAUGGUCAAGAAGAUGACAGGCUUCCCGUAUGUAUGGACAAUUGCCAUUGCAUCCACAUGCCUCCGCUUCAUGUCCCGGUCGCCACUAGGGUGCAUUCCGGGUAGCACUAUCCUUAUGCCAAUUGCGCUUGCUCGCGUCUCCCCUAAAGUGAUAGCAUCAACAACUCCUUUAUAGAGGUCGGCAUGGAUCUUUUUCUGGUUCUUCCUCAGCCAUCUCAACCUACGACUCUCAAUAUUUAUGUACAUGUCGACACCCCAUUGCUGGAGCAAUCGUGCUCCAUAGAGUAUGGGAUUGAAUAUCGCAGGUCAUGUCUGUAGCCUGUAACAGUAGUAGUCUCUCACGGACACGCAUAACCUACUAUUCCCCUCUGCAAAUGGAUGAGUAACGCAAAUUAGGCUUCAUAUGAAAAAUAUACUAUUUUCAAAAGGACAUAAUACAAAAGAGGCCUACCUGCAUCCUCUUCAUUAUCAUGCCCCCUCUUGGAUGUUGUACAACCUCCCAAGGGACAUUACAUUUAGGUACUUUUGGAUGCCAACCGAGCUCGGCCCUUGGGUAGAAGAAGGUAUAAGACAGCGGGUCAUAUGAGCCAUCAGUCACACGUGUACUAUGCUUUUAGUUGUCAUUGCCGAAAAGUGUAAUACUAUGAUUAAACUUUUUUGCUAGGUUAGCACCCUUGACCCAGAUUGCAGCGAUCUCAGAUAACACCGGCCUAUUAUAUCUUUGCUGGUCAAGCCUCUGGUCGGUGUUGAGGUCUAACGUGUAAUCGUUGAGGUUAUCCUUGUGUGCACCCAAGCUCCUAAACUGCUGGGAGUACGGGUUCCCCCGGAGUAUGUCCACCAACUGCUUGACGACAUUAUGUUCCAAUUGCUUGGUGGCAACCAUGCGAUGGGUCAGGCCAGGGUCAUCGUCGUAGAAGUACAACUAGAGAUGUUCUAGACGAGAGCUUGGUCUGAAGGAAUGCAUGUUGUGGUAGAUGGUGUUGUGCGCCCGGAAAGUGUACACCCCAGACUUCAUGUGUUGGAUAUAUGCCCUAGAGGCAAUAAGUAAAUAGUUAUUAUUAUGUUUCAUGUUUAAAGAUAAUCGUUUAUUAUCCAUGCUAGAAUUGUAUUGAAUGGAAACACAAAUACAUAUGUGGAUACAUAGACAAAACAAUGUCCCUAGUAAGCCUCUAGUUGACUAGCUCGUUGAUCAAAGAUGGUUAAGGUUUCAUAGCCAUAGACAAGUGUUGUCACUUGAUAACGGGAUCACAUCAUUAGGAGAAUGAUGUGACAGACAAGAACCAAACUAUGAACGUAGCAUGUGAUCGUGUUAUUUUAUUGCUAUUAUUUUCUGGAUGUCAAGUAUACAUUCCUAUGACCAUCAGAUCAUGUAACUCACUCACACCGGAGAAUGCCUUGUGUGUAUCAAACGUUGCAACGUAACUGGGUGACUAUAAAGGUGCUCUACAGGUAUCUCUGAAGGUGUCCGUUGAGUUAGCAUGUAUAAAGACUAGGAUUUGUCACUCCGUAUGACAGAGAGGUAUCUCGGGGCCCACUCGGUAAUAGAACAUCACAAACAAGCCUUGCAAGCAAUGUGACUAAAGAGUUAGCCAGGGGAUUUGGUAUUGCAGAACGGGUGAAGAGACUUGUCAGUAACGAGAUUGAAAUAGGUGUAGAGAUACCGACGAUCCAAUCUAGGGCAAGUAACAUACCGAAGGACAAAGGGAAUGUUAUACGAGAUUAACUGAAUCCUUGACAUAUAGGUUCAAGCAAUAAAUAUAUUCUUAGAAUAUGUAGGAGCCAAUAUGGGCAUCCAGCUCCCGCUAUUGGUUAUUGACCAGAGAGUGUCUCAGGUCAUGUCUACAUAGUUCUCGAACCCGCGGGGUGUGCACACUUAAGGUUCGGUGACGUUUUGGUAUUAUUGAGUUAUGUAUGUUGGUGAUCGAAAGUUGUUCAGAGUCCCGGAUGAGAUCCCAGAAGUCACGAGGAGCUCGGGAAUGAUUCGGAGGUAAAUAUUGAUAUAUAGGAAAGUUGCAUUUGGCUUUCGGAAAGUUUUCACACAUUAUCGGUAAAGUAUCCGGAGUGACGAAUGGGAUCCGGGGUUUUACCGGGAGGGGCCACCCACCCGAGAGAGAACCUAAUAGGCCUAAAGGUGGUGCACCAACCCUUAGUGGGCUAGUGCGGCCAGCCCAAGAAGGCCAAUUUCGGCCAAAUGCAAAAGGAAAAGGAAGAAAGGAAAAAAGGAAGGAGGUGGCCAAGUAGGAAGGGAGUCCUCCACCAAACCGAAUUGAAGGAGGACUCUCCUCCCUUGGCUCGGCCGAAUGCUCCUCCUUGGAGUAGGAGGCAAGGCAGCCCUCCCUCCUAUUCCUCCUAUAUAUAGUGGAGGUUUUGAGGGAAAACGACACCAGAAAAGCCAUGUGCCGCCCUCUCCUCCAUAGAUCGUCUCCCUCGUCUAGAUUAGUCCGGGAUAACUUGGCGAAGCCCUGCUGGAUUAGUUCACCACUACCACCACCAUGUCGUCGUGCUGCGGGAGAACUCAUCUACCUCUCCGCCCCUCUUGCUGGAUCAAGAAGGUGGAGAUCGCCAUCAAGCUGUACGUGUGCUGAACGCGGAGGUGUCGUCCGUUCGGCGCUAGAUCGGGACGAAGAUCGUGGGACAGCUUGCGAUUUGGAUCACGAAGACGUUCGACUACAUCAACCACGUUUCUUAACGCUUCCCACUUAGCGAUCUACAAGGGUAUGUGGAUCCGAUCUCCCCUUUCAUAUAUGAUCAUCACCAUGGAUAGGUCUUGUGUGUGCGUAGAUUUUUUUUGUUUCCAUGCAACGUUCCCCAACAAUGGCAUCAUGAGCUAGGUCUAUGCGUAGAUGAUAUCUCGAGUCGAACACAAAAGAGUUUGUGGGCAUUGAUGUUCAAUUUGCUGCCCUCCUUAGUCUUUUCUUGAUUUGGCAGUAUUGUUGGAUGAAGCGGCCCGGACCAACAUUACUCGUACGCUUACGAGAGACCGGUUUCAUCGACUAACAUGCAACUUGUUGCAUAAAGAUGACUCACGGGUGUCUGUUUCUCCAACUUUAGCUGAAUCGGAUUCGACCGAGACAGUCCUUGGAGAAGGUUAAAUAGCAACUUGCACAUCACCGUUAUGGCUUUGCGUAAGUAAGAUGCGAUCAUACUAGAUACCCAUAGCAGCCACGUAAAAUUUGCAACAACAAAUUAGAGGACGUAUAACUUGUUUUUGCAGGGUAUGAUGUGAUAUGAUACGGCCAAAGACAUGAUAUGAUAUAUUGGAUGUAUGAGAUGAUCAUGUUGUAAUAGUUAAAUAUCGACUUGCACGUCGAUGCUACGGCAACCGGCAGGAGCCAUAGGGUUGUCUUUAAUUAUUUUGCUCUUGGUGAUGCUUUGCUUUAUCGCCAGUCAGUAGCUUUAGUAGUAACAUCAUAGUUAGCGCGACAACCUCGAUGGCAACACAAUGAUGGAUAUCAUGAUGAUUGAGAUCAUGGUGUGGUGCUCGUGACGAUGGAGAUCAUGUCGGUGCUUUGGUUAUGGAGAUCAAGAAGCACAAGUUCAUGGCCAUAUCAUGUCACUUAUUAUUUGCAUGUGAUGUUAAUCCUUUUAUGCACCUUAUUUUGCUUAGGACGACGGUGGCAUUAUAAGGUGAUCCGUCACUAAAAUUUCAAGAUAAAAUUGUGUUCCCCUGAGUGUGCACCGUUGCGGCAGCUCAUCGUUUCGAGACACCACGUGAUGAUCGGGUGUGAUAGACUCUACGUUCACAUACAACGGGUGUAAAACAGUUGCAUGCGUGGAACACUCGGGUUAAACUUGACGAGCCUAGCAUGUAUAGACAUGGCAUCAAAACACAAGAGAACGAAAGGUCGAUCAUGAGUCGUAUAGUGGAUAUGAUCAACAUGGAGAUGUUCACCAUUGAAGCUAACUCAACUCACGUGAAGAUCAGACUUGAGUUAGUGAAUUUGGAUCAUGUGACACUUGAGUGACUAGAGGGAUGUCAAUUUGACUGGGAGUUUAUUACUAAUAUUAUUAUCUAAACUCAAUCAUAUUGAAAAUAGUCUAAGUAAUCUUUGCAAAAUUAUGAUUACUAGAAGGAGGGCACUCUCUUCGGUGGCACUACAAUGGUACGCUGCUCCACCAAUGCGGCGCUUAUAAGAAUUUUGGUUUAAUAAUGCCUAGGAAUAAAAGUUGUGGAGUAUAGAUGGGUCAACAUACCGUGUGAUCCGAUUUUUUUGGGAGAAGGUGCUGGUAGAAGAUGUCCCCUCUAUGUCAGGACGCGGCAAUGCAAUGGAUUCAACACACGGUAUGUUCUGCUUAGUUAGAUAUCUCUGAUUGCGCUCGGAACUCCUCUCUCCCUUCUUCUCAGGAUUUAAGUUAGCCUGAUGUUCCCCAUCAGUUUCUCGUCUUUGCACGUUUAUUUGUUCUUUAUUUUGCCGGUAAGUUGCUCGUCUCAAUGCAUUUUUCAUCUCUUUUUUCUUCGGAUAACACAUCUUCCUUUUUGGUGUCAUCCUUUAUUCUUUUUUGAUAAUUUUCUCGCUUCCGUGCGUUUCUCUUACCCCUUUGUUGUUGCGCGUUCCUCAUUUUCCAUCUUAUAAGUUGCUCGUCUCCUUUCAUUUAUCUCAUCCCUUUGUUACUGGGUAAGACAACAACGGACUAUCCUUCAUCUUCUCUUUUCUUCUUAUAAGUUGCUCUUUUCCGCUCGUUUUUCAAAGCCUUUUUUGAUCUAAUAAGGUCUGAGCAUGUUGUCCAUCACCUUUACAUGUUGCUGCAUCAUUUAUUAUCAGAUUAUAAAAAUGAAAAGGAGGACGAAUACUAAAAUUAGAUCAUGCACAAUCAGAUCACUUCGCCAUAUUUUUCAUAAAACAUAUGUGAGACUGCUUAAACUUAUCGUCAGAACCAACUGUGGGAUUGCUUCGGUUAAGAAUGUUGGCAUUAGUUAAGGGUGGUACGUCUGCAAAUAGGCCAGACGAUGGACACGGUUGUUCUUCAUGAACAUUGCACGCUCAAAUUAGUAAAAACUAAUCAUCGAAUCAAUCAUUCAUAAUAAAUUGUAUGAAUAGGCCAGUUAAUAAAUUGUAUGCCAACAAAAUCAUCAGGUCAUAAAUAAGGUAUGUUUAUGUCGCCCAUCACUUCUACAUGUUGUUGCACCAUUUAUUAUCUAGAUUGACCACUCCUUCCCCUAUUUCUCCUGGCAUUUGUAGUUGGCCCUGUUUAUAAAUCUAACAGACAGGGUGGCAAACCACCAACAAGGAUACAAAGGUGAAAAUAGCAGCGCCUUUUGGAAGUCUAAAUAUAUGUUUCUGAUUGGGCAACUUAUUUUUUACAACCAUUUAAAGUAACUUAUUUUUUACAACCAUAUAAAGGAUAAAAACAGAUAGAAUAUCAUAUAGACUUUAAAAAAAUAAGUUUAAUCAAUAACAAAAAAAAUUGGAUGAUCUUGGUCUUGAUUAUGUUGUUGCUAAAGUAUAUUGUUGUAAAAUAAAUUUGCUUUAAUUUACAUGGACUACCUUUGGAGAGUUGAUCUACAUUGGUGAUAUCACAAAGAAUUCUAUCCUGGACAAUCUGCUCAGUUCUCUUGGACUUUUGUACUUGCUUAUCAAGAUUAACCCGUUCCCAUCGAGAUCCAAAUGGGGUUAAGCCUUUGGAUGUCACUACUUUUGUAGAGAAUUGUACAUACAAACCAGGCUACAUUUAUUUGUGGCUCGAUGCGAUAAACCAUAAGCAAUCAUGUGCACUUACGUGGCAUCGCAGACAUUGGCUAAUAAUGUUGAGAAUUAGAGAUAGCACGUAGAGGAGGACGAUGCCGAUUCGGCAAGUCUUCAUCUUCAAGUGUCAUGGUUUGUUGGUGCAAAACAAAGUAAUGUAGAAAACAAAUGGUCACCUUCAAGGAAAUUAUGUAGGAGGUAACAUCUAUGAACCAAAGAGUUGUGAUGAUGGCCGAACCAAAAUUAAUAAGGCAGUAAACAAGGUACAAACAUAUCCACCAUGGAAAAACAAACCACCAUGUGAAUUAUUGAUCAUAUACUAACAAUAAGAUUUUUUCUUAGAAGUACAUGGGAGUGAAAAUUACUAAACUAAAGCAAAACAACAUAGAUUUUGUUUGUAUCUAAAGAUGGUUGACAAUUUUUACGGACACACUUGACUUGUUACAUGGAUAGUGUUCUGCGUAGACAAACAUGAAGCCUAGACUUUGCUUAGAAACUCAACGGACGUCCACAGAAUAUGGUACUGGACAAUGACUAGCAAGAAGUCGACCUCAAGGACCGGCAACGACUACAAGAACAACCAGGUAGUUCUAGAUUGGGCAGGCCAUGACACCGCUUUACCCCUCCAUAGCUUGGGCACUAAACACAGCAAUGCCAAAAAGCAUCUCGAAGGAUAGAAUGUAACUUGCUUGACCUGCUUAUCGAGGUGCAAUCGAAUAUUGAAGAAGAACGAGGGCUCGCAGCAAUGCCGAGGGCGCGUGGAGAACGAUAGCUCGACGCCCGCCUAGAAGAAGUUUUUUAAAAUUUGCAUCGCUUGCCUAGAGUUUUGCUUUUAUUGCUUGAUUGAUGUUCUGGACGAUUCAACGAGCACAAUAUGGAAAGCAGUGCUGGACGAUAUCGAUUUGUGCGCCUGUGGGUUGAAAGAUUCACAAUAUUGCUUGAUUGAUGCAUAUAUAGGAGCUUCCUAUGGAAACUAAACCAUAUGCCUAUAAAUUCUACAACGUGUGCAGUAUAUGUGCCUCACUGAAUCAGAUUGAACAUUUCUUUAUAUGGAAAGUACUGAUUGAUUUGUAUAGAUGAUUGAUUUUUUCUUUUUAUGGAAAGUAUAGAUUAAUAUUUAUUUUAUAUGGGAAGUACAAAUUUAUUUUUAUAGAUGAUUGUUUUUUUCUUGUAUAUGGAAAGUAUAGAUUGGUUUGCGUGGAGGAUCAAUCUUAUAUGGAAAACAAAGAUUGGUAUGUGCUAAACGGUUUGGUUAAUUUACAAAAGUCGGAUUGGAUGCCCUCGCUUCGACCAAUGGUGUCAGAAAAAAUGAGUGGGAGAUCGAUCCCUCAAAAACCGGUGGGAGAUUGCUUCAAUCGGUGGUGUUGGAGAAAAUCGAUGGGAGAUCGAUCCCUCGAAAAAUGGUGGGAGAUCGAUCGAUGGGGUUGGGGAGGUACGAAGGGAUGAAACGACGUACCAGCUGCUCCAUUAGGAGUAGAGAUUUGCCUUCUUGUAUUGGACUUGUCUCACCCUACCUACUACCAAUAUCUACAUGCUAUGAUUCAGGGGGAGAGGAAAACCUACAUAUUUAUACUUAGGGGAUAAAGUUCCAGAUGUUCUUGGAGACAUAUGUAUCCUAACAAAUGGGGGAGAAACAUCUAUAAUCAAAUCCUAUUCUCAAUAUGUCUUCCAUGUCUUGGUACUAUUGAAGUUAUUUGCAUCUUUACAAUAGAAUACUCUCGUGUUAUCUAACAAUUAUUUUCACAAGUGUGUUUCCACUAUUAAUAUGCUCAAGAACUCCAAGGUAAGUAUAUGCAUCAUAUCCUUGUUCAGGAUGAUCUCUUGUGUCUUACACAUACUGUUUGCAAGAGUGAGUCCUCAACAUGCAUGGAGACAUUUAUUUCACAUAUGUUUGAUACAUAUAGACAAGAUUCACAUGACUUGUCUUGUCCCUUCUACUAUGUGAGUGCCCAUGCAGUCCAAAGCAAAUAUCCCUUAAAAAGGAUCACACACUUUUAGGGGGAGCCUGCCUUAGUCACGCGUCUCUCAAAGUUGUCAUACUUUACAACCUAUCUUUAUUUGAAGCUUUGAUUAUUUGUUGACAUCAAUUACCAAAAAGGGGAGACUGAAAGCACAUAUGCUCCUUGGAGGUUUUGAUAAUUCAUGACAACAUACAUUGUCUCUUGGAUUAAUACUUUUACGUAGUUUAUUUCAAAUAUAGUCCAGAGAGAGGAUUGGCCAAGUAUUGUGAGGAGAAGCCCAAGUAAAGAGAGUAAUAGGAUUGGCCAAGCUUGAAGCUUCAGAUUCUACAAUUUAUAUUUUGUGAAGAAUCACGUUUGAGUCCAUAGGAAGGCCAAUACUAUUAAAAGGGGAUAAGGUGACUAUGAUGAUCCGGUUGCUCAAGUGCUUAGAGUUAGCCACCAAAAAUACUCAUGAAAUUCUCCCACAAAUAUUUUGUCCCAUAUUAAAAUUCUAAAUAUCCAAAAUUCGAUGCCACCAACAAUUUCCUUUCGGCCCUACCGAGUUUUACCUCGGACGGAUCCUAUGCCAAACCUUAGCCUCUCGGUGACACCAAAUGUUCUUUCGAUCUGACCGAGAAUCAGUGUCUAACUUUUUUUCUACAUGUUUCUAGGAAUCCGAAUUUUCGAGUUUUAGGAAUCGGUGCCACCACGUGUGGUAACUACAUAGGCCAUCCAAUAUUGGACCCACCAAGAUUCAUAUAUCGGUCUCACCGAAAAGCCUAAAGUUGUCACAUUUUGCACUGGUCGAUGCAACCGAGUUUUACUUCGAUUUCACCGACUUUGGCAAUAAUGUUGUAACGGUUGGAUAUUUGGAGAUGCCUAUAUAUACCCCUCCACCUCCUCUCAUUCAUAGAGGAAGCACUCGGAGCGAACCAACACUUGCCCCAUUCUUUUUUCUGAAAAGAGAGCCACCUACUCAUGUGUUGAGAUCAAGAUAUUCGAAUCCUACCAUAUGAAUCUUGAUUUCCAGCCUCCCCAAGUUGCUUUCCACCCAAUCAAUCUCUUCUACCCAAGCCAAAUUUGUGAGAGUGAUUGAGUGUUGAGGAGGCUAUCUUUUGAAGCACAAGAGCAAGGAGUUCAUCAUACUACCACAUCUAUUACCUUUUGAAGAGUGUUGUCUCCUAGAUUGGUUAGGCGUCGCUUGGGAGCCUCCUACUUCAUGAUUUGGAGUUGAACCAAGAAGUUUGUAAGGGCAAGGAGAUGGCCUACUUAGCGAAGAUCUACCCGAGUGAGGCUAGUCCUUCGUGGACGUAAGCCAUGGUAGAAUAGACAAGGUUGCUUCUUCGUGGACCACUUGUGGGUGGAGCCCUUUGUGGACUCGCGCACCGUUACCCUUCGUGGGUUGAAGUCUCCAUCAACGUGGACAUAUGAUAGCACCACCUAUUGAAACCACGCCAAAAAUCAUCGUGUCAAUCUUUGCAUUUGAUCUUCCUAACUCUACUCCUUACUUUACAUGUGCAUGUCUUUACUUCCCGCUGCUAUACUUGUAGGCUUGCAUGUGUAGGGUGUGUUUGACUUGCUAUAGCUGCUAAAAUCUGCCAACAAUCAAAAUUGGGAAAAGGCUAUGUUUUAGUUUGUCAAGUAGUCUAUUCAUCCCCCUCUAGACAUCCCUUCUAGUGAUUCCAGAGGUGCAGGCAAUAGGAGGAGGUGGGGGCGGCAGCCUUGAGCCCGAAAUAGUUAGGGGCGAUGGCGGGCCAGGAGGAGGCGAGGGAGGCCUCGUGUUGGAAGAAGGCAGUGACAACGACGCACCAAGAGAAGGCGGGGAGGCAGGGGCGGUGGCAAGCCGGAAGGUGACGGGCGCGGGAGGUGCGUUGGAGCCGGGUGGGCGAUGACCAAUGGUGGGCUCGUGCAUUUGUUGGGAGGAUUGGUGAGGUUACGGGCUAAGGUGGGGCGAUGGGGAUAACGUACGGACCCUUGGUGUUUUCUUUUGGUUCACUUUGAUGUGAGGAAGAUCUCAUCGCGUCCUUACUCGGCUAGAAGUUAAUAAAAUAAUAUUCUAACUUUUGAAUUAGAAUAGUGUUACUCUCUCUUUCUCUUUCUCUCUCUCUCUAUAUAUACAAGAAUAGUUGGUAGUCUAUGAGAUUUGGGGCACUUGCAGUUUAUAAAUAUUUAUAAGACGUUUGAAUUGCCAAAACGUCUUACAUUUAAAAAUAAAAGGAUGUAUUUUUUAUAUAUCACAUACAUAACAUUAUCAUACUUGUCUAUAUGUUUUAUUUUAUCUAGCAAAAGAGAUCAUGCACUGCAACGGAUGAAAAAAUACGAGGUUAGCCUAACCCAAUAACCAUGACCCGGGACUCUUAACAAAUUCAUGUCCUUUAUUUCAACACAUGACAUUUCAUCGAUGUUGCCAUUUAUCCUCUUUAUUAGCAGAUAUAGAUCAGAUAACUCAAAAUGAGUUUCAGCGAAAUUCUAUUUGAGUCUGUAUUUAUAUUUUUGCACGGUAUGUUUUAGACAAUAUUUUUGCACAUAUACUGAAUUAUAUUUUUAUAUAACGCAAAAAUAACUACGCUGCUUGACUGGGCCUGGUCUAUUUAGGCAUCCACAUACAUUGGACACCAACGGGCCCAACGAACGACCCAUACUCGAUACCCCACAGCCCGCUAGGGUUUCUCUGGCAGGUAUAAAAUACCCGUUCUUCUCCUCUCCCAUUCCUCCCCCUAUCAACUCGACCACAGAGCGGCGGCGGCGGCGGCGGCAGCGGGAGAGAGAGGAGAGAGCUCCAGCAAUGGUGCACGUCAACUUCUACCGCAACUGUAAGACCGCGCUACGAUCCUCCUGUCUCCCCUACCCUCUGUGCUCCCUGCUCCAUUGUAUUCAGUCAUUUGUGUCUUCCUGCUCGCUGUGAUCUGAUGCGGUGCCGUGGGGGAGCUCGCAUAGGCUUAGCGGCAUCAAGUUGCUGUCGGUUAGUUUUCUGCUUCCUGCUACGGCAGUGGCUUGCCGCAACGCAGAGCUCAGAGAUCUCUUUGCUGUGGCCUCUGACUGCUGGCACCUCUUGUGUGAGGUCAUAGAUUCGAAGCUGAGAGUUGCUAUGAAGGAGGGGGAGCGGUUGAUUAGCGAGCGAAUGAUUUGCAUCGGCGUGAUGCCGUUGUGAGAACAGGUUUCUUUGCAUAAGAGUUUGUCAGAUCUUUUGGUCCGAAUGCCUGGAUUCGAGUUAUACAUGGCAUGCGGACUGCGCCCUAGAUCUAAUUAGAGGAGUCUUACUUGAAGUCUAAUUACCCAUAUAUCUGUUUCAUGGUGGAAUUUUUUCACCUCCAACUGUAACUGGUAUCACGUGCGAACGUUGAAUUUGGUAUCUAGUAUGCCAAUAGAAUUGUUAAAGAAAUUAUUCUGGUGCCUGAUAAUGGAGCCACCUGUUUAUGUUUGCGCUAUAGCCUAGAUGUGAGAACAUGUAGUUCAUACUAAAUACAGGAGUUCUAUGUAUUUACUUUAACAUGCUUUUAUAUAUGUGCUUUUGAAUUUAAUCAGAUCAAUUCUUCUGAAUUUAUAUAGUGAAUGUUCUAUGCUACAAAUUGGCCCAUAUUUGUUCUGUUUUACUGUAUCUCAUGCUUUAUUUCCAUAAUAUUGUUUCCUUGCAGAUGGUAAGACAUUCAAGAAACCAAGGCGUCCCUAUGAGAAGGAGCGUCUGGAUGCAGAACUAAAGCUGGUGGGUGAGUAUGGACUGAGGUGCAAGCGUGAGCUCUGGAGGGUCCAGUAUGCAUUGAGCAGGAUCCGUAAUGCUGCAAGGCACUUGCUCACACUGGAUGAGAAGAAUCCCCGCCGUAUCUUUGAGGGUGCAGCUCUUCUUCGUCGCAUGAACCGCUAUGGGCUCCUUGCUGAGGGCCAGGACAAGCUUGAUUACGUCCUUGCCCUGACUGCUGAGAACUUCCUUGCAAGGCGCCUUCAGACUCUUGUCUUCAAGGCUGGCAUGGCAAAGUCCAUCCACCAUGCCCGUGUCUUGAUCAGGCAACGCCACAUCAGGUAUGCUUCUGGUAUAUUUUUCUUGAAAUGCAUGUAUUUGUAUAUGCUUCCAUAUUUUUGAAUGUUGAUCUAGUGAUCUUAUUGGUUUGUGCUAGUUGUUUAAUAUCGGCCACCUGAUACUGUUUAUUACAUGCAUCUAUGAAUUACAUGUUGGCCUGAUACUGGUUACAUGCAUGCCUGAAUUACAUGUUGGCCUGAUACUGGUUACAUGCAUGCCUGAAUUACAUGUUGGCCUGAUAGUGGUUGCAGCUUGUUUGAAUUUUAUCAUCUUCCAGACGAAUUCUGUUUAUUGUGGCAUGUUCUUUAUGACAUCUACUUUACUUCCAUUCACUGCAAUGCCUACCUUGUAUCAUUGAACAUGUUCAUGGUCUCUGAUUACCAUGUCAAUAUUGUAUUUGUGACAAUAUAAUGUUAUCAGUAGGUUGUAUAUCUUGCUAAUACCUUGUAUCAUUGCACAUGUUCAUGGUCUCCGAUUACCAUGUCAAUAUUGUAUUUGUGACAAUAUAAUGUUAUCAGUAGGUUGUAUAUCUUGCUAAUACCUCAGCAAGCCAAGAGGUUGAACCUGUUUCCUUUAACUGAUAUUAUGUCAAUAUUGUUAAUCUUUGCUUCUUGCAUUAUACUGUCAGUGGUCUUGUUUUUAUGUGGCAUUCACAUUGAGAUUUCAUUGUGAAGUGGUACCUUCCAUGAAUGUGCCUUCUUGUUCACUUUGUGAAUGAAGUGAUAAAUGUAUUGUUCUUGAAACCAUAUUGCAGGGUUGGCAGGCAGAUCGUCAAUGUCCCCUCAUUCAUGGUGAGGGUUGAAUCUGAGAAGCACAUUGACUUCUCACUGACAAGUCCAUUCGGUGGAGGCCCUGCAGGCAGGGUGAAGAGGAAGAACCAGAAGAAGGCAAGUGGUGGCGGCGACGCUGGUGGUGAUGAGGAAGAGGAAUGAGGAACUAGUAGGGAUCACCUUAUAUUUAUCAAAUGUUGGUGUUGUGAGUGCUUUAGCUGAGAGGCCUGAGACUUUCAUGGAUUAUCCUCUUGUCGUUUCGUUGCAUUAUCUCUGUUGUUAGCAUGCAUGCACUUCGUUAUGUUUGGAGCUAUUUGUUCGUGAUGCAGUUAUCUAAAAAUGUUUUUGACUAUGACCUGGAAUUCUACAUCAAUUGCUUCUGUUUGCGUGCUUGUCUGACUAACUCUGUCCCAAAAUAAUUAGAAUUGUACUCCCUCUGUAAACUAUUUCUAAAAGCUUCAGACACUUAAUUUG